UGAUGCAAAAGAAAUGUCUGCUGGAUGUGCUUUGAGGCAUGAUGUCAACUUCAUGGAAGUACAGCAGGUCCAGUGUCAAAAACAUGUAUAUAUUGGAAAUUUGAAAUGCAGCAAUCGCAAUCGAAUGCAUCACUUUGAACUCGCUACUGUAACAUAAAUGACUGAGUUUGGAGCAUAUCCCUGUGUCACCUGUAAAUCCUGUAGUAGAAUUAGAACCUACCCAAUAAAUGAUGAAGAAAAAUGCUGGUUUCAGUGGGAAAGUUAUUGCUUCAACGACCCUCCCAGACGUUUCUUUCUUUGUUAAUGUGCAAAGUCAUCUGCUUUUUUAGGAUUUUUAAUGUGAUUAUUUAGUUGUCACAAACUAUUUACUCUUCUUUGAGUGACUCCAAAUCAUGGGUGUCAUGUUGCUUUCAACCUUUCAGUUUUUCGAGAGGAUGCGAUAAGCUAAUUUUCAUGUUGAAUUGUAACCAAAUAUCUUUUUUUUAGGCUACCGUUUAACAAAACAAAAUUGGUAAAUAGACAAACCCCCCAACCUGCUCUUUUCCCGUAAAGGUUUGGCGAGUAAAGCAAGAUCUAAACUGGGAUUAAGGAAUGCUAUUAUGGGAUAGAAUAUUUAUACAGUUCUUCUUGGGUUAAGUUAUAGGGUAGAUAUUUAUUUAUUUUUUAUAUUUUAACAAUACAAUAAACCACAUUUUUCUUUUAUUUUUUGCAGAAAGUGCAUAAAAUGAGUCGUUUAUUUUUAUUAAAAUUUUCGUAAAUUAGGCAUAUACUCAAAAGCCUGUACACAAACUAGCAAGACGAAGAAAAUAAGUUUUGUUUUCUUUAAAAUAUUCAAAAUCCAAUUAAGGAGACAAAGACGUUAUUUACCAUCAUUCUUUCCUUUUCUCUAUAAUAUAAUGAAUUCUUCUUGUGAUGCUAUGUUAAAUUAUAAUAUGGUCUGCACGUGGGAGAUAAGGGAUGAUAAAAGAAAAUAAAUAAAAUAAUUUAAUAUAAUAAUUCUUAUUUUAAUAGGAUUUAUCUGCUUUACAAUUUUAUAUUGUUAUUGUUUUGAUUAUCCUAGUCUAGUUAACAUUUGAGUUUACAUUCAAUCUGAAUCCGUAUUAGUUAAAUAAAUCAAAAUCCUAAACAGAAACCUAUUAGGAAACAACAAUGAGUAUAAGUAAUCACAACUAAACUUUGGACUCCAACAAAAAGUAUACACUACUCUCACAUUGCGACAAUGAAAAACUCUCUCCUCAUCAUUUUCUUCUUUCUUGUCCUUACGCUUUCUCCUAGUUUCGGCUUACCUUCUAAUGCCGGCGGCAGCCGCAAAGGCAACCACCAUCUUAAGCUUCAGCUUCCGGCCGGAGUAGUUGGCCCCGAAAGCCUUGCUUUCGACUGCAAUGGCGAAGGGCCGUACGCCGGUGUUUCUGACGGUAGAAUUCUCAAGUGGCAAGACUCAAAACUUGGUUGGACUGAAUUUGCCACCACCACUCCAUUCAGGUGAGAAUUCGUAAAUAUACAUGUUAAUAUGUAAUUUAUAUCAUUGUAUUGUAUAUCAUUGUAUUGUAGCAUGAAUUUACAUGCUUGCAUGUUAUUGUGUUUCAAAAAAUUCAUGUACAUAGAAAAGGCUACGGUCGCAUGUUAUCGUUUUAUAUAUACCCUACUAUUAUACAAAUUUAAAGGGUCGAAGAGUUCUUAUUAGAUUUCUUUAAAAUUGAACAAUGAAAAUUACUCUAGCUAGGUCAGACCUCUAGUAAAUAAAUCUAUUGUCGUUUCGGUUUGAAAACACUAACAUCUACCAAACACUUCACUAUCUUAUGUGCGAUUCUUUUAACAUCAGAUAUAUUACUUUGAUUUAUUUGUAUGUGCAAUUCAACUAAAUCUAGUUUACGAAUUAUUAAUUUAUUUCUUUUCAAAUGUACCAACGGAAUUUCAAAUUUGCAUGCGAUUUGAUUAGGCGGCUAAGGAGGAUAUGUGAUGGCACAAGCAGCACGAUUUUAGAACCCUUAUGUGGGAGGCCGUUGGGCAUUAAAUUCAAUCCUGUUACAUGCGAUCUUUACAUCGCUGAUGCAUACUUUGGCUUGAUGGUCGUCGGGAGAAACGGCGGCCCAGCGAAACAACUUGCUUCUUCAGGUGAAAGAAUUCCCUUUCGCUUCACAAACGCCUUGGACAUUGAUCCCAAUACCGGCGUUGUUUAUUUUACCGACAGCAGCAUGUACUUCCAAAGAAGACAGUACGCUAUGCUGAUCGAAAGCGGAGACAGAAGUGGAAGAUUAUUGAAAUACGAUCCUCGCAACAAACAAGUGACGGUAUUACGAAGGGGCUUAGCAUUUCCAAAUGGCGUCACCCUGAGUAAAGACAAAUCAUUUUUACUGGUUGCUGAAUCAGAUUCAAGGAGGAUUCUAAGGUUCUGGGUUGAAGGUGAGAGCGUUAUAUAUUCUCCGCAACCGUUCGCUCAAGUUACUCAAUUUCCAGACAACAUCGAGACAGACAGGAACGGAGACUUUUGGGUUGCACUAAACACUAAGAGCGGAAAUGACAAGACAGAUCUUGUGGCGGUAAAGCUUGAUGGCAGCAAUGGCAAUGUCCUUGAUGUUUUAGAAGGAAAUAAACAAAAUGCACUCGAUUCUGUUAGCGAAGUCGAAGAACAUGGUGGAUAUUUGUACGCGGGAUCUCCAGUGCAGCCUUACGUUGUUGUAAUCAAGGCUUAGCUAGGCUUGAUUCUUUUUGCUUCUUUUCAUUCUUCUUUGUUCUUAACUUCUAACAAUACAAUAAACUACAGUUUUCUUUUUUCUUUUUUUUUAAUUGCAUAAAAUGAGUCAUCCGUAUUUUUGUUGAAAUUUGCUUUAAUUAGGCAUAUACGCAUGAAUAAAAGCAAGCAUGAAACUGUCAUCACCAUAAAAUUGAGCUCAAAAUAAAUUCAGAAGGUUGAUUAUUUGAGAAUCUUUAUAGGAAUUGGUUGUUUUGGAUCUGAAAGUUGUUUAUUUGAGAAUCCUUAUAGGAAUUGAUUAUUUCGGAUGCUAAAGCAAUCCCAAACUUGUUGUUAUGAUUAUAAAACUCUGCUUUUCUGUAAACAGAAGAACCUAAAGUGCUAAACCCAUUAGCAUCUAAAUUAUAUUCUGUUCUCUGUGCAAAAAGUUCAAGAAGUGUAUUCAAAGGUCUCGUCUGAAUUUCAUUUGAGCGAGUUGAUAAGAAUAAUCAAAGAAACGCAUACAGUCUUAAUCUAAAGAAACAGUAAUAAUGAAAUGAACUCAACAUAGUAAUGUAGUACAAUGCGGAGCUAGCAAAUAAAUGUAACGGCUAUUAUCAAUGUCCAUCAAAGAGCUGAUUAAUAUACAUGUUGUUCUUCCCAUUUUACAACUUUUAUUUGGAUCCUUCUAUCCUUUGAUCUUAUCCUUAAGUUGGAGAGAACUCAUGGCCCUCUGCUGAGUCACAAAUCCAUGUCAUGUUGCACAUCACUAACGGCAGAGAGCAAAGCACCGAUGAUAUCGUUACAAGGUAUUCAUUGAAACAAUUCGUCGAACAGUUUGAUUUCUUUAACAAACAGUUGCCUCUACUCAUUGCAGAGCAAGAAAAUAUUAAAAUAAUGAAAUAGAUCAUUUGGAUUACAUAGGAAAGGCUAGUCAGCAAUUCAUUGUUAACUAAUACUAUAAUUAAAUAAUAAAGAAACAAUUAAUAUUUUACCGACUGAUUAACUUGACAGCAAGGCAGUUUAAAAAAAUUAAUUUAAUAAAAAAAAGACCCACAACACUAUUAAUAUUAAGCAGUUGCGUAGCACAGUCCCACCAUCUUAGCAGCAAAUAAUAGUGUUCUGUCAUGUGAUACAGUUAUGGGUCCAAAGUGAAACUUUUAGUGAUCCCACAAUAUAACCUCUUAAAUUUAAUAUUAAAAAUAUUAUUCGGUCCUAUUAUCUAUAUAUCUAUAUAAAGUUACGACUACAAGAGCUGAUGUGACAUCACCAUUCCUCAUCUUUUUAUAUUCUCUAUUAUCUAAAAUAUUUGUGGAUAUUCUUUAUACAUGCCUCUUCCUCUUUCUAUUUAAAUCCAACAAUAUUUAACCAUUAAUAAUAAUUAAUUAUAAGUCUUUUGAAACAUUUAUUUAUUUUAUUAUACUAGCAAUUAAACUUUAGUGGCUUAAAAUACAUCAAUUAAUUAACAUAGGAAGAGAAGUUCUUUCAUCUUCCCUCAACAAUGCUACUAGAGCCUAAUUUUAAUGUCAUAAUCCUAUAUUUAAUUAUGCAACCUUUGUUUAAUGCCUUUUGACUUCUUCAAACUCUCUAAACACUAAAUAUUUAAGAUUUGUUAUGUUUGAUUUUUUUUAUUAUUUAACCAACAUCAUCUUUAGAAAAAUUCUUAUAUUUUAUUGUUUGAUUUAUUUGAAUUUUUGGUAUUGUGUGCUUCAUGGAGUACUCUUUUCUUCAUAAGUUGAACAAUGAUAAAGAUAGUUGGAUGAUAAGGGUUAGACUUUGUAGGAUGUGAGAGUCUACUAAUACUAAGAAGAAUGACGAAUCUUUCUAUUUAAAUCCAAUAAUAUGUAACCAUUAAUAAUAAUUAAUUAUAAGUUUUGAAACAUUCAUUUAUUUUAUUAUGCUAGUUCCACCAUAUGACAAACCACCAUCAGACUAUCCCACUACACACGUUCCCUUCCCCUCCCCCCUCAUAAGUUGAACAAUGAUAAAGAUAGUUGGAUGAUAAGGGUUAGGCUUUGUAGGAUGUGAGAGUCUACUAAUACUAAGAAGAAUGACGAAUCUUUUUAUUUAAAUCCAACAAUAUGUAACCAUUAAUAAUAAUUAAUUAUAAGUUUUGAAACAUUCAUUUAUUUUAUUAUGCUAGUUCCACCAUCUUGAGCUUCAGCUUCAGGUCCCGAAAGCCUUGCUUUCGAUUGCAAUGGCUAAGGGCCAUACGCCGGUGUUUCCUGUGGCAGAAUUCUCAAGUGGCAAGGCUCAAAAGUUGGUUGGACUGAAUUUGCCACUAUCACUCCAUACCGGUAAGAAUUUGUUUAUAUACAUGUGUGUGUGUCUAAUUUAUAUUAUUGUAUUAUAGCAUGAAUUUACAUGCACGCUCGUUAUUGUGUUGUCCUAUUAUGUAUCGCAAAGGUUAUUGUUAGGGUAGAAGCAUUUUUACAGUGCUUCCUGUGCUGUUAUAGCAAAUUAAACGUCAAGAAGAGAUUCUUAGGGUCCUUUAAGAUUGAAAAAGAAAAAAAAAAAAGAACUCUAGGUGAGACUCUAACAAAUUAUUAAAUAGUCGUUUUAUUUUCAAAAUACUCUCUAAAUAGAUAUAUAGCAUUUCACUCUCUUAUGUCCGAUUCUUGUAACAUCACAUAUAGGCUAGUAAUGUUGUUAAAUUUCUAAGAUAUAGAUAGACCUCAAGCAGCUUUAGUUUCACCCAAAUGUUCACUCAUAUGAUAAUUACAAUGGCAUAGAAAAUGGAACAAAGGAAAAAGAAAUAAGAGUCUCACCAUACAUACUCUUUGCGCUUACAGGAAUUUUUUAUGCAUUUUCUUCAGUUAUGCUAACGGAAUUUCAAAUUUGUAUCUGGCUUAAUUAGGCGGCCUCGGAAGAUAUGUGAUGUCUCGACCAACACAACUUUAGAACCUUUGCCAAUGGGCAUUAAAUUCAACCGUGUAACAUGUGAUUUGUACAUAGCUGAUGCAUACUUUGGAUUGAUGGUCGUCGGCCCAGCGAAACAACUUGCUCUUCAGCUGAAUCUCUUUUUGCUUUACAAAUGCUUUGGGCAUUGAUACCACUACCGGAGCUGUAUAUUUUAUUGACAGCAGCAUGUACUUUCAAAGGAGGGAAUAUUCUAUGUUGAUCGAUAGUGGAGAUAGAAGUGGGAGGUUGUUGAGAUACGAUACUUGCAGCAAAGUGCUGACAGUCCUACAAAGAGGCCUAGCAUUUCCAAAUGGCGUAACCCUAAACAAAGAUAAAUCAUUCCUACCAGUUGCUGAAUCGAAUUCGGUGAAGAUUUUAAAAUUUUGGAUUCAAGGUGAGAGAGUUACAUUCUCUCCGCAACCUUUUGCUCAGCUUUCGAAAUUUUCCAGGCAACAUCGAGAUGGAGUGUAAAGGAAACUUUCGGGUUGCAUUGGACACUAAAAGACGAAAUAUUGAAAGAGAUCUUGUGGCGGUUAAGCUUGACGGCAAUGGUAAUAUUGUGAAAGUUUUACAAGGAAAUGAACGAAAUGCAUUUGAUUUUGUUAGCGAAGUUGAAGAACAUGAUGGAUAUCUGUCUGCAGGGUCUCCAAUGCAGCCUUUCGUUGUUGUAAUCAAGGCUUAGCUAAACUCGUUUAUUUAUUAUGCAUUGAUUAUUUGUCGUUCUCACAUUUUGACAAUACUGCAAUUUUCAUUUAAACAGGUGCAUAAAAUAAGUACUCUGUAUUUUUAUUGAAAUUUUAAUUAGGCAUACAUGGAUGAACAAAAACCAAGCAAGAAAUAGGCAUCACCAAAAAGGAACCCGAAAGGUUAAUUACCAUCAGCAGUCGCACUUACUCCUGUUUGAGAUGAAAUAACACUUAAACGAAGCAAAAGCCAUAACCCACAUGUCAAAAGCAUUAACAAAAAGAGACAUAAAAAGUUAUCUCAAGGGAGCUUAUUUUCUAAAUACAAAACUGUAUCAAAAUCAGUUUGUUGUACAUGGAUGCUGUCAAAACAUUUGUCACAGCAAUUAACUACUCAUAAAACUGUACACAAACUAAUUUUAUUCCGGAAAUGAAUGGCUAUGCGACAUGCUAUUUUUGAAUCUAAAUGAAAAUAUAUUUGAACCUGGGCAACUAUAAUUUGCAACCACUUCCGAGUGCAUUAUUCUGAGUUUUCUUGCUCCAAGUCCACAGCUAUUUCCUCUGUACAAAUCCGAGACCCAUCCAAAAAGUAAGGGUCGAUCUUUCAUGAAUUGCCUUCAUGUAUCCACCAACAGAAAGUCCUAAGGGAAUCUUUGGAUGCUUUAGGAAUAAGCAUUAAGCUAGACAUGAAAGCCGAUGGUUCAACUCAUGUGUAACUCAAAUCCAGAAAAUAUCAUUCAGACUGAAAAUAACUAUCAUAAAUAGAAAGCCGAUCAAAAGCAUCAAAGUUUGCUUUUAGUCCAACAAAUUGACUGCCCAGCUGAGCACAACCAGCAUCUGGCCAACGGCAGCCCCCAUCCCCUGUGCGUAAUGGACACAAAGCUUCACACACCCGACCAAUUGGAUUGCUGGAAACAACAUCAUCCAUUACGGUGACUGAAACAGAGAAAUCUGAUUUCUCAUCAUACUGUAUACUGCCAUCAGAUACUCUUUUUGAAGCGUACAUUUUCAGUGGACUCUCAGUUGUAUUACCUUCAAAUACCUUCAAAGUCAACAGUACAAUCACCACUGCUAGAAAAUUGAACCUUGCAUCCUAAUGAUUGAACGGCUCGAUUUAUGGCUUCACUUUCCUUGCUGGCCCUACUGGCUACAUUCACAGCCUUGCUCCUGAGUUGCUUCUCCUUUCUUAACUCUGCAGUUUGUGAUUCCAUAGCAAUCAUGGUUUCUUUAGCUUUCUUCUCCGCUAACUCUUUUGCCUGCCAGGAAUUUUAAUCGACUGAAUACUAUUUACAGACCCUCUAUAAUUCAAUUACAGUAAAAAAAAGACGAGGACAGUCAGUUCAUUGUCAUUUAGGAUAAUAUGAACAAGUGAGGGGUUCCAUUAACCAAUAGAAAACAACCUUUUAUUGUUGUCUAUCACCCGAAAGGAGGGUAAAAUUCAUAUUUUCCAAUUGUCUAAAUCCAUAUUGUCUAGUACAACACAAAAUUGCACCUGUAGAACAGAAGGAAAAAUUUCCUUACCUUCUUCAGUUCAGAGAACUUUAUAGCCAUGUCCCUACAUUGUGCUUCAAGCUCCCCAGUUUGGGCUUCGGUGGGACAAGCCCAGCGCAGAUGGAAUUGAGGCCACAAAGUUGGGGCUAAAGCUGCAGCCGGAGGUAAAAGAGGACCAUUAUGUUUCAGUGGAUCAUAAAAGAGGUUAUAGUGAACAUGAGAGCUUCCUGCCGAAGAACGCAAAUCAGCCAGAUAUGCCCACAAGCACCCACAUGCUUCAGCAACACCACAUUGCUGCCUCUCCUUUUCACUGAAAAUUAAGACUAACAAAUCAGAUAAUUCAAAAACUUUCUCAGCAGUGCCUUGAGAGUUAAACUGUUCCAUUCCAAUUUGUUUGUAUAUGUUUCCAUACAGCUACAAUAUUAUAUAAUUGGAAAAAAUAAGUAAACAAGCUGAUUUUGCACCAGCAAAUAUAAACAUCAUUCAUAAGAAUGCCUGUACCAGUUAUACAUGUUCAUUAAUAAAACAGCAACUUCAGGGGAUGAAAUGUAGCAAAAUUUCUCUUUGACCAGUAGUUCCUGAGAUUAUACAACAUACUUAGAUGAAGUAAAAGAAACAUCCAAACCAUGCUGACAAGCUAAAAACAUAAUGAAGUCAAUUUAACAAAAAUUACAAGCUAACUUAAAAUACAACCUUUUAAUCCAUUAUACUUUAGAUUUAUCUGUAUAGUUUGUUAAUGCUUCCUUCUGAACAAAUUGUAUCAUUUAUACUCUUAAUCCUUCUCAAACUCUAUAACUUUUGCAGCAAUUUUUCUUUUUUCUUUUUAAUUGACAAAAACAAAAGACCAUUAUGCUUUUAAAUAUAACAGUUCCACUAUGUAAUAAUCACAUCAAGAAUUCUUAAUUUUUUCUCAUCCUUUCUACUUCGAAAGAGGAAAAAAAAAAAAAAAAAAAGAUUUGAACCUCAGACUUGUAUCAAUUUAACUUUUCAUUUCCCUUAACUAAAGAUUUAAUCAAAAAGACCAAGCCCCUGAGCACGUAAAACCAUCGCACUGCAGGAAAAACAAUAGAAAAGGAAAAAGAGAGAACUUAAAAAAGCAGCUCUUUAGGACAAAUUACUGGCUAAGUCCUGCUCUUAUCCCAAUAGUCAUAACAGAUGAAGUAAAUGCAUGCCAGUUACCACAGCUUUUAUUGGAAUAGGAUCCACCCCACUGCUUGUAUUAAUGUGAAACUACCUGUUGCACAAGAAGUUUCCAAAGCGACAAGAAAGCACACAGUCCAAGAAAUCCACCAGAAAAGCCUGGAUACGAAAGAGUAGAAAAGUCAACAAUUGGUUUUCUCUGGAAAGGAUAUGAAACAAUGAAGAGAGAAGGGGGAAAAAAAUGGAAAGAAAGAAAACAUUUCACCAGCACAUUCAAGUUUAAUGAUGGGAUAUGUUACAGAAUAAGAAAUUCAUUUCACAUAUAGAAGAAAAUACAUACCGACGAGAACUCAAAGGCAAAUGGAUACAUCCGCAUCAAUUGUGAAACACAAUCAACCCACUGCAGAAACAAAUUCACACACCAGAUCAUUAAUUUUUCAUCAGACAAACUUAUAACACAACUAGAAAGCUGAAGUCCUCCCACAGUAGAGCCAAAGGCAUGGAAGAGGGAUCAGGACCUCAAGGCAAGCUAGUGUUUAUACAGGAUUGAGCAGCUACUUAAUGAAGUGCUCUAAGAACUUGAGCUUUUGGGUCAAAAGGUUUCUCUAACAUGGUAUCAAAAGAUAAUGUCUCAAGUUAAAUUUCCACACGUGCAAACUCAAUUUUAAUUAUUUAAAUUUCAAUUCUUUGGCUCAUUUUCGAGCUCUCCUGUAUCUAAGCCCAUCUGCAAGCUCAUCUUAGUCAACAUUUCACAUGAUGCAUGUUAAGAUUUGUUUUUCAGGCCCUUAUCGGUUUACGCUUCUGAAUUUUGAAAAUAUUAAUUAAAUGAAGAUUCUACUAACGACUCAAUAGUUAAACUAAAUAUUAAUGCAAGAACCUGCAAAAAUAUGGGAGAAUAGUUGUUCUGUGCAUGAGAAGAACCAAAAGCUUGAGUUGCUAAUGAACCAGAUGAUUGGCGCAUGGGUGAUGACGGAAAACUCCCAGUAGAGGACUGCCUACAUAAUUCAAAAGAUAUAUCACCACUUCCAGAGAGGGUUGGCAUUCCCACACGAUCCGAAAAUGGAUGGCCAAAUGCUAGCCAAUCUUUUUCAACAAGUGCCUGCACCAAGAAAAAAGAUUUUAUAAUUUAUGAGUCACAUCACGCAUCACACUGAGUGCAUAACUGAAGAGCAAGGCAAAUGAUAUCCAUGUUACCAUCUCAUAUGGAUAAGACAAAUAAGAACGGUACAGCAACCCAAGAAGAAAAUAAAAAAUAAGCAAAGAAAAAAAAAUCAAUGCUAACACUUGAUUCUGAGACAGUAAAAUUAAAAUGGGAAAAAAAUAAACUAAAAGGGCCACAAAAAACCUAUGCAUGCAACAAAAGAGUUCCCACAUUGCCUUUCAUACUAGAUUAUUUAAGAACAUCUUGGCAGAAACAUCAGAAAAAAAGAUCUUAAGACUGCCAAUAAGAGCUAAAGUUUCAAGCAUAAAAAUGUACCUGAAAUCCAGCGAAUGUUCGAUAGUAUGGAUCAAGUAACAAAUUAGCAAGUGCAACCAACUGAGUUGUUCUAUCCCAACCAUCACUGCAUAACACAAAGGCAAAUGAACAUGUUAGACACCAAAAUACAAAAAUGUUAAAAAAGGCCAAUAAAGGCCAAUUUCAGGGAAACACCUGAAAUACAAAUUUUCCAUUUUGUUGAGUGUCAACAAAACGUUUUCAUUUUAUUAAUCUUUAACACAUCAAAAUAGGAAUUACCUAGGACUUCAAACAGGAAAUCUCUAAUAUCUAUCCUGAUUACAGAAGUAGGCGAAAUUGCAAUAAAAAUUCCUGUCUCUUGCUCUCUCUAUCUCGCAGCUCUCUAAAUGGUGGAAUAAAAAGUCAUUUGGAUUAAACUCAACUCAAUCUAAAUAAGGGUGUGUUUGGGAAAAAAUUUGCUAAGCUACCAAAGUCCAGCUACAAGUGUUACCAAACCCUUUAGUAGCUGGGCUUUGCACCACACUCCCGAACGGGCUAUUAAUUACACAAGUUCAUAGACAGCUUUAACAUCAUCGUAAUCACUCCAAUCUAAAGCUCAGUUUGAGAACUGGAUUUUUACCUGCCUCUCUUAGUCUUCAAAGAUAGCUGCCAGCAAUCCAUGAAAAACUCCUGGAGUAAACCUACGUAAAAAUACACAAUUUUUGACAAAGAGCCCUCCCAAGUUCACAUAUGAAAACAAUGGAUUGGUCAUUAUACCUUGGUGACCAGAGUUUCAGAUAAAAACAGCUUAAAAGAAAAUAAACAAACAAAUAAAGAAAUGAUAAAUGACGAGGUCCUUUUGAAAUCAUCCUAUCCAGAUCAUCUCCUUCCAUCCACGAGCCUCCUUGAACCAUCUCUCCAAAGACAGUCAGGCUAAUGACUAUAAAUUAAGCGCUUCUUGGGAGGCAACCCAAGCUUUCUAAACUUUAUUAUUGUCAUUUUUUUUCUUUUUUUUUCUUUUCUUUUACUUAUUUUGUUUUGUUUUAGGAUUUUGCACAAGUUUGAGGGUCGAUGAACAUCAAUUUUCCACAUGCUUUUCAACGACUCAGCUACAACUUUACAUCUUCAAGUGCAAAACCAGGGGACUUUUCUCUUUUCCUUUUCUUUUUCUUUACAUUGAGGACAAUGUUUAUUUUAAGUUUGGGGAUGAGAAUAUUUUCUUUCAUUUUUUUCAUAAAAAAAAAAAAGAAAAGAAAAAAAAAGAAGAGAUUUUAAUGCCUAUGAUGAGUUUAUGAUUGAAAAUGAAUAUGGUUCUUAGAAAGGGAUGAAUAUUGUCUUAGUUUAUACUUGAUUCUUGUGUUAGUUUCGUCUUGAUUGAGAUUCUUUAAAUAUCUUGCGCACUUAUAUCGAUUCUUUCAGAAUUUUGACUUGAGAUUUGAGAUUGAUACAGCCUAAGUUGAGAAUUUUAGAUUGAGUAAAUGACUGUUUGCCUCGAUUCUACAGUACUUAAGUUUACCCAGGCACUAUAGUUAGAAAUAGCUACCUAUAACCCUUAAGAGUGAAGCUAUCCUUGAGUAAUUUGGGCCUAUGUACCACCAGUAUGUAGAGGAUAAUUUACCAUGAGAAGAAGGCUACCUUAAGGGGUAGAGUGAAAGCUUCUGACUAUGGACAAAGAAAUGAAAAGAAAAAAAAAGCAUGUGCUUCAAGAAAAAUCAAAAGAAAAUGCUAAUUUAUGCCUGUGAAAAAAAAAAAAUCAAUCAAGAUGAUGUGGUUAGUUUGACCUACUCUGUUUAUUAUUCGAGACAAGAGCUGUUGAUGUUGAAGAUCUUGAGAAUGAGUUUUGAUUGAAUUGAUUCACACACAACACAGAAAUCCAAUAUCAGAUGAGAUUGACCAUUGAAUUAAAGUUAGAACUUUGCUAAUAUUUUUAAUUUUCUUUGAGCUAUAUACAAUCUUUGAGGCAUUUUUGAUGAUGUUUGUGGGGAUCAUCGCUGGAAACCCUCACGAGACUAUAACUCGUCCACUAGGGCUGCCUAGGGGUUUAAAGGCUUGUUGCAUAUGCUAAAUGCAAUCGCGAUCACCUGCGAAAGUGGUUUAGUUAGAAUUUUCUUUUCGUAGUUUUUAUUUUAGUUUUUGCUCGAGGACUAGCAAAAUGUUAAGUUUGGGGGUAUUUGAUGUGCUUAUAAUUUAUCUAUUAUUUUAAUGCUUCCAUAACUUAAUUUUAUGUUAAAGUAUAUUUUAUUAUAUUAAUUUUUAUCUUAAUUUUUAUAUUUUGUCAUUGUAGGAAUAUUGGGAAUAUUCAUGAGAAAAGAAGCUUAAGAGGAAACAAAUUGGAGUAUAAUGGAAAUAAUGUGGAAGUAAAAGGGAAAGAAAUACAAAGCCAAAUAAAGGAAGAUUGAAUUUUAGCAUCAUGCAAGCAAUCACGUGAAGAAUCAAGGAAGAGAAGAACAGGUCAAUUGGCUUUUAAUUUCAAGCUAGUUACGUGGAGCUCAUUUGACAAUUGAAAUGGAAAGCUUACAAUAUAAUAAAGGAAGCAAAUAUUUUGGCAUUGUUUGAAAAGGGUAUUCACGUGGAUGGGCUUAAAAGGUGGCUAGAAUUGUUUUGUUUUAAAAAUCCUUUUUAUUUAAGGAUUCGUGGGCUGGAUUUGUUUUGUUUUGAAAUCCAUUUCAUUUUAGGAUUUGGAAGAAACCACAACAUUAUAAAAGGAAAAAAGGCAGCCGCACAAGAGAAUGGAAGCCAAACGAAAAGAAAUAAUUGAGCAGCGGCCGGAAGUCUUGAACGAAAACCGAAGAGCAGCAGGAAUAAUUUAGAGCAGAAGGAAGACACAUUAAUUCUUGAGUUUUACUUUCUCUCUUCUCUAUUAUCUUGCUUGAAUGUUUCCAAUUAAAUUAAUGAAUUCUCUUUAUAUUCCCAUGAACCAAUUUAUUUUACUAGGGCUACGAUGUAGCCUAACUAUGAAGAUUUAAUUCCAUAAAUCUAUGUUAUUUAUUAUUCCAUGGUUGAGUGUUCAUUAUUGUGCUUAAUGCUUUUAAAUAUCUGGCCAAUAUUUGAAUGAUUUGAGGAUACAUAAUGAGACCGAGAGGAGAUUUAUGUAUUUUUGCUCUGCGUAAUGAAUGUCAUGAAUUGAACGAAAGACAGAGAUGUGCUAACGUGAUUCGUGCAGUUUUUCUAAGAAUUUUCAUGGAACUUAUUGAAUCUUUGCAUAUUUAAAUUCACAUAGAGAUAUAGUGGGUUAAUGUGUGAAGAUAUUUUUAAUAUUACUCGAGAGAGGAUAUUGAAUGGAUUAGGGAAAUUCACUGUCAACAUGGAUAGUAAAUUUUAAUAGCAUAGAUGGAGGAUUAAAUUGGAUUGGUUAUGGUGAAAUCGGAUGUCCUAGUGUCUUAAUCUCUUGGUGAUUUCUAUUACUGCCUGCGUUUUUAUUUAAUUUUUAAUUAUUUUAUUUUAUUUAAUUUUAAUAUAAAUUCGCUUAUUCGAUUGUUCAAAUAAAUUUGGGUUAGAAUAAUUUCGGUAACUAAUAGGAUAUACAAUCUCUGUGGGACGAUACUCUACUCUUCAUUAUAUUACUUGUGCCGACUAGUACACUUGCUAAUUUACGCAUCAGACACCCGAUUGCGAAGAUGCUUUCCAAGAACUGAAGGGGUACCUCGUGAAUGCUCCACUACUUGCCAAACCUGAGCCGGGAGAGGGGCUUCUGUUGUAUCUCGCCGUAUCCGAGCAUGCCACCAGCUCCGUGUUACUCCGAGAGGAUGAUAAUGGGAUACAACGACCUAUUUACUACACUAGUAAGGCUAUGGUUGAUACCGAAAAGAGGUACCCCACCUCUGAAAAGAUCGUUUUGGCAUUGGUUGUCUCCGCACGGAAGCUCAGACCAUAUUUUCAAGCUCACACCAUUGCAGUCGUCACCAACCUUCCCCUCAGGCAAAUCCUCCAGAAGUUAGACAUGCCCGGAAGGCUUCUCUGAUGGUCCCUCGAAUUAAGCGAGUUUGAUAUCAUCUUCAAGCCUCGAUCGGCGAUUAAAGCCCAAGCCAUCGCUGAUUUCAUUGCGGAAUUUACCAAUGACUUAAGUGGUGAAGGUGAUCUGAGGUACCUGUCAGAUACCCCAUCCACCGACGAAGGGGACAGGUCUGGGAAAUAUAUGUAGAUGGUUCCUCUAACUCACACGGAAGUGGUGCGGGAGUUAUUAUAAUCGACCCGAACAAGGUAAAAAUAUGCUACGCUUUGCAAUUUGGAUUCAAUGCUUCAAACAAUGAAGCCGAAUACGAGGCCAUUAUAGCAGGGUUGAGGAUGUCGAAGGCUUUGGGAGCAAAGAGGGUACACAUCAAGAGCGACUCCCAGUUGGUGGUAAGCCAAAUUACCGCACAAUAUCAAACGAAAGAGGAAAACAUGAAGGGGUACCUCAGAAAAAUCAGAGAAUUGAUGUCCCAAUUUUGCGAGGUUAAGGUGGAAAGGGUACCCCAACUGGAGAACAGCGAAGCCGACACCCUGGCAAAAAUGGCGUCCCUUGGUGUAGCUCAGUCAGCUGGCCCCAUCACGACAGAACACAUGCCCGCCCCCAGCAUUGAUCUCCUAGAGCCGUUGGAAGUAGGAUCACUGUCCAAUGAGGUACUUUGGAUGGAGCCUAUCAUAAGGUACCUCAAGGACGGAGACCUCCCCUCAGAUAAAAGUGAAGCAAGAAGACUAAAGUAUAAAGCUGCGCGGUACUGCCUGAUCCAGGAUACCUAUACAGAAGAGGGUUCACUCUUCCUUACCUUAAAUGCUUGGGAAGUGACGAGGCCGAGUAUGUCAUGAGGGAGAUACAUGAGGGGAUUUGUGGCAAUCACUAUGGAGCACAAUCACAGGCGCAAAAAGCUCUCCAUCAGGGGUACUACUGGCCUACCAUGCAGGAAGAUGCCAAGAAUAUGGUACGAAGCUGUAACAAAUGCCAAAGGUUCGCCAAGGUACCCCACAUACCCUCAGAGAAGCUAACAAUUAUAUCUUCCCCUUGGCUCUUCGCUAUAUGGAGAGUGAACCUCAUUGGCCCGUUACCUACCGGGAAGGGGCAAGCAAAACAUACAAUCGUGGCGGUAGAUUAUUUCACAAAGUGGGCGGAAGCGGAGCCACUAACAAGCAUCACAGAAAGGAAAACCACAGAAUUCAUUUGGAAGAACCUCAUUUGCAAAUUUAGGAUCCCCUAUGCAAUUGUUAGUGAUAACGGCAAGCAAUUCGAUAAUGAAAAAUUUUGAAGUUUUUGUUCGGAGCUUGGGAUAGCCAACCAAUUUGCUACACCUGCCCAUCCCCAAUCUAAUGGGCAAGUUGAAGUCGUUAACAAGAUUAUCAAAGGUAUCCUGAAGAAUAAGCUAGAAGAAAGAAAGGGAGCGUGGGUAGACGAGCUACCUAGGGUUCUAUAGGCCUACCGGACUACUCAAAACACUUCCACCUGGGAGACCCCUUUUUCCCUCGCAUUCGGUGUUGACGCAGUGAUUCCAGUAGAAAUCGGGGUACCCUCUCACAGGGUUGAAUGCUUUGAUGAGGUCGAGAACACCUCCUUGAUUGCUUCCAACCUUGAUUUGGUGGCCGAAAAAAGGGCUAGAGCAGAAUUGAGGACAACCAUAUAUCAACAUCGCAUUUUGUGUCUAUAUGAAAAAAGGGUACGCCCUCGAUCUUUCAAUAAAGGAGACUUGGUCUUGAGAAGGGUAACGCAGAACAUUAGGGUACCCUGCGAAGGCACUUUUGGGGCAAAUUGGGAAGGACCUUACCUCAUCGACAAACCCGUUGGGUCAGGUGCAUACAGGCUACUCCACAUGGAUGAGACAAUCGUGAGGCACCCCUGGAAUGUUGCAAUGCUACGAAAAUAUUACUAAAGGACAGUGUCUUAACCUUUAGUCUUUUGCUACUAUUUGCUUUCUUUAAUAUUUUUGUGUGGUAGGCCAAAUGGGGUACCCCAAACGCCCUAUGUUGGUCAGUUGCAACUUUAGAGUUUAUUUAAUUUUCAAAUGAAAAGGAUAGGAGGUCUUGCGGUCUCCUGUUCUCCUCAGGGUAACAAAGUUAAGUCAUGUAUUGAUCAACGCUUUCGUUAUCUAUAAAUGCAUUUUCUCUCUCAACAAAUAUGAUGUGGGUUCUUUCUUUAUUUUUCGCCACUUCGAUCUUAGAAUGCGGAUUAUAUUCAUUUAUCGCCAUUAAUAUACCAUCGCAUCUGGUUAUAUACAAUUCUCGCCAUACGCUUGUCAAUUAUGACUAACCUAUCAUAGGACCAGCCAGGGUACCUGAUAUGCCUAGAUCGUGACGAUCUAUUCAAAGCCAAGAUGGGCAACGGAGUGAACAGCCCAGGGGUAGCCUUUCUGCGGAAGCAUGACAAAACUACAUAAACAAAUAGAGUGACGGUCAAAGAGGACCCGAGGGUGGAGUAAAACCGGCAUACCAUAGCGCCACGAGGUUCAGCUUAGGUAUGAGUACACCCACACCUCUGUCCUCUUACUUGAGCAAAGUAUGGGGUAAGCUAUUCCAAAAAUUCGGAGGGAACUUCGAAAGAAUAAGAAAUUGAUUGGUUGGACCAAUUGCGCACUAUCAAUUUUUGAUCGAGAUGUCACAAGGAUGUUUUGAUUACCUAUUUGUGGGAAAUUCGCCAUAGUUGCCGAGAAGGGCAUGCACCAAAUUUGACGAUCUAUAUAAAUCAGCAGGCGCCUGAUGUCGAAUAUUUGUUAAGGUACCGGGGGUACCCCAUUCUAAAAAAGAAAAAUGAGAGGUACCUUAAAAAUUUGCAAGAUAACAGUUUAGCCAAGCAUUCAUUUGCAGAAUAACAAUAAUGCAAAGUACGAGAGGGCUCGGUGGCAUGGUAUUAUAACAAAAGAGAAGUCCCAAUAAUACAAAAUAUCCCAAGAAACCAAAAAGAAAUAAACAAGUUCCAAAUAGCAAAAUGUGGAUAGAUCCAAAAAACAAGAGCACAAUGAAAAGGCUACACCAAGGGUAGAACGCCAUCCCCACCAUCCGUCUCCAGAAGGCGAUCAGUAAAGGACUCUGAGGUACCCAGAAUAUGAGCAGCCGAAGUAGGGGCAUCUGAGGCGGGCAAUGGCUGAAGCGCGCGGGGUACCCUAGGCGACUCGGAAGGGGUACCCGACCGUGCAUGGGAAGACUUCUUCCUCUCCGCAAUCAUCUUCAGAAUCGUGGCCUUGCUGACGAAUUUCUGCACACGGGGUACCUCCAAUUCCGGAUCCACGCUCCACACCUCCGUCAUGAUAAGUGAGAACGCAUCCUCCGCCGUCGUCUUUUAUCGGAAUAACAGAUCCUCGUUUGUGGCCUUCAACUCAUCGCAGUCCUUCUCCACUCGAGCUUUCUCUCCCGAUAGGCCAGUAAUGCGUUCUUGCAAAGUUUUGACUUCUCGAGCAACCUGAUCCUCGCGAGACUGACGACUUUGGAGCUCACCCCUUAACUUGUCGACCUCUGAUUGGGCAGCAACAAGGGAGUCGAGGUCUGGAAGACAAUAGUUGAGGAGAAAAGAUGCCUGCAGGUCAUAGAAGACAUGUUAAAUAUAUGUGUAUGGCAAUAAGAUUAAAUAAGUAAAAAAUGAAGGGUACACCCGGGGUACCCCGGGAAAGCCUACCUCUUGGGUAGCCUGAGUGCUUGACCAUAGCGCUGGCUCAAACUCAUCCUGUCUGUCUCUUCAGCGACCUCAGAGGUAACAUUUUCGGCAGAAUAGUAGAAACAGCGAGCCAAGUGCGAAACCUCCUUGUUGGAAGCCGGGUCUAGGUCACCUUCACGCAACUCAUCGGGGAAUGUAGAAACCAGCCCGAAUUUUCUCUUCUUUGAACGAGAGGUACCCUUUGACGCACUGUGGGAGGUACCCUGAGAUUUUUCCUUUAGUCUGGGAGCUCGAGGUGGCCGGAAACUUUUCUGAGGUACCGCCGAAUCCUGAGAUCCAGAAGUACCACCCACUACUACUUGGAAAAAGGCAUCAAAAGCGUCACCCGCUGACUCCAUAACUGCACCCAAUGCAUAAACGUUAUGUUAGCUGGACGAGUACUAAGUAUUACAAAAGCAAAAAUGGGAAAUGAAAAGCAGGGAAGCAAAAUAAAGAAUGCGGUGAUAAUGGGGUACCCCAGUCCCGUAGAUAAUAAUAGGGUACCCCCUACACCCAAAUCAUACAUGAGCCACCCUCGAGAGCAAGUGGAAGACUUUAGUCAAUCAGCCCCGCUCUCCAUAAUCUGCUCUCCUCUAACACAUCACUGCUCCUCUGUGCACCUCGAAGCCUCUCCACACACUUCUUCACCUCUCUCCCCACCUCCUGAACUGGGCAUGAUCCUUUAGCCCACGUCACACCUACAAAAGCAUGGAGAACCCAAGGUUAGCGAGACAUCCAUGCGAAAGAUUAAGAUAAAGAACCGUAAAUAAGAGAGAUACUUACAGUCUACAUUGAAGGAAUUGAGAACCUCCACGGGAUUACCCUUUUCAUCCAGAGUCUCUGUCCCCAACCUACCCUCAGCCACAAACCAUCCAUUUCUGUAACCCUUCUUUAAGGCGGGGUCCCCCUCAACAAUAUGGCCAUGAUCACCCUAAGCGGAGAAGUAAGCAAUAGCGGGAUCCUUAGGCUUUUUGAAUUGGUAAAGGCCCCUCAAUUCCCGCAUAGAAAUGUCGCGCCUCAAUACUUCCAACCAUAACACAUGUAAGCCCGUAAGUGUCCUCCACCCGGGAAGGGACAGCUGCCCAGGAGCUACCCCCAAAUAACUAAACAGUCUCAUAUAAAAAGGUUGGAGGGGCAGGCGGAGUUCUAGAUCAAAGAGGUCAAUGUGGAGAGCAAUCCCGUCAGACUUCGGACACUCAGGUCGUUUAUCCACAUGGGGUACCCUAAGCUGGACAGAGGGAGAAAUAUUGUAUUUGGCUCUAAUUUGUUCUAAGUCCCCCAAAGUAGCUCUCUUAGUGCCUAAGGAAUAAAGGUUGCCAGAUUUUAAAGGUGUGGCAGAGGGAGACUUGGGAGGUCGGUCUGAGGAACAAGCUGGAACCUUGGGCUUGGAUGACCUACCCUUUUUUUUAGGAUGAGGGGUUGGCCGUUUACUGGGAAAGCGUGGGCUGACACGAGGAGUACUCCUAGGGGGAGGGAGCUCAGAGUGAGAGUUACAACUCCCAGAGGUACUAGGGGGAGAUCUAUCCCCCUCGCUAAUGGAGAUGUGGGAAGGAGAACCCGCAGGAGGGCUGUCAACCCUACUAGCCCCAACUGCACGAUGCUUCCUCACUGGCCCCGUAUGUUUCUUGCCUAUUUACUUUCCCCCAACAAUAUAACCAUGAAGCCACAAUUCCCCCAACAACAUAACCACCAAGCCACAAUUCCCCCAACAACAUUUUCAUACCAUACACCACCCACCACACAUCAACCAUUAAAUGCAAACACAAAAAAAAAACAAAAAAACAAACAAACAAACAAAUUUUUCUCAGAGUAUGCAAAAUAGUGCCAUUGUAAAUGCGCCAAAGGAGGAGAAACGAGGAAGGAUACCUGUGAUUUACCAACUUGAUGGAUCGGGAUUGGUAAUCGUGGGGAGAUAAAGCUACAGGCAACCAAAAACAGUAAGUAAGAAUAUGCAAAUAUAAAAACUAAUGGUGUGAAGAACGAAGAAGCUGCAAAUUUAUUUUAUUUAUUCAAGCACAAAUGAAAUUAGCCAAUUUAUUUUAUUUAUAAAUAUCAAUAUAUACCGCGACCAAAUGCUUAUAAAGGGUGUAGAUGAGAGCGCCAUGUGUAGGAUGUUUACACACACACUCACGGGCCCCGCGAAGUCAUGGUUUCGCUCUUUGAAAGUAGGUAACAUAUCUUCCCUACACCAAUUGUUAUCCAAAUUUACUAAAGAGUUUUCCUACGCUUCCACUCAAGAUAGAGUAGCCUCCAAACUUGCCUUUAUCAAGUAAGGGGAAGCCAAGCCCUUGGCAGAGUAUGUGAGUCGUUCCUACCAAGAGGUGUUGCGAACCGGAGCAUUUGGAAACCAAUACACAUUGACCCAUUUUGAAAAAAAUUUACGGUUGGACAAGUUAUGGCGUUCUUUUCAAAAGAGGCGAUCACUUUCAUAUGGGGAAGCUCGUUCCCGGGCGUUCCAGCAGGUGGAGAUGGACGAGAAAUGCCAAUUGAAGCGCCAAGAAGAUAAAGCCAAUGUUACAAAGAACAAGGAGAAACCCAAGAGGAUAGAGGCCCUAAUACCGCGGGUACCCCGAGCACGGAGCCCUCCACGGGCUGCCCCGCAGGGACGAGGGUAUAACGCUCAGGACCUCCAAGAUCGCCACCACCGGAUCAGCGAGAGCCACCACUGAGGCCUCAGUACAAAUCUUACCAUCCACUGAAUCGAUCCCCAAAGCAUAUCUUCUACCAUAUUCGGGAUAUUGGCCUCCUUCGUCUUCCUAAGCCAAUGAAGAAGUACCCCAACAUGAAGCAUAGCCUGAAGUAUUGUGAGUUCCAUGAGGACUUCGGUCACAGCACAACCGAGUGUUUUACCUUGCGAGAGGAAAUUGAAUAUUUGAUUCUUAGCGGGUACCUCAAAGAAUUUGUUGCUGGCAUGAGAGAAGCUCGGAAAUUCGCGGAGCAAGAUAAGGGCAAGCAGGUAGCUGAUGGCAGUCCUGAACGAGAGGUACCCCCGGGACAUAAGAAAUGCGUGUAUGUUCAGAUGAUCAUGGGCGGACCGACUUUAGCGGGCCAAUCUAGGAAGGCUAUCAAAGGCUAUGAUAGAUCGUUGUCGAUAACCACCAAUAUUGGCAGAGAAGUCAACCUUAAUGAAUGGGGUACACCGAAGGUACCCCACCAUCCACCGCCUAUCCUUUUUAUAGAAAAAGAAGCGGAGGGUAUCUCGUACCCCCAUGACGAUGCCUUAGUAAUUACGUUGAAGGUUGCCACCGGUAAGGUAGCAAGAACUCUUGUAGAUACCAGCAGCUCCGUUGACAUCAUUUUCAAAAGCGCCUUGGAUCAACUAUUGAUUGAGUCGCCAAAGAUCACCCCCUAUGCUACGCCUCUUAUUGGGUUCGCCGGAGAUAUGAUUAUACCAAAGGGCAUCAUUACGUUGCCCGUUACACUUAGUAAGAUACCUCACCGUGUUGUUCAUAUGAUUGAUUUUCUUAUUGUAGAUCACCCAGGUGCCUACAAUAUUAUAUUGGGUAUGCCAUUCUUAGUAGCAACUAAAGCGGUGGUAUCCAUGCACUACCUCGCCAUGAAAGUCCCGGCCGCCCAAGAAGUUAUCACCACUAAAAGGGACCAGCAAUCUGACUAUACUAUGCUUGACUUUUGGAGUAUGUAAAAUUGAUGGGGUUUUGUUUAUUUAGCUUGCUGAGUGGUUUAUCUUGUUUGGGGAUAACUUGUUUAGCAUGUAUGGUGAAAUGAAAGUAUACGCAACUAAAUUGCUCUGGUCGGCAAUAACCUUCUAAUAUUGAGUGAGAUCACCAAGUGACAAUGCUUUAAUUGCAUGGCAUCUAAGAUGCGAUUUUGCUAGAUUGUUUUUAUGUAGGCAAUACAUUCUAGUGUUGGACAACACCCUUCUAGUCUUCGAGCGACUUCACCAAGUGACAAUGCUUUAUUGGCAGGGCAUCUAAAAUGCAAUUAUGCUAGGUUGUUUUUAUAUUUGUUUCAGCACUGUAUGCACCGUGUGUCUUUGUAUGUAUGGGCUUUCUUAAAAAUGAGAUUGUUUCUUUCUAACCUCUCUCAUGCUACAGAAGGGGGUUUGUAUUAUGUUAUUAUCGGCUGAUUAAAUGUCCAUUCUUAAUUGUUUAUUUGGGCAGAUAUACUCCUAGCACUUCUACAGUCACAUAUAAUUUGAAAUCCAAACCGCAACAAAAUCUAAAAUGGCGGAGGGUAGUGUUCAAAAUUAGUGGUUCUGCGCUAGUUGGGAACUGCCAUAAUAUCGACCCCAAGGUGCAAUUCUUUUGCCCUCUUUUAAGUAUAAGUUGAUGUGGUUUAAAUUUUGCGAAUAAGGAAGUAUUUAGAUGUACAAUUUGUUUGCAGUGUGUUAUGGUUGGUUUUACAUGGGGAAACCGUUUUACAUAUGGUUUGUGUUAUUAGGUGGUGAUGAAGAUUGCCAGGGAAGUAGCAUCAGCCUGUCGUCUUGGGAGUGAGGUAUUGCCCAAACUCUCUUUUACAUGUUUUAAUUGUUCAAAAUGUUCCUUUAUUUGUGUUUUUCUAAGUUUAGGUUGUAGAUGCUCAUUAUUAAGUGACCUUUAGGUGGCAAUUGUUCUUGGAGGUCGAAACUUCUUUUGCGGGGAUUCAUGGCUUUCUGAUACUGGCUUCGAUAGACCCACAGCUUAUCAAAUUGGGUAAUUUCUAUGUUAUUUAUCUUGCAUUUAAACUUCCAUCUAUAUCUUUCAAUUAUAGUUGGAGUCUAUCUUGUUGACUUUAUAGUCUGUGAAGAAUUAGGAUGUUUUGUUUAUUCUGUUAACAAACCAUGCUUAUAUGGUCAGUAUACAUUAGGAAGUUUUGUUUAUUAUGUUACAAAGUUCGCAGUUCUUUCCUCAUUUUCUCUCCUAUUUUAUGCUUAUAUUUCAUUGAUGCAGCGUUGAAAUUGAAUUGCUAUUAUAUUGGAUACUGAAUUUAUCAUCUGGGUCAGGCCUUGGACACCUUUAGUGCUGCUCUAAGUGAUCCAUACAGUUGUAGGUUGCUUAUAUCUCUUCCCAACCAUAUAAUACCUUUUGCAAUGUGACCGUGAUUUCAUUUCAGAAUGAUGGCGACGGUUAUGAAUUCUAUAUUGCUCCAAUCAGCCUUGGAGAAGCUGGAAAUUAAGACGCGUGUUCAAAGUGCAUUUGCUUUGCCAGAGGUUGAUGAACCAUAUAGCAGGCAAAGAGCCAUCCGACAUCUUGAAAAAGGGAGAGUUGUGAUAUUUGGUGGCAUUGGUGCUGGCACUGGAAAUCCGCUUUUCACCACUGAUGCUGCUGCUGCUCUUAGAGCUUCUGAACGUAAGCUUGUACUACUUAACAGCUCUAUUUCAUUCUCUUGUUUCUGUAUAUAAUAUCACUCGCUGUAAUCAUGGUUUACUGCCAGUACUGGUGUUCUUUCUCCUUUUACCUGUUUGUGUGGAGUUUUACUUGGAAAAUAAUAAUGACAUGCUUUGCAUAUUUUUCAUGUCAGUUAAUGCGGAUGCAAUGGUUAAAGGUUUAAGUGUCAAUGGUAUAUAUGAUUCCCACUCUGGUAAUGGCCAUGUAGUACCGGAACACAUAUCUUACAGGGAGGCAGUCUCUGGCAACUUUACGUCCAUGGACACUGUUGUUACUUGAAUAAGAAAAGAAAACAAAGUUUACAAAUGGAAAUGAAAGCCACGUGAAUUGUCAAGAGAACUUCACUCAAUUCAUUAACUGAAAACAUUACACUUUAAAGCUUAAAUAACACACCAAAGUCAAAUAACAACCCACUAGAAUCAUGGUCCAAAGAUUGUGCCACGAUCACAGCAAGAAUCAACAAAAUAAAUAACCAACACCAGAAAAAUAGGAAAAGUUUGAAACAUUCAACAGAAGCAACUUCUAUGACUCCACAUCAGCAGUCCUAAACACAUCUUCUAACACUCCUCCUUGCUUUAGGAGCUGCAAACACCAAGUUUUGUUCUGAAAUACUCAAACUUGCUAACCGGCAGUGGCUUGGUGAAAACAUCUGCAACCUGAUCUUCUGUUUUGCAGUAGACAAGACUAACAACUCCAUUUUUCUGCACUUCUCUUAAGAAGAAUAAUUUAAUAUUAAAGUGCUUAGUUUUCCCGUGAAACACAGGAUUUUGAGAGAUUGCAAUAGCAGCUUGGUUGUCAACUAGAAUCUCUGUACUUUCCUCCUGCUCCAGGUUAAGAUAAAUUAAAAUCUUCCUCAGCCACAAAGCUUGAUUGACAGCAGCCGUUGCAGCAACAAAUUCUGCUUCAGCAGUGGAUUGAGCUACAAUUUCUUAUUUUUUCGAGCUCCAAGAGAAAACACCAGAACCAAGUGUGAAACAGUAGCCUGAAGUGCUUUUCAUAUCAUCAAUGGAACCUCCCCAAUCGCUAUCUGAGUAACCAAACAAUUUGAACUCUUUGCUCCUUGUAAAUUUAAUGCCAAAAUUACAUGUGCUCUUCACAUAUCUAAGCACCCUCUUUGCAGCUUUGAGAUGCCAUUCGCUAGCACAAUGCAUAAACCGAGACAAAAUGCUUACAGCAUUCAAAAUGUCAGGUCGAGUUGCUGUGAGAUACAUCAAGCAACCAAUUAAGCUUAUGAAAUAUGCCUGAUCAACCUUCUCUGUUCCAUCUUCUUUACAGAGCUUCUCCUUUGAGUUCAUUGGAGUGCUCAUUUCUUUGCAUUCUUCAAGUUUAAACUUUUUCAGAAUUUCCCUGGCAUAUUUCUUCUGACAGAUGAAGACUUCAUUUUCAUUUUGUUUAAUUUCCAUUCCAAGAAAGAACGCCAUUAAUCCGAGAUCUGUCAUCUCAAAAAUCUCCAUCAUUUCUUGCUUAAACUCCUCCACAACACACUUUUUAUUUCCUGUCACGAGCAGAUCAUCCACAUAUAAUGAGAUGAUAAGAAUGUCAGCACCAAUGUGCUUGACAUAUAAUGUUGAUUCAGAUAAGCUUCUAACAAAUCCCAAGUUCCGCAAGUAUUCAUCAAUCCUGCUGUACCAAGCUCUUGGAGCUUGCUUCAAGCCGUAAAGAGCUUUUUUAAGAAGAUACACUUUGUCUUCUUCUCCUUCCUUUACAUAGCCUUCCGGUUGCUCUACAUAAAUCUCCUCUUGCAGGAAACCAUUCAAGAACGCUGACUUGACAUCUAACUGGUACACCCUCCAAUUUUUUUGUGCUGCAACAGCUAGUAACAGCCUGAUGAUGUCGAGUCUAGCGACUGGUGCGAAGGUAUCUGAGUAAUCCACGCCAGGUACUUGAGUAAAUCCUUUGACCACGAGCCUAGCUUUAUAUUUGUUGAUUGAGCCAUCAGCAUUAAGCUUGGUUUUGUACACCCAUUUGACUCCAAUUACCUUCCUGUUUUGGGGUCGAUCAGCCAACUCCCAUGUUUUAUUCUUUUCAAUCAUGAACAGCUCCUCAUUCAUUGCCGUAACCCAAUUCUGAUCCGUCUUGGCUUCUUUAUAAUUUGUAGGUUCACACACAGCAACAUUGCAUCUUUGGUAAACAUCUGAAAGUGGUCUUGUGCCCCUGAUAGGUCUGUCAUCCACCGUUUCAUUUUCCCAAUCUUCAAUGCUUUGAUCUGCUGUGUCCAUAAUAGGAAACUUGAGUUUUGGCUUUUUUGAGGUUGAAUCCAUCUUCUUUGCAUCAUCCCAAUUCCACUCUUCAUCUUCCAUAAAGUGCACAUCCUUACUUAUAAUAAUUUUUCCAGUUUGUGGCUGGAAAACUUUAUAAGCUUUUGCAACGGAGCUGUAGCCAAUAAAGAUGCCUGAAAGUGCUCUUUUAUCUAGUUUGUCUCUACUAAUCUGCGGAACAUGAGUGAAGCACAGACAUCCAAAUAUUCUAAGGAAUUUCAAAGAUGGUUUAUAGCCAUACCAAGCCUCAAAGGGUGUUUUAUCUCUCACUGCUCUUGUGGGAAGCCUGUUUUGCAAAAAAACAGUAGUGCUUGCAGCUUCAACCCAAAUUUGCUUUGGCAAGUUCUUCUCAUGUAGCAUACAUCGUGUCAUCUCCAAUAUAAAUCUGUUCCGUCUCUCACUCACUCCAUUUUGUUGUGGAGUGUAUGGAGUGGUUAAUUGAUGUUGGAUGCCAGCCUCCUCGCAAAAGUGAUUGAAUGCUCCAGAGGUAUACUCCUUGCCAUUGUCUGAUCUAAGAGUCUGAAUUCUACAGCCACUCUCGUUCUCAACUCUAGCUUUAAAGUUCCAGAAAACUUGAGCCACCUCUGACUUGUGCUUCAAAAAAAAGAUCCAACACAUACGGGUGAAAUCAUCAAUGAAUACAACAUAAUAAAGACUACCAUUCAAAGAAGGCGUUCUUUGUGGGCCUGCAAUAUCAGUAUGAACUAAUUGCAGCUUCUUUGUUGCUCUCCAUGUUGCCUUGGGAAAUGGUCUCCUGCUUUGCUUUCCAAACUGACAUGCUUUGCAAUUUUGAAUAUAGUCAUCAAGUUCUGGAAGAUCAUUUGCCAUCCCCUUGGAUUUCAUCUGCAGCAGCCCUUGAUGAUGAUAAUGCCCGAGCCUCUUGUGCCAUAACUCAGUGAUAUUUUCUUUGAUCGGGAAAGCAUUUUGCUCCUCCUCCAAUGGAUUUAGAACAAAGCUUUUCCCUUUCAUUUUUACUCUGAAAAUAUCUUUUCCAUCUGCAUCUGAAAAGGUUGUGAUUGCAACUGUUCCUUUUCCUUUCACAGCUAUGUACGUGCCAUUUCCAACUCGAACCUUUGACGAGUUUGCGUUGCUUAGUUCCCUGAAUAGAUCCUUGUUAUGUGUCAUGUGGUUAGUACAACCACUAUCAAUAAGCCAACUCUCACUUGAUUCGAUGCCAGAGAAAUAUGUAGCGACGAACAAGUGAUCCUCUUCCUCUUGACCAGCCGUCUUUGCCUCUUCACCAUGUUGAUUUUCAUUUUUACAGAUAACUGCUUCAUGCCCCAUCUGAUUAUAUUUAGUGCACUUAGCAUCAGGUCUUCUCCAGCAUUUAAACGGAGGAUGACCCUUCUUUCUGCAAUGUUUGCAAGGUGGAUAGGAUUUCUUCUGAUUUUCAUUCUUUUCUUUUGCAUUCGCAGAUGCUGUACUUGCCCCAUUUCCUUCAAAGUCCUUCUUCUUUGUUUUGUUUUUGGCCAUGUUCUGAUGUUUGGCUGCUAAAGCUCCUUCGGUUGUUGUAUCCCCCCUCAUCAGUCUUCUUUGUUCUGGUGCUUGUAAUGCGUUAAGCAAUUCUGCCAAGGAAAUCUUUGACAAAUCCUUGGUAUUUUCAAAGGUAGUGAUAGUUGCUUCAUAUCUUUCAGGUACUGUAACAAGAAUUUUUUGUACAAUUCUUGAGUCAGUAAAUUCAGAUCCAAGAAGCCUCACCUUGUUUGCAAUACUAAGAAGUCUGUCGGAGUAAUCUUUGAUCGUCUCGGAGUCCUUCAUUCUUUGAAGUUCAAACUCCCUAAUCAAAUUCAGGACUUGCAUACCUUUAAUUCUUUCAUCUCCUUCAUAUUCGCUCUUGAGAUAAUCCCAUAUCGCUUUUGCUGACUUCAAAGACAUGAUGCGAGUGAAUAUGGUGGAUGAGACUGCAGCAAACAAACAGGCCUUUGCCCUUGAUUUCUUUGUCUUCUUUUCUUUAUGCGCUUUUAUCUGUGCCAUGGUGGGAUUGUUUGGAAGUGCAGGAAUUUCAUAGUCUUCUUCCACUGCUUCCCAAAGAUCCAAAGCUUCCAAGUAUGCCUCCAUAUGUACUGCCCAAAGCUGGUAGUUGUUUCCGUCAAACACCGUCGGAGCAAUUGCGGAGAAACUGGCUUCGGCUUCCAUGACUUGACAAAUUCAAACACAGAUCCCUUAAGAAGAAAGCUCUGAUACCAGAUGUUGUUACUUGAAUAAGAAAAGAAAACAAAGUUUACAAAUGGAAAUGAAAGCCACGUGAAUUGUCAAGAGAACUUCACUCAAUUCAUUAACUGAAAACAUUACACUUUAAAGCUUAAAUAACACACCAAAGUCAAAUAACAACCCACUAGAAUCAUGGUCCAAAGAUUGUGCCACGAUCACAGCAAGAAUCAACAAAAUAAAUAACCAACACCAGAAAAAUAGGAAAAGUUUGAAACAUUCAACAGAAGCAACUUCUAUGACUCCACAUCAGCAGUCCUAAACACAUCUUCUAACAGACACAAUGGCCAUUACAUAUUGUGAAGAGAAUGGGAUUCCUGGUUGGUAUUUUCUUUUGCCGUAAUUCUAGCAGUUGCAAAUCAGAUCCCUUUGGCUUUUCCUGAUACAUAUGUAUACAAUCUCUGUAGUUGUAGUGUUUAAUCUGCUUGAGCCUGGGAAUAUUUCAAGUGCAUUAUGCGGAGGCCAAGUGGGCACGUUGAUUGACCAAUCAGGAGGAAUUAGUUGAUGCAAAAGAAAUGUCUGCUGGAUGUGCUUUGAGGCAUGAUGUCAACUUCAUGGAAGUACAGCAGGUCCAGUGUCAAAAACAUGUAUAUAUUGGAAAUUUGAAAUGCAGCAAUCGCAAUCGGAUGCAUCACUUUGAACUCGCUACUGUAACAUAAAUGACUGAGUUUGGAGCAUAUCCCUGUGUCACAUGUAAAUCCUGUAGUAGAAUUAGAACCUACCCAAUAAAUGAUGAAGAAAAAUGCUGGUUUCAGUGGGAAAGUUAUUGCUUCAACGACCCUCCCAGACGUUUCUUUCUUUGUUAAUGUGCAAAGUCAUCUGCUUUUUUAGGAUUUUUAAUGUGAUUAUUUAGUUGUCACAAACUAUUUACUCUUCUUUGAGUGACUCCAAAUCAUGGGUGUCAUGUUGCUUUCAACCUUUCAGUUUUUCGAGAGGAUGCGAUAAGCUAAUUUUCAUGUUGAAUUGUAACCAAAUAUCUUUUUUUUAGGCUACCGUUUAACAAAACAAAAUUGGUAAAUAGACAAACCCCCCAACCUGCUCUUUUCCCGUAAAGGUUUGGCGAGUAAAGCAAGAUCUAAACUGGGAUUAAGGAAUGCUAUUAUGGGAUAGAAUAUUUAUACAGUUCUUCUUGGGUUAAGUUAUAGGGUAGAUAUAUAUUUAUUUUUUAUAUUUUAACAAUACAAUAAACCACAUUUUUCUUUUAUUUUUUUGCAGAAAGUGCAUAAAAUGAGUCGUUUAUUUUUAUUAAAAUUUUCGUAAAUUAGGCAUAUACUCAAAAGCCUGUACACAAACUAGCAAGACGAAGAAAAUAAGUUUUAUUUUCUUUUAUAAAAUAUUCAAAAUCCAAUUAAGGAGACAAAGACGUUAUUUACCAUCAUACUUUCCUUUUCUCUAUAAUAUAAUGAAUUCUUCUUGUGAUGCUAUGUUAAAUUAUAAUAUGGUCUGCACGUGGGCGAUAAGGGAUGAUAAAAGAAAAUAAAUAAAAUAAUUUAAUAUAAUAAUUCCUAUUUUAAUAGGAUUUAUCUGCUUUACAAUUUUAUAUUGUUAUUGUUUUGAUUAUCCUAGUCUAGUUAACAUUUGAGUUUACAUUCAAUUUGAAUCUGUAUCAGUUAAAUAAAUCAAAAUUCUAAACAGAAACCUAUUAGGAAACAGCAACGAGUAUAAGUAAUCAUAACUACAAACUUUGGACUCAUACACUACUCUCACAUUGCAAUAAUGAAAACCUCUCUUCUCAUCAUUUUCUUCUUUCUUGCCCUUACGCUUUCUCCUAGUUUCGGCUUACCUUCUAAUACCGGCGGCAGCCGCAAAGGCAACCAUCAUCUUAAGCUUCAGCUUCCGGCCGGAGUAGUUGGCCCCGAAAGCCUUGCUUUCGACUGCAAUGGCAAAGGGCCGUACGUCGGUGUUUCCGACGGUAGAAUUCUCAAGUGGCAAGACUCAAAACUUGGUUGGACUGAAUUUGCCAGCACCACUCCAUUCAGGUAAGAAUUCGUAUAUAUACAUGUUAGUAUGUAAUUUAACAUGUGCGAUUCUUAUGUGCGAUUCUUUUAACAUCAGAUAUAUUACUUUGAUUUAUUUGUAUGUGCAAUUUAACUAAAUCUAGUUUACGAAUUAUUAAUUUAUUUCUUUUCAAAUUUACCAACGGAAUUUCAAAUUUGCAUGCGAUUUGAUUAGGCGGCUAAGGAGGAUAUGUGAUGGCACAAGCAGCACGAUUUUAGAACCCUUAUGUGGGAGGCCGUUAGGCAUUAAAUUCAAUCCUGUUACAUGCGAUCUUUACAUCGCUGAUGCAUACUUUGGCUUGAUGGUCGUCGGGAGAAACGGCGGCCCAGCGAAACAACUUGCUUCUUCAGCUGAAAGAAUUCCCUUUCGCUUCACAAACGCCUUGGACAUUGAUCCCAAUACCGGCGUUGUUUAUUUUACCGACAGCAGCAUGUACUUCCAAAGAAGACAGUACCCUAUGCUGAUCGAAAGCGGAGACAGAAGUGGAAGAUUAUUGAAAUACGAUCCUCGCAACAAACAAGUGACGGUAUUACGAAGGGGCUUAGCAUUUCCAAAUGGCGUCACCCUGAGUAACGACAAAUCAUUUUUACUGGUUGCUGAAUCAGAUUCAAGGAGGAUUCUAAGGUUCUGGGUUGAAGGUGAGAGCGUUAUAUAUUCUCCGCAACCGUUCGCUCAAGUUGCUCAAUUUCCGGACAACAUCGAGACAGACAGGAACGGAGACUUUUGGGUUGCACUAAACACUAAGAGAGGAAAUGACAAGACAGAUCUUGUGGCGGUAAAGCUUGAUGGCAGCAAUGGCAAUGUCCUUGAUGUUUUAGAAGGAAAUAAACAAAAUGCACUCGAUUCUGUUAGCGAAGUCGAAGAACAUGGUGGAUAUUUGUACGCGGGAUCUCCAGUGCAGCCUUACGUUGUUGUAAUCAAGGCUUAGCUAGGCUUGAUUUUUUUUGCUUCUUUUCAUUCUUCUUUGUUCUUAACUUCUAACAAUACAAUAAACUACAGUUUUCUUUUUUUCUUUUCUUUUUUUUAAUUGCAUAAAAUGAGUCAUCCGUAUUUUUGUUGAAAUUUGCUUUAAUUAGGCAUAUACGCAUGAAAUAAAAGCAAGCAUGAAACUGUCAUCACCAUAAAAUUGAGCUCAAAAUAAAUUCAGAAAGUUGAUUAUUUGAGAAUCUUUAUAGGAAUUGGUUGUUUUGGAUCUGAAAGUUGUUUAUUUGAGAAUCCUUAUAGGAAUUGAUUAUUUCGGAUGCUAAAACAAUCCCAAACUUGUUGUUAUGAUUAUAAAACUCUGCUUUUCCGUAAACAGAAGAACCUAAAGUGCUAAACCCAUUAGCACCUAAAUUAUAUUCUGUUCUCUGUGCAAAAAGUUCAAGAAGUGUAUUCAAAGGACUCGUCUGAAUUUCAUUUGAGCGAGUUGAUAAGAAUAAUCAAAGAAACGCAUACAGUCUUAAUCUAAAGAAACAGUAAUAAUGAAAUGAACUCAACAUAGUAAUGUAGUACAAUGCGGAGCUAGCAAAUAAAUGUAACGGCUAUUAUCAAUUUCCAUCAAAGAGCUGAUUAAUAUACAUGUUGUUCUUCCCAUUUUACAACUUUUAUUUGGAUCCUUCUAUCCUUUGAUCUUAUCCUUAAGUUGGAGAGAACUCAUGGCCCUCUGCUGAGUCACAAAUCCAUGUCAUGUUGCACAUCACUAACGGCAGAGAGCAAAGCACCGAUGAUAUCGUUACAAGGUAUUCAUUGAAACAAUUCGUCGAACAAUUUGAUUUCUUUAACAAACAGUUGCCUCUACUCAUUGCAGAGCAAGAAAAUAUUAAAAUAAUGAAAUAGAUCAUUUGGAUUACAUAGGAAAGGCUAGUCAGCAAUUCAUUGUUAACUAAUACUAUAAUUAAAUAAUAAAGAAACAAUUAAUAUUUUACCGACUGAUUAACUUGACAGCAAGGCAGUUUAAAAAAAUUAAUUUAAUAAAAAAAAGACCCACAACACUAUUAAUAUUAAGCAGUUGCGUAGCACAGUCCCACCAUCUUAGCAGCAAAUAAUAGUGUUCUGUCAUGUGAUACAGUUAUGGGUCCAAAGUGAAACUUUUAGUGAUCCCACAAUAUAACCUCUUAAAUUUAAUAUUAAAAAUAUUAUUCGGUCCUAUUAUCUAUAUAUCUAUAUAAAGUUACGACUACAAGAGCUGAUGUGACAUCACCAUUCCUCAUCUUUUUAUAUUGUUCUGUCAUGUGAUACAGUUAUGGGUCCAAAGUGAAACUUUUAGUGAUCCCACAAUAUAACCUCUUAAAUUUAAUAUUAAAAAUAUUAUUCGGUCCUAUUAUCUAUAUAUCUAUAUAAAGUUACGACUACAAGAGCUGAUGUGACAUCACCAUUCCUCAUCUUUUUAUAUUCUCUAUUAUCUAAAAUAUUUGUGGAUAUUCUUUAUACAUGCCUCUUCCUCUUUCUAUUUAAAUCCAACAAUAUGUAAUCAUUAAUAAUAAUUAAUUAUAAGUCUUUUGAAACAUUUAUUUAUUUUAUUAUACUAGCAAUUAAACUUUAGUAGCUUAAAAUACAUCAAUUAAUUAAUAUAGGAAGAGAAGUUCUUUCAUCUUCCCUCUUCCCUCAACAAUGCUACUAGAGCCUAAUUUUAAUGUCAUAAUCCCAUAUUUAAUUAUGCAACCUUUUGUUUAAUGCCUUUUGACUUCUUCAAACUCUCUAAACACUAAAUAUUUAAGAUUUGUUAUGUUUGAUUUUUUUUAUUAUUUAACCAACAUCCUCUUUAGAAAAAUUCUUAUAUUUUAUUGUUUGAUUUAUUUAAAUUUUUGGUAUUGUGUGCUUCAUGGAGUACUCUUUUCUUCAUAAGUUGAACAAUGAUAAAGAUAGUUGGAUGAUAAGGGUUAAGCUGUGUAGGAUGUGAGAGUCUACUAAUACUAAGAAGAAUGACGAAUCUUUCUACUUAAAUCCAACAAUAUGUAACCAUUAACAAUAAUUAAUUAUAAGUUUUGAAACAUUCAUUUAUUUUAUUAUGCUAGUUCCACCAUAUGACAAACCACCAUCAAAAUUAUUAAAAAAAAGCAACUAAAAUAAAUACCAAUGUAUAUCAACGCCUCACAAUUACACAAUUCAAAAACUUACUUCUUUCGAUUGCAAUAAUGAAAAACUCUCUUUUCAUCGUUUUCUUUUUUCUUGCCCUUACGAUAUAUAUAUAUACAUAGUUUCAGCUUACCUUCCAAUGCUGGCCGCAGCCGCAACGGCAACCACCAUCUUGAGCUUCAGCUUCUGGCCGGAGUCAUAGGUCCCGAAAGCCUUGCUUUCGAUUGCAAUGGCGAAGGGCCGUACGCCGGUGUUUCCGACGGUAGAAUUCUCAAGUGACAAGGCUCAAAAUUUGGUUGGACUGAAUUUGCCACUACCACUCCAUACAGGUAAGAAUUUGUUUAUAACAUGUGUGUGUGUCUAAUUUAUAUUAUUGUAUUAUAGCAUGAAUUUACAUGCACGCUCGUUAUUGUGUUGUCCUAUUAUGUAUAGCAAAGGUUAUUGUUAGGGUAGCAUUUUUACAGUGCUUCCUGUGCUGUUAUAGCAAAUUAAACGUCAAGAAGAGAUUCUUAGGGUCCUUUAAGAUUGAAAAAAAAAAAAACUCUAGGUGAGACUCUAACAAAUUAAUAAAUAGUCGUUUUAUUUUCAAAAUACUCUCUAAAUAGAUAUAUAGCAUUUCACUCUCUUAUGUCCGAUUCUUGUAACAUCAAAUAUAGGCUAGUAAUGUUGUUAAAUUUCUAAGAUAUAGAUAGACCUCAAGCAGCUUUAGUUUCACCCAAAUGUUCACUCAUAUGAUAAUUACAAUGGCAUAGAAAAUGGAACAAAGGAAAAAGAAAUAAGAGUCUCACCAUACAUAUUCUUUGCGCUUACAGGAAUUUUUGAUGCAUUUUCUUCAGUUAUGCUAACGGAAUUUCAAAUUUGUAUCUGGCUUAAUUAGGCGGCCUCGCAAGAUAUGUGAUGUCUCGACCAACACAACUUUAGAACCUUUGCCAAUGGGCAUUAAAUUCAACCGUGUAACAUGUGAUUUGUACAUAGCUGAUGCAUACUUUGGAUUGAUGGUUGUCGGCCCAGCGAAACAACUUGCUCUUCAGCUGAAUCUCUUUUUGCUUUACAAAUGCUUUGGGCAUUGAUACCACUACCGGAGCUGUAUAUUUUAUUGACAGCAGCAUGUACUUUCAAAGGAGGCAAUAUUCUAUGUUGAUCAAUAGUGGAGAUAGAAGUGGGAGGUUGUUGAGAUACGAUACUUGCAGCAAAGUGCUGACAGUCCUACAAAGAGGCCUAGCAUUUCCAAAUGGCGUAACCCUAAACAAAGAUAAAUCAUUCCUACCAGUUGCUGAAUCGAAUUCGGUGAAGAUUUUAAAAUUUUGGAUUCAAGGUGAGAGAGUUACAUUCUCUCCGCAACCUUUUGCUCAGCUUUCGAAAUUUCCAGGCAACAUCGAGAUGGAGAGUAAAGGAAACUUUCGGGUUGCAUUGAGACACUAAAAGACGAAAUAUUGAAAGAGAUCUUGUGGCGGUUAAGCUUGACGGCUAUGGUAAUAUUGUGAAAGUUUUACAAGGAAAUGAACGAAAUGCAUUUGAUUUUGUUAGCGAAGUUGAAGAACAUGAUGGAUAUCUGUCUGCAGGGUCUCCAAUGCAGCCUUUCGUUGUUGUAAUCAAGGCUUAGCUAAACUCGUUUAUUUAUUAUGCUUUGAUUAUUUGUCGUUCUCACAUUUUGACAAUACUGCAAUUUUCAUUUAAAUCUUUUCAGGUGCAUAAAAUAAGUACUCUGUAUUUUUAUUGAAAUUUUAAUUAGGCAUACAUGGAUGAACAAAAACCAAGCAAGAAAUAGGCAUCACCAAAAAGGAACCCGAAAGGUUAAUUACCAUCAGCAGUCGCACUUACUCCUGUUUGAGAUGAAAUAACACUUAAAAGAAGCAAAAGCCAUAACCCACAUGUCAAAAGCAUUAACAAAAAGAGACAUAAAAAGUUAUCUCAAGGGAGAUUAUUUUCUAAAUACAAAACUGUAUCAAAAUCAGUUUGUUGUACAUGGAUGCUGUCAAAACAUUUGUCACAGCAAUUAACUACUCAUAAAACUGUACACAAACUAAUUUUAUUCCGGAAAUGAAUGGCUAUGCGACAUGCUAUUUUUGAAUCUAAAUGAAAAUAUAUUUGAACCUGGGCAACUAUAAUUUGCAACCACUUCCGAGUGCAUUAUUCUGAGUUUUCUUGCUCCAAGUCCACAGCUAUUUCCUCUGUACAAAUCCGAGACCCAUCCAAAAAGUAAGGGUCGAUCUUUCAUGAAUUGCCUUCAUGUAUCCACCAACAGAAAGUCCUAAGGGAAUCUUUGGAUGCUUUAGGAAUAAGCAUUAAGCUAGACAUGAAAGCCGAUGGUUCAACUCAUGUGUAACUCAAAUCCAGAAAAUAUCAUUCAGACUGAAAAUAACUAUCAUAAAUAGAAAGCCGAUCAAAAGCAUCAAAGUUUGCUUUUAGUCCAACAAAUUGACUGCCCAGCUGAGCACAACCAGCAUCUGGCCAACGGCAGCCCCCAUCCCCUGUGCGUAAUGGACACAAAGCUUCACACACCCGACCAAUUGGAUUGCUGGAAACAACAUCAUCCAUUACGGUGACUGAAACAGAGAAAUCUGAUUUCUCAUCAUACUGUAUACUGCCAUCAGAUACUCUUUUUGAAGCGUACAUUUUCAGUGGACUCUCAGUUGUAUUACCUUCAAAUACCUUCAAAGUCAACAGUACAAUCACCACUGCUAGAAAAUUGAACCUUGCAUCCUAAUGAUUGAACGGCUCGAUUUAUGGCUUCACUUUCCUUGCUGGCCCUACUGGCUACAUUCACAGCCUUGCUCCUGAGUUGCUUCUCCUUUCUUAACUCUGCAGUUUGUGAUUCCAUAGCAAUCAUGGUUUCUUUAGCUUUCUUCUCCGCUAACUCUUUUGCCUGCCAGGAAUUUUAAUCGACUGAAUAGUAUUUACAGACCCUCUAUAAUUCAAUUACAGUAAAAAAAAGACGAGGACAGUCAGUUCAUUGUCAUUUAGGAUAAUAUGAACAAGUGAGGGGUUCCAUUAACCAAUAGAAAACAACCUUUUAUUGUUGUCUAUCACCUGAAAGGAGGGUAAAAUUCAUAUUUUGCAAUUGUCUAGUACAACACAAAAUUGCACCUGUAGAACAGAAGGAAAAAUUCCCUUACCUUCUUCAGUUCAGAGAACUUUAUAGCCAUGUCCCUACAUUGUUCUUCAAGCUCCCCAGUUUGGGCUUCGGUGGGACAAGCCCAGCGCAGAUGGAAUUGAGGCCACAAAGUUGGGGCUAAAGCUGCAGCCGGAGGUAAAAGAGGACCAUUAUGUUUCAGCGGAUCAUAAAAGAGGUUAUAGUGAACAUGAGAGCUUCCUGCCGAAGAACGCAAAUCAGCCAGAUAUGCCCACAAGCACCCACAUGCUUCAGCAACACCACAUUGCUGCCUCUCCUUUUCACUGAAAAUUAAGACUAACAAAUCAGAUAAUUCAAAAACUUUCUCAGCAGUGCCUUGAGAGUUAAACUGUUCCAUUCCAAUUUGUUUGUAUAUGUUUCCAUACAGCUACAAUAUUAUAUAAUUGGAAAAAAUAAGUAAACAAGCUGAUUUUGCACCAGCAAAUAUAAACAUCAUUCAUAAGAAUGCCUGUACCAGUUAUACAUGUUCAUUAAUAAAACAGCAACUUCAGGGGAUGAAAUGUAGCAAAAUUUCUCUUUGACCAGUAGUUCCUGAGAUUAUACAACAUACUUAUGAAGUAAAAGAAACAUCCAAACCAUGCUGACAAGCUAAAAACAUACUGAAGUCAAUUUAACAAAAAUUACAAGCUAACUUAAAAUACAACCUUUUAAUCCAUUAUACUUUAGAUUUAUCUGUAUAGUUUGUUAAUGCUUCCUUCUGAACAAAUUGUAUCAUUUAUACUCUUAAUCCUUCUCAAACUCUAUAACUUUUGCAGCAAUUUUUCUUUUUUCUUUUUAAUUGACAAAAAAAAAAGACCAUUAUGCUUUUAAAUAUAACAGUUCCACUAUGUAAUAAUCACAUCAAGAAUUCUUAAUUUUUUCUCAUCCUUUCUACUUCGAAAAAGGAAAAAUUAAAAAAAAAAAAGAUUUGAACCUCAGACUUGUAUCAAUUUAACUUUUCAUUUCCCUUAACUAAAGAUUUAAUCAAAAAGACCAAGCCCCUGGGCAUGUAAAACCAUCGCACUGCAGGAAAAACAAUAGAAAAGGAAAAAGAGAGAGAACUUAAAAAAGCAGCUCUUUAGGACAAAUUACUGGCUAAGUCCUGCUGUUAUCCCAAUAGUCAUAACAGAUGAAGUAAAUGCAUGCCAGUUACCACAGCUUUUAUUGGAAUAGGAUCCACCCCACUGCUUGUAUUAAUGUGAAACCAACCCACUGCAGAAACAAAUUCACACACCAUAUCAUUAAUUUUUCAUCAGACAAACUUAUAACACAACUAGAAAGCUGAAGUCCUCCCACAGUAGAGCCAAAGGCAUGGAAGAGGGAUCAGGACCUAAAGGCAAGCUAGUGUUUAUACAGGAUUGAGCAGCUACUUAAUGAAGUGCUCUAAGAACUUGAGCUUUUGGAUCAAAAGGUUUCUCUAACAUGGUAUCAAAAGAUAAUGUCUCAAGUUAAAUUUCCACACGUGCAAACUCAAUUUUAAUUAUUUAAAUUUCAAUUCUUUGGCUCAUUUUCGAGCUCUCCUGUAUCUAAGCCCAUCUGCAAGCUCAUCUUAGUCAACAUUUCACAUGAUGCAUGUUAAGAUUUGUUUUUCAGGCCCAUAUCGGUUUAAGCUUCUGAAUUUUGAAAAUAUUAAUUAAAUGAAGAUUCUACUAACGACUCAAUAGUUAAAUUAAAUAUUAAUGCAAGAACCUGCAAAAAUAUGGGAGAAUAGUUGUUCUUUGCAUGAGAAGAACCAGAAGCUUGAGGUGCUAAUGAACCAGAUGAUUGGCGCAUGGGUGAUGACGGAAAACUCCCAGUAGAGGACUGCCUACAUAAUUCAAAAGAUAUAUCACCACUUCCAGAGAGGGUUGGCAUUCCCACACGAUCCGAAAAUGGAUGGCCAAAUGCUAGCCAAUCUUUUUCAACAAGUGCCUGCACCAAGAAAAAAGAUUUUAUAAUUUAUGAGUCACAUCACGCAUCACACUGAGUGCAUAACUGAAGAGCAAGGCAAAUGAUAUCCAUGUUACCAUCUCAUAUGGAUAAGACAAAUAAGAACGGUACAGCAACCCAAGAAGAAAAUAAAAAAUAAGCAAAGAAAAAAAAAAUCAAUGCUAACACUUGAUUUUGAGACAGUAAAAUUAAAAUGGGAAAAAAAUAAACUAAAAGGGCCACAAAAAACGUAUGCAUGCAACAAAAGAGUUCCCACAUUGCCUUUCAUACUAGAUUAUUUAAGAACAUCUUGGCAGAAACAUCAGAAAAAAAGAUCUUAAGACUGCCAAUAAGAGCUAAAGUUUCAAGCAUAAAAAUGUACCUGAAAUCCAGCGAAUGUUCGAUAGUAUGGAUCAAGUAACAAAUUAGCAAGUGCAACCAACUGAGUUGUUCUAUCCCAACCAUCACUGCAUAACACAAAGGCAAAUGAACAUGUUAGACACCAAAAUACAAAAAUGUUAAAAAAGGCCAAUAAAGGCCAAUUUCAGGGAAACACCCGAAAUACAAAUUUUCCAUUUUGUUGAGUGUCAACAAAACGUUUUCAUUUUAUUAAUCUUUAACACAUCAAAAUAGGAAUUACCUAGGACUUCAAACAGGAAAUCUCUAAUAUCUAUCCUGAUUACAGAAGUAGGCGAAAUUGCAGUAAAAAUUCAUGUCUCUUGCUCUCUCUAUCUCGCAGCUCUCUAAAUGGUGGAAUAAAAAGUCAUUUGGAUUAAACUCAACUCAAUCUAAAUAAGGGUGUGUUUGGGAAAAAAUUUGCUAAGCUACCAAAGUCCAGCUACAAGUGUUACCAAACCCUUUAGUAGCUGGGCUUUGCUCCACACUCCCGAACGGGCUAUUAAUUACACAAGUUCAUAGACAACUUUAACAUCAUCGUAAUCACUCCAAUCUAAAGCUCAGUUUGAGAACUGGAUUUUUACCUGCCUCUCUUAGUCUUCAAAGAUUGCUGCCAGCAAUCCAUGAAAAACUCCUGGAGUAAACCUACGUAAAAAUACACAAUUUUUGACAAAGAGCCCUUCCAAGUUCACAUAUGAAAACAAUGGAUUGGUCAUUAUACCUUGGUGACCAGAGUUUCAGAUAAAAACAGCUUAAAAGAAAAUAAACAAACAAAUAAAGAAAUGAUAAAUGACGAGGUCCUUUUGAAAUCAUCCUAUCCAGAUCAUCUCCUUCCAUCCACGAGCCUCCUUGAACCAUCUCUCCAAAGACAGUCAGGCUAAUGACUAUAAAUUAAGCGCUUCUUAGGAGGCAACCCAAGCUUUCUAAACUUUAUUAUUGUCAUUUUUUUUCUUUUUUUUCUUUUCUUUUACUUAUUUUGUUUUGUUUUAGGAUUUUUCACAAGUUUGAGGGUCGAUGAACAUCAAUUUUCCACAUGCCUUUCAACGACUCAGCUACAACUUUACAUCUUCAAGUGCAAAACCGAGGGAGUUUUCUCUUUUCCUUUUCUUUUUCUUUACAUUGAGGACAAUGUUUAUUUUAAGUUUGGGGGUGGGAAUAUUUUCUUUCAUUUUUUUCAUUAAAAAAAAGAAAAAAAAGAAAAAAAAAAAGAGAUUUUAAUGCCUAUGAUGAGUUUAUGAUUGAAAAUGAAUAUGGUUCUUAGAAAGGGAUGAAUAUUGUCUUAGUUUAUACUUGAUUCUUGUGUUAGUUUCGUCUUGAUUGAGAUUCUUUAAAUAUCUUGCGCACUUAUAUCGAUUCUUUCAGAAUUUUGACUUGAGAUUUGAGAUUGAUACAGCCUAAGUUGAGAAUUUUAGAUUGAGUAAAUGACUGUUUGCCUUGAUUCUACAGUACUUAAGUUUACCCAUGCACUAUAGUCAGAAAUAGCUACCUAUAACCCUUAAGAGUGAAGCUAUCCUUGAGUAAUUUGGGCCUAUGUACCACCAGUAUGUAGAAGAUAAUCUACCAUGAGAAAAAGGCUACCUUAAGGGGUAGAGUGAAAGCUUCUGACUAUGGACAAAGAAAUGAAAAGAAAAAAAAAAGCAUGUGCUUCAAGAAAAAUCAAAAGAAAAUGCUAAUUUAUGCCUGUGAAAAAAAAAAAAUCAAUCAAGAUGAUGAAGUUAGUUUGACCUACUCUGUUUAUUAUUCGAGACAAGAGCUGUUGAUGUUGAAGAUCUUGAGAAUGAGUUUUGAUUGAAUUGAUUCACACACAACACAGGAAUCCAAUAUCAUAUGAGAUUGACCAUUGAAUUAAAGUUAGAACUUUGCUAAUAUUUUUAAUUUUCUUUGAGCUAUAUACAAUCUUUGAGGCAUUUUUUAUGAUGUUUGUGGGUAUCAUCGCUGGAAACCCUCACGAGACUAUAACUCGUCCACUAGGGCCGCCUAGGGGUUUAAAGGCUUGUUGCAUAUGCUAAAUGCAAUCGCGAUCACCUGCGAAAGUGGUUUAGUUAGAAUUUUCUUUUCGUAGUUUUUAUUUUAGUUUUUGCUCGAGGACUAGCAAAAUGUUAAGUUUGGGGGUAUUUGAUGUGCUCAUAAUUUAUCUAUUAUUUUAAUGCUUCCAUAACUUAAUUUUAUGUUAAAGUAUAUUUUAUUAUCUUAAUUUUUAUCUUAAUUUUUAUAUUUUUUCAUUGUAGGAAUAUUGAGAAUAUUCAUGAGAAAAGAAGCUUAAAGAGGAAACAAAUUGGAGUAUAAUGGAAAUAAUGUGGAAGUAAAAGGGAAAGAAAUACAAAGCCAAAUAAAGGAAGAUUGAAUUUAAGCAUCAUGCAAGCAAUCACGUGAAGAAUCAAGGAAGAGAAGAACAGGUCAAUUGGCUUUUAAUUUCAAGCUCAUUUGACAAUUUAAAUGGCAAGCUUACAAUAUAAUAAAGGAAGCAAAUAUUUUGGCAUUGUUUGAAAAGGGUAUUCACGUGGAUGGGCUUAAAAGGUGGCUAGAAUUGUUUUGUUUUAAAAAUCCUUUUUAUUUAAGAAUUCGUGGGCUGGAUUUGUUUUGUUUUGAAAUCCUUUUCAUUUAAGGAUUUGGAAGAAGCCACAACAUUAUAAAAGGAAAAAAGGCAGUCGCACAAGAGAAUGGAAGCCAAGAGAAAAGAAAUAAUUGAGCAGCAGCCGGAAGUCUUGAAUGAAAACCGAAGAGCAGCAGGAAUAAUUUAGAGCAGAAGGAAGACACAUUAAUUCUUGAUUUUUUCUUUCUCUCUUCUCUAUUAUCUUGUUUGAAUGUUUCCAAUUAAAUUAAUGAAUUCUCUUUAUAUCCCAUGAACUAAUUUAUUUUACUAGGGCUACGAUGUAGCCUAACUAUGAAGAUUUAAUUCCAUAAAUCUAUGUUAUUUAUUAUUCCAUGGUUGAGUGUUCAUUAUUGUGCUUAAUGCUUUUAAAUAUCUGGCCAAUAUUUGAAUGAUUUGAGGAUACAUAAUGAGACCGAGAGGAGAUUUAUGUAUUUUUGCUCUGUGUAAUGAAUGCCAUAAAUUGAACAAAAGACAGAGAUGUGCCAACGUGAUUCGUGCAGUUUUUCUAAGAAUUUUCAUGGAACUUAUUGGAUCUUUGCAUAUUUAAAUUCACAUAGAGAUAUAGUGGGUUAAUGUGUGAAUGCAUUUUUAAUAUUACUCGAGAGAGGAUAUUGAAUGGAUUAGGGAAAUUCACUGUCAACAUGGAUAGUAAAUUUUAAUAGCAUAGAUGGAGGAUUAAGUUGGAUUGGUUAUAGUGAAAUCGGAUGUCCUAGUGUCUUAAUCUCUUGGUGAUUUCUAUUACUGUCUGCGUCUUUAUUUAAUUUUUAAUUAUUUUAUUUAAUUUUAAUAUAAAUUCGCUUAUUCGAUUGUUCAAAUAAAUUAGGGUUAGAAUAAUUUCGGUAACUAAUAGGAUAUACAAUCUCUGUGGGACGAUACUCUACUCUUCAUUAUAUUACUUGUGCCGACUAGUACACUUGCUAAUUUACGCAUCAAGGCGCUUAAUUUAUAGUCAUUAGCUUGACUGUCUCUGGAAAGAUUGUUCAAGGAGGCUCGUGGAUGCAAGGAGAUGAUAUGGAUGGACCUUGCACAAAGUUCUUGCAAUUAGGCCUCUUCCCACGAAAAUUAGGAGAUGAAUCUUCAUUACUAGAUUGCUUAUGUAUUGUAUAAAUGUCAGGAGGGUCAAAUAGAUCUUUAUCCUUCAAUGAUUUGGCCAUUUUUCUAUCCAUGGUGUCUUCUUGAAAACAAUCUUUGAGUUCAGUUGGAUACUUGAUAAGUGUGUACACAUUGAAAAUGACUUGCUCAUUUUGAACUCUUAAAAUCAAUUUCCCUUCUUGAACAUCAAUCAAAGCUCUUCCUGUAGCUAAGAAUGGUCGGCCUAGAAUAAGAGGUAACUCUAUAUCUUCAGCCAUAUCCAAAACAAUAAAAUCUGCAGGGAAUAUAAACUUGUCAACUUUCACAAGCACAUCCUCAAUUAUGCCUCUUGGGUACUUUAUAGAUCUAUCUGCCAAUUGUAAGGUAACAAUUGUUGCCUUAGAUUCACCCAAACCUAAUUUCUUCAAAACAGAAAAAGGCAUCAAAUUAAUGCUUGCACGUAAAUCACACAAAGCUUUAUCAAAAUAACAAUUUCCAAUAGUGCAUGGAAUAUUAAAACUCCCUGGAUCUUUCAGCUUUGGUGGCAAUUUAUUUUGUAAGAUGGCGGUGCAGUCCUCAGUCAGCAUUACAGUUUCAUGCUCCUCAAGUUUCCUCUUGUUGGACAACAUUUCUUUCAUAAAUUUGGCAUAAAGCAACAUUUGUUCCAAAGCAUCUGCAAAAGGAAUGUUAAUAUGCAAUUUCUUAAACACAUCAAGAAAUUUUAAAAAUUGCUUAUCUAUGUUAUUUUUCCGGAGACGCUGAGGAAAAGGGAUUGGAGGAACAUAGGCCUUGACUGGUGUUGCUAGUUUAGGUUGUGGUAUUUCUAAACUUGCUGCCUUUGAAACCUUAGUGGUGUCUUCAGUUUGUUCUUCAUCAACUUUCUUUGCUUCUUUUCGCGGCUCAUCAAGCUGUUUACCACUCCGAAGUAUAAUUGCAUUAACUUGCUCCUUUGGAUUUGUCUCGGUGUUGCUUGGCAGAGAGCCAUGUUGUCUACUGGAUAGCAAGUUUGCAAUCUGACCCACUUGUACCUCGAGGUUCCGAAUUGAUGCAGCUUGAUUUUAAAAAGUUGUCUCUGUUUUGGUCAUGAAUUGAGACAUAUUUGUUGUAAGCUGGGUAAGAGCAUCUUCUAAGUUUGACUUCUUUUCUUGUGGUUGGAACCCUGGAGGUGGUGCCAAUGUAUUCUGAGUAUUGUUCCAUGACAAAUUCGGGUGGUUUCUCCAGCCAGGAUUGUAGGUAUUAGAAUAUGGGUUAUGUUGUUGUCUCUGGAAAUUUGACACAUAAUGAGCUUGUUCAGCAGAUGACGACGCAAAAGGACUUCCAACUUGGCAGUUGACAUUGGUAUGGUUCCCUUCGCAUAAUUCACACUCUUGAGUUUGAAUAGCACUGACAUGUAGGUGCUCUAACUUAUUAGAUAAAGCAGUCAUCUGUGCAGAUAAAGCAGUGACAACAUCAAUAUUAUGGGCUCCUACAAUUUUCCUUGGCAUUGAUCGCUCUGAAGUCCACUAGUAAUUGUUGGAUGCCAUCUCCUCCAAUAAUUCAUAAGCUGCUUCUAGUGUUUUUCCCAUUAAUGUUCCUCCUGCUGCAGCAUCAAUCAUUGUUCUGGUAUUGGAUCCUAAACCAUUGUAAAAUGUCUGCACCUGAAGCCAAACUGGUAGACCAUGAUGUGGGCAUUUUCUUAGUAGGUCUUUGUAUCUCUCCCACACGUCAUAUAAUGAUUCCAUCUCGAACUGAGCAAAGGUUGUGAUGUCAUUCCUCAACUUGGCUGUUUUUACUGGAGGAAAGUACUUUGCUAAAAACUUCUGCGCUAGACCAUCCCAUGUAGUGAUUGUUCCAGCAGGGAGUGAGUUCAACCACUCUUUUGCUUUAUCCCUCAGUGAGAACGGAAAAAGCCUUAGCCUGAUAGCAUUGUCUGAAACACCAUUUUGCUUAAAUGUGUCACAAAUUUCUAAAAAAUUUGCAAUAUGAGCAUUUGGAUCAUCAUUUGGCAUCCCAACAAAUUGAACUGAAGUCUGAAUCAUCUGGAUUAUGGCUGGCUUAAUUUCAAAAUUAUUGGCUUGAACGGCAGGGCGUGCAAUGCUUGAACGAGCUCCAUUAACUGUAGGCACAACAUAAUCUCUUAAAGGUCUCGCAUCCUCAUUUCCAUGUAAUGCUUCGUCAGCCAUGAUUAAUUGUUGCUCCUGUAAAACUUCUCUUCUUUCUUUAUUAAGCCUUCUACACGUACGUUCAAUCUCUGGAUCAAAAGGCAAUAAAUCAAAACUUCUUGAACGUCUCAUAAAAUUAAACAAGAAAAAAAAAUAAAAUAAAAUAAAAUUCAAAUUCAAAUUAAACUAAGGUUAGUUGAGUAUUCCCCCUUGUCACGCGGGUGACCCGGGUUCGUUCCCCGGCAACGGCGCCAAAAACUUGAUGCGUAAAUUAGCAAGUGUACUAGUCGGCACAAUUAAUAUAAUGAAGAGUAGAGUAUCGUCCCACAGAGAUUGUAUAUCCUAUUAGUUACCGAAAUUAUUCUAACCCUAAUUUAUUUGAACAAUCGAAUAAGUGAAUUUAUAUUAAAAUUAAAUAAAAUAAAAUAAUUAAAAAUUAAAUAAAGACACAGGCAGUAAUAGAAAUCACCAAGAGAUUAAGACACUAGGACAUCCGAUUUCACCAUAACCAAUCCAAUUUAAUCCUCCAUCUAUGCUAUUAAACUUUACUAUCCAUGUUGACAGUGAAUUUCUCUAAUCCAUUCAAUAUCCUCUCUCGAGUAAUAUUAAAAAUACCUUCACACAUUAACCCACUAUAUCUCUAUGUGAAUUUAAAUAUGCAAAGAUUCAAUAAGUUCCAUGAAAAUUCUUAGAAAAACUGCACAAAUCACGUUGGCACAUCUCUGUCUUUUGUUCAAUUCAUGGCAUUCAUUACACAGAGCAAAAAUACAUAAAUCUCCUCUCGGUCUCAUUAUAUAUCCUCAAAUCAUUCAAAUAUUGGCCAGAUAUUUAAACGAAGAAAGCAAUUAAAAUAAAGGAGAAUUCAAUAAGAUAAGAAUUACCAAGGUUUCAGAAUCCACCACUAUUCAACUAGUAAUUAUCUAAUUAUUAAUUAAUCCCCAAUUUUAGAGUGACAACUCGAAAUCAAUCUUUGUCAUCUCAUGGAUAUAACAAUUAAGCCCAAGUAAUUAAAUCUAAUGUAGGUUCUUUUUCUGCUUAAUAGUAUGACAUCUAAGUGUCCCAUGUAAACGUAUUGAAUAACAAAGAGUCAAAGUUUUCCUAAGUACUCUGUGUAAACAGUUUAAUGAAAGACAUAAAAUCAAAGAUAAUCAUAUAUAAACUUUAUAAAUCCAAGUAUAGAUUUAAUCGAAUAUUAAUCAUAACAAUCAAUAAUGCAUGACAGAAUUGAUGAAAAGAUUUUAAUAACAUCCAAUUAAUCAUGUGAAAUAAAAACUAUAAUCAUCGAAGAACAUAUAUAGGGAAUUAAAUAAAUAAAAAGAUAAUUAUUUCAUUGAAUAGAGUUUCAUCCUUAACCUCAGUAUAAGAAAAUUAGCUAGACAUAUUUGAAUUGAGAGCAACAAAAUAAAUAAAUUCAGCCAUAGGAAGCCGAAAUAUUGCUGCUCUUGCUAUUCUUCUUCUGUUCAAAGCCGAAUUCUGCUUCUUCUCUCUCGCUCUCUGGCAGCUACCUCUCCUUUCAAAAGCCAAAAGCUUAGCUUUCUUAUAUACCCUUUAAAAUGGGCCCCACCUUGUCAAUUCUAAAGCCAAAAGGGUUUGGCCUUUUAUUUGUUUUGCUUCACUCACGUGGGCACUUUGAAUUGUAAUAGGUUUCCUUUUUCCAUUUAUGAAAGCCAAGUGGGGUCCCUUCUUAAAGCUAAAAUCAAUUUCUCUCUUUUGUCCGCAUGUGCAUGAUGAAUUAACUUGUUGAAUUCGGUUCCUUGGCUUGACUUCCACAUGUACGUAUGUCUAAUUCUUUCCAAAAAUCAAUUAAUCUUUAAUGCUUUCAAACUUGAGCUUCUUUAUGCCUUUUUAUCCAUAAUCUCCAAUUAAUCCUAUAUUCAAUAAAAUAAUUCAAUUAAUUAAAAAUAACAAAUGAAAAUAGCUAGUAAUUAUAUAAUUAAGGGUAAAAUAUGUAUAUAAAUUAUGCUCAUCAAAUACCCCCAAACUUAGAUUUUGCUAGUCCUCAAACAAAACUAAAACUUAAAACAAAAAUAAAAAUAACAAAACAAAAAGUAAAUCCUAACUAAACCACUUUCGCAGGUAAUCGCGAUUGCAUUUAGCGUAUGCAACAAGCCUUUAAACCCUUAGGCGGCACUAGUGGACAAGUUGUAGUCUCGUGAGGGCUUCAGUGAUGAUACCCACAAACACCAUUAAAAAAAAUAAAAUAAAAUAAAAUAAAAGGAACAAAAAACUUUAAAUAAAACAUGAAAAUAGCCUCAAAGAUUGCAUAAAUUAUAUAGCUCAAAGAAAAUUUCAAAUAUUGGCAAAGUUUUAACUUUAAUUCAAUAAUCAAUCUCAUCUCUCUUUCGAUUCAUGUAGUGUGUGUGUGAAAUCAAUUCAAUCAAAUUCAUUCCCAAAAUCUUCAACAUCAACAACCUUCGCCUCAAACAAAGAGAAUCGCAGGUCAAACUAAUCUUAUCAUCUUGAUCUCCAAUUUUUUUUUCACAGGCUUUUAUGUGCAUUUUCUUGUGAUUUUUUUUUCAGCACAUGCACUUGAUUUGAUUUUUCUUUUUCUCUUUUUUUUUUCUUCUUCUUUUUUUUAACCAUAGUCAGAAGCUUUCACUCUACCCCUUAAGGUAGCCUUCUUCUCAUGGUAGAUUAUCCUCUACAUACUUGUGGUACAUAGGCCCAAAUUACUCAAGGAUAGCUUCACUCUUAAGGGUUAUAGGUAGCUAUUUCUGAAUUUAGCGCCUGUGUAUACUAUUUUGUAUUGUGGAGAUAAGAAUCAAGACAAACAGUCAUUUACUCUAUCUAAAAUUCUUAACUCAGGCUGCGUCAAUCUCAAAUUUCAAGUCCAAAUUACAAAAGAACGACCUAAUUGCAAGAAACUUGGGAGGCAACCCAAGCUUUCUAAACUUUAUUAUUGUCAUUUUUUUUCUUUUUUUUCUUUUUUUUUUCUUUUCUUUUACUUAUUUUGUUUUGUUUUAGGAUUUUGCACAAGUUUGAGGGUCAAUGAACAUCAAUUUUCCACAUGCCUUUCAACGACUCAGCUACAACUUUACAUCUUCAAGUGCAAAACCAGGGGAAUUUUCUCUUUUCCUUUUCUUUUUCUUUACAUUGAGGACAAUGUUUAUUUUAAGUUUGGGGGUGGGAAUAUUUUCUUUCAUUUUUUUCAUAAAAAAAAAAGAAAAGAAAAAAGAAGAAGAGAUUUUAAUGCCUAUGAUGAGUUUAUGAUUGAAAAUGAAUAUGGUUUUUAGAAAGGGAUGAAUAUUGUCUUAGUUUAUACUUGAUUCUUGUGUUAGUUUCGUCUUGAUUGAGAUUCUUUAAAUAUCUUGCGCACUUAUAUCGAUUCUUUCAGAAUUUUGACUUGAGAUUUGAGAUUGAUACAGCCUAAGUUGAGAAUUUUAGAUUGAGUAAAUAAUUGUUUGCCUCUGUAACUAAUGGGAUAUACAAUCUCUGUGGGACGAUACUCUACUCUUCAUUAUAUUACUUGCGCCGACUAGUACACUUGCUAAUUUACGCAUCAGACACCCGAUUGCGAAGAGGCUUUCUAAGAACUGAAGGGGUACCUCGUGAAUGCUCCACUACUUGCCAAACAUGAGCCGGGAGAGGGGCUUCUGUUGUAUCUCGCUGUAUCCGAGCAUGCCACCAGCUCCGUGUUACUCCGAGAGGAUGAUAAUGGGAUACAACGACCUAUUUACUACACUAGUAAGGCUAUGGUUGAUGCCGAAAAGAGGUACCCCACCUCUGAAAAGAUCGUUUUGGCAUUGGUUGUCUCCGCACGGAAGCUCAGACCAUAUUUUCAAGCUCACACCAUUGUAGUCGUCACCAACCUUCCCCUCCGGCAAAUCCUCCAGAAGUUAGACAUGUCCGGAAGGCUUCUCUGAUGGUCCCUCGAAUUAGGCGAGUUUGAUAUCAUCUUCAAGCCUCGAUCGGCGAUUAAAGCCCAAGCCAUCGCUGAUUUCAUUGCGGAAUUUGCCAAUGACUUAAGUGGUGAAGGUGAUCUGAGGUACCUGUCAGAUACCCCAUCCACCGACGAAGGGGACAAGUCUGGGAAAUAUAUGUAGAUGGUUCCUCUAACUCACACGGAAGUGGUGCGGGAGUUAUUAUAAUCGACCCGAACAAGGUGAAAAUAUGCUACGCUUUGCAAUUUGGAUUCAAGGCUUCAAACAAUGAAGCCGAAUACGAGGCCAUUAUAGCAGGGUUGAGGAUGUCGAAGGCUUUGGGAGCAAAGAGGGUACACAUCAAGAGCGACUCCCAGUUGGUGGUAAGCCAAAUUACUGAACAAUAUCAAACGAAAGAGGAAAACAUGAAGGGGUACCUCAGAAAAAUCAGAGAAUUGAUGUCCCAAUUUUGCGAGGUUAAGGUGGAAAGGGUACUGUUGAGUGUUAGAAAAUGCAUAUUUAUAAAGGAGAAAACCGUCAUUUUACAUUUCAAGUCUUACUAACAACCUUUACUUUUAUGUAUUUAACAUUCUUGUGAUUUAAUUACGUGUGUUUUAUUUUAAUUAAGUAAUUUAUGUAUUUUAGGGGCAUUAUAGUCAUUUCAUAAUAAAGGAGAGAUCAGACGGCAAAACGGACAUCACUUUUGAACUCAGGACGGUCGAAAACCUUAGGAGGAGCAUAAAAGGAAAAAUGAUACUAUUCACAUGUACGGUACUAUUCACGUACACGGUACUGUAUACGUUACUGUUCACGGCACUGUUCACAUAGACGGAUCGAUGACGUGGCAUUGACCGAUGAUGUGGCAUUGACUGAUGAGGUGUCACGAUCCUAUUGGGCUAAAAUUCUUAUGUACUGUUGAUGGUGACGUGGCAGUAUAUCAGUGGACGAAAAAUCUCGCGUACGGCGCAUGCAUCACACAGGAUUAGUUUCAACCAAACCGCGUUACUGUUCAUCCGGGUCAAACCGCGUUACUGUUCAAAGUCGGGUCAAACCGUGUUACUGUUCAUCCGCGUGGUCAAACCGUGGACUGUUGACUGAUGACGUGGCGCAAUCCUGAGCGUCCAAACUGUUUUUAAUCCGAUGGCCAUGAUUUACUCCAUGUAUCUAUAAAAAGGGGGCCUCUCCCCCCUAAUUUGAUAUCUCUGAAUCCAUUUUUGGGAUCCAUUUUCUGUAAUUCCUUCUCCAUCUUGUAUUUUCUUUGUAUUUUAAUAAAUUCCCAUUUUGCCCCUAGUUCAAUUAUGAGUAGCUAAUUUCCUUUCAAGCUUGGGUUGAAGGUGAAGUCUCAACAUGUGUCAUGGGCUUUAUUUGGUAAAUUUAUUUUCUUUUCCCCUCUAGUUUUUGUGGAUGAUUUGACUUAUCGUCGACAAAUAAUACUGAUCUUGUCUAGAUACCGCCUUGGUUACACCGGCUCUCUAGUAUAAGGUUAUUAUUAUUUGGCACGAUAAGCCCUUAGCACCAUAUUGAUUAGAGCGUAGUUCAUGAGGUGUGGAUUCCCCCCUCAUGAUUUAAUUGGCAUUAAUACGGAUUAUUUAGCCCAUGAUGCAUGUUGAUACGGAUCCAGAUACCCAAGUACGUCAUUUCAAUACAUUUCUCUUCAAUUUAUUCUCGCCAUUGCAAUUCCAAUUUUAGAAUUUAUUCUCGCCAUUUUAAUUUAAGUUUUAGCAUAUUCUUAAUCAUUUCCACCACAGAUCCAAUCAACCAUUUGCAAAAUUAAUUCUAUACACAAUUAAAAUCCACCUCCUCGUGGGAUCGACACUCGUCACCAUUGAUCUAUACUACAAUAGAUUCGUGCGCUUGCGAGUACAUUAAAAUUUACACAACAAGUUUUUGGCGCCGUUGCCGGGGAGGUAAGUAGUUUUAAUUCAUAGAAUUAAUUUUUGUGAAUAAUUUCUUUUAUUUGUUUUCUUGUAUUUUUUUUAUUAUUAAAAAAAAAAGAAAAAAAAAAGUAAAUCUACAUUUAAAGGUUAGUAUUUCUUUUCUUUUUCCCUUCUUUAAAAUUCUGUAAUUUAAUUUUCAAUUUAUUUUUUUUCUUUGUAAUUUUUUUUUAUUUUAUUAAUUUAAUUUUUAGUUAAUUUAUUUCACGUAUUUUUUUUUGUGUAUUUUUAUAGAAAGGUUGUAACAGCGUAAUAAGGUUAGUAUCGUAAUUUCUCCCUCUUCUUUAUUUUUAUUUGUUUUGUUCUCAUCUUUAUUUUUUAUUUGUUUUGUUCCCAUCUUUAUUUUUUGUUUUGUUUGCAUCUUUAUUUUUAUUUUAUUUAUUUUGCAUGCAUGGUCGUAGGUCAUUAUUACCUAAUCUUGAACCUAUAGACCUUGAAUUAGAAAAAACACUUCGCACACACAAACACGUUCAAAAUAAAAUGGAUUUACAAGCACCACAGGAGAGGCCAUUUAAGGACUAUUUUAGUCCCUUAGCUAAUUUGAGCACGUCAUGCAUAAGAUACCCAAAUGUAGCUGCUAGGAGUUUUGAAUUAAAACCUAGUGUGCUAAAUUGUCUCCCCACAUUCUAUGGCCUAGAAAAUGAGGACCCAUAUAAUCAUCUGAAUGAUUUUCAUACCAUUUGUCAAACUUUUAAAUAUGAAAAUUUUUCAGACGAUGAUGUUAAACUUAGAUUAUUCCCAUUUUCUUUAAAGGAUAGAGCUCGUUCAUGGUUAAAUACAUUGCCUGCUAAUAGCAUUGCAUCAUGGGAACAAAUGGUUACAAAAUUUCUAAAUAAAUAUUUCCCAGUGCAUAAAACCAAUUCUAUUCGCAGGGAAAUUUCAGAGUUUACCCAGAGAGAGGACGAGCAAUUUUUCGAAACAUGGGAGCGAUUCAAUGGGCUACUCUUGAAGUGUCCACAUCAUGGGUACGAAAAAUGGCAUCAAUGCCAAUACUUUUUGGAGGGAUUAUUGCCGAAUGUGCAAGAAUGGCUAAUGGCAACAAGUGGAGGAGAGCUAAUGUCAAAAAGUGCAUCAGAAAUUUGGGAAUUCUUCCAGCGACAAGCAGAUAAUUCCCAACAACGGAGUCGAUCACUCAGGACUACUAGAAGAAUUAAGGGAGUAAAUGAGGUUCAAAUUGGCGAAUCAACUUCAGGAAUCAAAGAAGUCAAGGAGAUGGUUGAAGGUCUUGCUCGACAAAUAGCAUCGUUAUCGACUGCUAAAUCAACAGAGCCACAUGACCCUGACUCAUAUCCAGAUCAAGCCAAUGCCAUAGGUGUAAUGAGAAAGCCUUCAAAUUACAACCCAUACUCCAACACAUAUAACCCUGGAUGGAGAGACCACCCCAAUUUUUCAUGGUCUCAAGGAUUCCAACAGAAUGGACCAGCAGCUCCAGCUCCACCAAUUUCUCAAAUUCCUCAAGCCUCUCAGCCCCCAUUUAGACCAUACAAUCAGAACCAGAACUACUCUCAACCUAGACCAUGGGAGGAUGCAUUCCAGAAUUUUAAGAAUGUUACUCAUUCUACCAUUGAGCAACAGAAUCGCACCAUUGAUGGACUUCGAAAUGAGUUGAGGGCAGGCUUCAAUUCUCAAGCUCAAUCAGUUUCAAGCCUCGAGAAGAUGGUGGGACAACUCGCUUCUUCAGUUCAGACCUUGGCAAUGACUGUUGAGAAAGGCAAGUUUCCAAGUCAACCAGUGCCUAACCCUAAAGGAGUACAUGAAGCAAGUACCAGUUCACCACAACAGCAUGGAGAGGUCAAAGCAGUAAUGACCUUGCGAAAAGGAAAGGAAGUCGACAACAAAGUAGAGAUGCCGGUGACAAAAGAAAAUCAAAUUGUACAUGUGAAUGUUGAGGACUCACCACCGGAGGAGAAAGAAGAAACCAACCCACGAGAGUACGUUCCCAAAGCUCCAUUUCCUCAGAGGUUAGCUAAAGGGAAAAAGGGAAAAUCCACAGGUGAGAUUCUCGAAAUCUUCAAACAGGUAAGUGUUAACAUCCCUUUACUUGAUGCUAUUAAACAAGUUCCAUCUUAUGCCAAGUUUCUUAAAGACCUUUGUACUAAAAAGAGAAAUAUGCAUGUUCAAAAGAAGGCAUUUUUAACAGAAAACGUUAGUUCUAUACUCCAACAUAAAAUUCCUUUAAAAUGCAAAGACCCAGGCUCCCCCACUAUUUCAUGUAGCAUAGGGAACCACACAAUUGAGAAUGCUUUGUUGGAUUUAGGAGCUAGUGUAAAUUUGUUGCCUUAUUCAGUAUUCGUGAAACUUGGACUGGGAGAAUUACACCCAACUCCAGUGGUGUUACAGCUUGCAGAUCGGUCCAUGAAAAUACCUCGUGGUAUUGUGGAGGACGUGCUUAUCCAGGUAGACAAGUUUUAUUUUCCUGUUGAUUUCAUUGUAAUUGACACUCAACCAAUACAGGAUUCAAGGAAGCACAUCCCCAUUAUCUUAGGCCGACCUUUCUUGGCAACUGCGGAUGCUCACAUUCAAUGCAGGACCGGAAAUAUGCAGUUGUCCUUCGGCAACAUGACUAUGGAGCUAAAUAUCUUCAACAUUGCCAAACAACCUCACAGUGCAGAUGAUGGAAUUGUUGAUGUGGAUUUAAUUGAAGCAUUAGUUGAUGAUACUUUUGUUUCAAACCUUAGUGAUGAUCCUUUACAAACAUGUUUAACUCACUUUGGUUUGGAUUUUGAUAUUGACAGAUCGGUCGAAGAAGUCAACGCCCUACUUGACUCAGCACCAUCCAUGGACACUAAUAAAUGGAAGUCAAGAGUUGAACAACUAGCACCAUCAGAAAAGAAACUCAUCCCAUCAUCAGAAUCACCACCGAAACUCGAGCUCAAACCAUUGCCCAACACAUUGGAAUAUGCAUUUUUGGGAGAAGAAAGUACUUUGCCGGUAAUCAUCUCAUCAUCCCUAAAUGACGAACAAAAAGGUAAGUUGUUGGAUGUUUUAAAAGAGCACAAAGGAGCAUUAGGAUGGACCAUAGCAGACAUUAAAGGUAUAAACCCAGUAGACUGCAUGCAUUACAUUCACCUUGAUGAAAAUGCUAAAACUACUAGGGAGAUGCAACGUCGGUUAAAUCCUAAUAUGAAAGAAGUUGUUAGAACUGAAGUCCUUAAGCUAUUAGACGCAGGUAUCAUUUACCCAAUUUCUGAUAGUUCAUGGGUCAGUCUUGUACAAGUUGUCCCCAAAAAGUCAGGAGUCACAGUAGUUACGAAUGCCGAUAAUGAAUUGAUACCAACUAGAGUGACUACAGGAUGGCGUGUAUGCAUUGAUUAUAGAAAGUUGAAUUCUGUCACACGUAAAGACCAUUUUCCUUUACCAUUUAUUGAUCAAAUGCUUGAUAGAUUAGCAGGCCAUGAAUUUUAUUGCUUUCUAGAUGGCUACUCAGGAUAUAAUCAGAUUCCCAUAGCACCAAAAGAUCAAGAGAAAACUACUUUCACUUGCCCUUUUGGCACAUUUGCAUAUAGGAGAAUGCCAUUUGGAUUAUGUAAUGCACCUGCUACAUUUCAACGAUGCAUGUUGAGCAUUUUUUCUGAUAUGGUUGAACGAUUCCUUGAAGUCUUUAUGGAUGAUUUUUCUGUCUUUGGUGACUCGUUUGAUCAAUGUUUACAUCAUCUAACGCUAGUUCUGCAGAGAUGUACCGAGAAGAACUUAGUCUUGAAUUGGGAGAAGUGCCAUUUUAUGGUAAAACAAGGUAUUGUUCUCGGUCACAUCAUUUCGAGCAAAGGUAUUGAGGUUGACAAAGCCAAGGUGGAUCUCAUUUCUAAUCUUCCUCCACCUAAAAUAGUCAGAGAAGUAAGAUCUUUCCUUGGGCAUGCUGGUUUCUAUAGACGUUUCAUUAAAGAUUUUAGCAAAGUUUCUAGACCCUUAUGCAAUUUACUUGCUAAGGAUGUACCUUUUAUCUUUAAUGAUUCAUGUCUCAUGGCGUUUGAAAAAUUAAAGCAAUUGUUGACAUCAUCACCCAUCAUUCAGGCCCCAAACUGGAGCUUACCAUUUGAGCUCAUGUGUGAUGCAUCUGAUUAUGCAGUAGGAGCAGUAUUAGGACAAAGAGUUGAUCGAAUUCCUCAUGUUAUUUACUAUGCUAGUAUGACAUUGAAUGAUGCACAGUUGAACUAUUCAACUACUGAAAAAGAAAUGCUAGCAGUAGUGUUUGCAUUGGAAAAAUUUCGAUCUUAUCUCAUUGGUUGUAAAAUAAUUGUGUUCACAGAUCAUGCUGCUCUUAAAUAUCUUCUCACAAAGAAAGAUGCAAAAGCUAGACUAAUUCGUUGGGUAUUACUUUUGCAGGAGUUUGACUUGGAAUUCAAAGAUAAGAAAGGCACAGAGAAUAUUGUGGCGGACCACCUCUCUCGUCUCCAUUUUGACACAAUAACAGAGCCAUUAAUAUUGAAUGAGUCAUUCCCAGAUGAACAAUUAAUGAGUGUGGAAGUAUUACCUUGGUAUGCUGAUAUAGUUAAUUAUCUUGUUACAGGUAAACUUCCAGAGCAUUGGACCAAGCAAGACAAGGCUAAAUUCUUUGCAGAGAUAAAGAAUUUCUUUUGGGAUGACCCAUAUUUGUUCAAGUAUUGUGCAGACCAAAUUGUUAGACGAUGUGUCCCUGAAAAUGAAAUUCAGAAUAUUCUUUCAUUCUGCCAUGAAGAAGCUUGUGGAGGCCAUUUCAGUGCUAAGAAAACGGCGACUAAAGUUUUACAAUGUGGUUUUUAUUGGCCAACUAUAUUUCGAGAUGCUUACACUUUCUGUUCUUCAUGUGAUAGGUGUCAACGAAUGGGGAGCAUUACACGAAGGAACAUGAUGCCACUAAAUCCAAUUUUAGUGGUUGAGAUUUUUGACGUCUGGGGUAUUGACUUCAUGGGACCUUUUCCCCCUUCUUUUGGCCAUCAAUACAUAUUGGUUGGUGUUGACUACGUCUCAAAAUGGGUGGAAGCAAUUCCAUGUAGGACCAAUGAUCACAAAGUGGUGAUAGGAUUUUUGAAAAGCAACAUUGUUUCACGCUUUGGAUUCCCUCGAGCAAUAAUCAGUGAUGGUGGUGCCCACUUUUGUAACAAAGCAUUCAAAGCUCUUUUGACAAAGUAUUCAAUCACACACAAAGUGGCGACCCCGUAUCAUCCGCAAACCAGUGGCCAAGUUGAAAUCUCCAAUCGAGAAAUAAAGCACAUAUUAGAGAAGACGGUGAGGCCAGACAGGAAAGAUUGGUCAUUAAGACUUGAUGAUGCAUUAUGGGCAUAUAGAACGGCUUUCAAGACCCCGAUUGGGAUGUCACCCUACAGGCUAGUGUAUGGAAAAGCUUGCCACCUACCUGUAGAACUCGAGCAUCGUGCAUAUUGGGCCAUCAAGAAAUUCAACUUUGACAUGCAGCAAGCCAGCUCAGAAAGAAGAUUACAACUGGCAGAACUUGAAGAAAUUCGCAAUGAUGCAUACGAAAAUGCCAGAAUUUACAAGCAACGAAUGAAAGUCUUUCAUGACAAGCACAUUAUGAGAAAAUCUUUCACUCCAGGUCAGAAAGUGCUUUUAUUCAAUUCUCGCUUGCACCUAUUCCCAGGUAAGUUACGCUCUCGUUGGUCUGGUCCAUUUAUUGUUCAUACUGUUUUUCCACAUGGGGCAAUUGAAAUUAAAGACCCAAAGAACGGUGUCACGUUUAAAGUCAAUGGUCAAAGAUUAAAGCCAUAUUUAGAGUACCAAGCACAUGGAGAAGACACCGAAAUAAAUUUGAGUGACCCACCAGAUUUGAAUUGAUUUUUUUUUUCUCUUCGUUGAUUUGAUUUUUCUUUCUUUCUUUUUAUUUGUUAAUUGAAAUUAUUUUUGCAUAAGUGUGUUUGUUUUUCCAUUAAGUUUUUUUUUCUUAUCAUUGUUAAUCAUGAGUACCAUACUUAGACCAUUCCUCCUGAACAUUCUUAAACCAUUUCAACGUGUCAAAACUCAUCUCAUAAGGCAGAUUCAAUUUUGUAAAACACAUCGUAUUUGGGCUCUACAACCACCAGAGUUAGUAGCCUAUGUUGAGGGUUUAGAAAGCCAACUCAGAGAUAUUGAGAGAAGUGUUUACGACAUCCAGUUGGAGCUUGAGGUAAAUUCAAUAAGAGGACGAUUUUAAUUUUCUUUGUGUGUUUUAAUUUGUUUUUCUGUUUGUGUGCUUUAGUUUGUUACCCCGGUGAAGUGGCGGAUAACGGUACUCCGUGACAAUCAAGUCGGUUACUUCAGUUUCCCAUAAUAACUGAUAUUCUGAGGCGAAGGUAUGGACAGAAACGAAAUUCUAGCAAAGCUUCACAAGCGAUUCCCUUCACUCCCUCAGAAUGCCCUCCUUACGAUCUAUAAAGCCCGAUCUGAACGCAUGCGAUUACUCAUGAGGAAUAACAUACCUGCAGACAUCCGUUGGUUAAUCGAGGCUAAAGUACGAUUGGCAGGUGAGUUACCUCCUAAAUUUAUUGCAUACAUGCCUGGUUGUGGUAAAGGAAAUUAUGCAAGAAAACGACGAGCUCGAAGAAUUUAUGUUGCUUGUCACAAGUGUGCCAGAAUGAGUUGCGAUAGAAACCCAUGUUCUUUAGGAAUGAUGUCUGAUAACAGAGAAGAUAAGAUUCAAUUCAUUAGGGAUGGCUUGAAUAAGGAGUCAUUGGAUGAUAUCCUUUUGUCUCUUGAAACGCAUCCCAGUGGAUAUGUGCAAGGAGCGAUUCUCCAUUUAUGGCCAUUAUUCCAGAAAGAGCAUGCACGAUAUAGUCUCGGGAAUCUGACUAUAAACGACCCUGUUUGCCGGUUUAUAAGAAAACUGGAUGGGAAGCCUAUCCUUGACCCAUAGAGGGCGUUCAAGCCGUUUCUGGACGUAAAACCAGAGGAAGAUGUGAGCCACAGUCGCAACUACGUGUAAAUAUCCUUUUACUUUACUGUUAUUUUAUUUCAUUUCACUGUUGUUUUAUUGUUUGCAUUAUUGUCUUUAAUAAUUUUAUUACUGUUUGCUUUUUCCUUUUUACUGUUUCCUUUUUGACUCGCGAGCCAUGUGCUUCACGCGUUAUUUGACACUAACAUGUUACCUCAUUCACAGCUGUGACCCACUAUCACCAAGAUUCUUAAAUGUGAUUUCUUUUGUCAAACACUCACAAAUUAUUUUUGAGAAAUAUUCCAAUGGCAGCUACUCCCAAUAGACAAUUCAAGAACAUUUGUGUGCUUUCUGGAUUUACCUAUGGCAAACAUAAAGAGUUCGUUGAGGCAGCCAUAGAUCUUGGUCGAAGCAUAGCAGCGAGAAAUUUACAUUUGGUGUAUGGAGGAGGUAACCGAGGGUUAUCAAAAAUGGUCUCAGAAGCAGCUUUUAUCAGAGGAAGCCAAGUGUUAGGCAUCAUCCCAAGAAUCCUAAAACCAUUGGGCAGCUCGUCUGACUCAUCAACUGGAGAAGAGUUAGUCGUCUCAGGUAUGCAAGAACGAAUAACUGAAAUGCUUAAUCAUGCUGAUGCUUUUAUUUUCCUUCCAGGAGAUCUUGCAACACUAGAGGCACUUAUGACACUAGCAUCUUGGGCCCAUCUGCACAUUCACCAGAAACCCAUCGGUUUGUUAAAUGUCAAUAACUUUUAUGAUGGCUUUAUCGCAUUUCUUAACCAUGCAAUAAAAAACUAUUUCAUUCCUUCUAAUGUGAAAAAACUCUUUAUUUGUGCUCACACUGCUAAUGAGCUACUUGAUAUGUUACAAGCUUAUAAACUGGAGCCAGACCCCUGGACCUUUGUGUUGGAGCGACCAAAUAAUGAUGGUAACAGUAGCCGCAGUAAGAAGUACAAAUUAGAUUUAACUCUCCGCCUGUAAAUAUUUUCUUCUGUGUUGCACCACCCAGGUGAUGUCUUCUAAACUCUACUUCUUUCCUUUCAAACAUUGAGGACAAUGUUUCGUUCUGGUUGGGGGGAGGGAAUAGUCGACAAUUGUGGAAUCUUGGUUAAGUUUUUACUGAUUUUUUGUUGUAGAAACUAACUGUUGCUAACGUUUUAUGUUGAAGAUGGCUGAAUAUGGAGUGUAGUUACUCUAGAAACGCAUCUUCAUCGUUAAAAAAAAAAAAAAAACAAAAAACAAAAAAAAACAAAAAAAAAAAACAAAACUGUUUUCUUCCUUUUUCUCCUUUAUAAAUAUAUAUUUUCCAAUUUUUGAGUCGAAGAUGGCUGAAUAUGGAGUGUCGUGCCUCUAGAAACGCAUCUUCUUAGUUAAAAAAAAAAAAAACAUUUCUUUUUCUAAUAAAUUUUUCUACAUCAUUUUCACAUUUCUGCAUGCAUAUUUUCCUUUCAUGUUUAGAAUAGGUUGGGGGGUAGAAUGUUGUUAAAAAAAAAAAAAAAAAAUUGUGUUAUUUGUUUUAACAUUGGAUGACAUGAUUAAUUUCAAAUUUUAGUAUUUGUAUUAUCUUUGGUCUUAAGUGAUGUUACGCUAUGUUUGCUACUUUACAUGUUGAUGUCGGAGACAAAUAUGAGUUGCUUGAAGGAAUGAACAUGUCAUAAAUAAGUGCCAAGUGAGUUGUUGAGCCUAUCAUUUUCUUGGAGAGUAACCCUUUUGCCCAUUCUCUAUACAGCUUAGCAGUUUAUUAUUUUAUACACGAUCUCUAGAUUUCUUUUAAGUUAACCCUUUAAAAAAAAAUGGUAAAAUUAAAAAAAAAAGAAAAAAGAAAAAAAUGUGUGUUGCUACAUUGGGAGGCCCAUUUAACUAGUAGAUAUGGAUAAUUAUUUAGAGCCCUAAAAGACGAUGGAAAGGCCAUCUUUGAUCCGUUUGAGCCUUUCUAGCCAUCCCUUUUAUUAAAUAUCCAUAGUUACCCCUUUUGAGCCUUUAAAAAAAAAAAAAAAAAAAGAACAAAAACCUUUUCUUUGUCAACUUAUCAUCUUGACCCACUCCGAUUUGGAGUAUUACCCAAUGUCUUUUAAGUUCCAUCACCUAUUUAUGUUUGAGAAAAUGUAAAUAAUUAUGUUGUUCAGUGAAGUUAUGCCAAAUAAAAGCAAAAAGAAAAAAAAAACAAAAGUUGUUGUUUCAAAAGAAUAAAAAUAACAAUAAUAGGUGAAAUCCACCUUGCAACUUCCAAAAAAAAAAAAAAAAAAAAAAAAUUCUGCAUUUUUCUCAAACAUACACUUUGUUUUCCUUAUUUCCUUUCUUUGUUAGCCAUAUCCCUAGCCUACGUUACGUCCUAAUAAAAGUCCUUCUUGAUUUUAGGGAACUAUAGUUUGAAGUAGAAGCUAGUUAUAUGGGCUAAAAAGAUGUAGUGAUGCAUAAUAAUAAUAAUAAAAAAAAAAGAUAAAUAAAGUGGGUUGACUAACAUUUUAUUUGACUUGAGAUCGUAUUAUUUCUAAGCUGAGGGCAUAUUUAUUUCAUCUUGGUGAGAGCAUGUGAUAUCAUUUCUUUAUAUUUUCUCUCUCAAUUACCAUUCAUUGGAGUGACUAUGUUUAUUGGGUUUUAAUUUCUUUGUGAGAGUGUCACUACUUCCAGUGAGAUUUUGGGGUUUGACAUGUCAUUCUUGAAAGUAGCUAUAACAAAGUCUACUGGGCUAAUUCAUGUGGAUGGUUGAUGUGGGUGUGAUGUUGCUUUAGACUGGAGAUAAUGCUUAUACUUUUAUUUGAUUGCUAUCAUUAAUCUGAUUGAAUAAACACAAGUGUUUCUAUUAAAAAUAUAUAUAUAUAUUUUGAAUUUGAAUUUUGUUUUCGCUUUAUUUGCUAGGGACUAGCAAUAAGCUGGUUGGGGAGUGUGUUGAGUGUUAGAAAAUGCAUAUUUAUAAAGGAGAAAACCGUCAUUUUACAUUUCAAGUCUUACUAACAACCUUUACUUUUAUGUAUUUAACAUUCUUGUGAUUUAAUUACGUGUGUUUUAUUUUAAUUAAGUAAUUUAUGUAUUUUAGGGGCAUUAUAGUCAUUUCAUAAUAAAGGAGAGAUCAGACGGCAAAACGGACAUCACUUUUGAACUCAGGACGGUCGAAAACCUUAGGAGGAGCAUAAAAGGAAAAAUGAUACUAUUCACAUGUACGGUACUAUUCACGUACACGGUACUGUAUACGUUACUGUUCACGGCACUGUUCACAUAGACGGAUCGAUGACGUGGCAUUGACCGAUGAUGUGGCAUUGACUGAUGAGGUGUCACGAUCCUAUUGGGCUAAAAUUCUUAUGUACUGUUGAUGGUGACGUGGCAGUAUAUCAGUGGACGAAAAAUCUCGCGUACGGCGCAUGCAUCACACAGGAUUAGUUUCAACCAAACCGCGUUACUGUUCAUCCGGGUCAAACCGCGUUACUGUUCAAAGUCGGGUCAAACCGUGUUACUGUUCAUCCGCGUGGUCAAACCGUGGACUGUUGACUGAUGACGUGGCGCAAUCCUGAGCGUCCAAACUGUUUUUAAUCCGAUGGCCAUGAUUUACUCCAUGUAUCUAUAAAAAGGGGGCCUCUCCCCCCUAAUUUGAUAUCUCUGAAUCCAUUUUUGGGAUCCAUUUUCUGUAAUUCCUUCUCCAUCUUGUAUUUUCUUUGUAUUUUAAUAAAUUCCCAUUUUGCCCCUAGUUCAAUUAUGAGUAGCUAAUUUCCUUUCAAGCUUGGGUUGAAGGUGAAGUCUCAACAUGUGUCAUGGGCUUUAUUUGGUAAAUUUAUUUUCUUUUCCCCUCUAGUUUUUGUGGAUGAUUUGACUUAUCGUCGACAAAUAAUACUGAUCUUGUCUAGAUACCGCCUUGGUUACACCGGCUCUCUAGUAUAAGGUUAUUAUUAUUUGGCACGAUAAGCCCUUAGCACCAUAUUGAUUAGAGCGUGGUUCAUGAGGUGUGGAUUCCCCCCUCAUGAUUUAAUUGGCAUUAAUACGGAUUAUUUAGCCCAUGAUGCAUGUUGAUACGGAUCCAGAUACCCAAGUACGUCAUUUCAAUACAUUUCUCUUCAAUUUAUUCUCGCCAUUGCAAUUCCAAUUUUAGAAUUUAUUCUCGCCAUUUUAAUUUAAGUUUUAGCAUAUUCUUAAUCAUUUCCACCACAGAUCCAAUCAACCAUUUGCAAAAUUAAUUCUAUACACAAUUAAAAUCCACCUCCUCGUGGGAUCGACACUCGUCACCAUUGAUCUAUACUACAAUAGAUUCGUGCGCUUGCGAGUACAUUAAAAUUUACACAACAGGUACCCCAACUGGAGAACAGCGAAGCCGACACUCUGGCAAAAAUGGCGUCCCUUGGUGUAGCUCAGUCAGCUGGCCCCAUCACGACAGAACACAUACCCACCCCCAGCAUUGAUCUCCUAGAGCUGUUGGAAGUAGGAUCACUGUCCAAUGAGGUACUUUGGAUGGAGCCUAUCAUAAGGUACCUCAAGGACGGAGACCUCCCCUCAGAUAAAAGUGAAGUAAGAAGGCUAAAGUAUAAAGCUGCGCGGUACUGCCUGAUCCAAGAUACCCUAUACAGAAGAGGGUUCACUCUUCCUUACCUUAAAUGCUUGGGAAGUGACGAGGCCGAGUAUGUCAUGAGGGAGAUACAUGAGGGGAUUUGUGGCAAUCACUAUGGAGCACAAUCACUGGCGCAAAAAGCUCUCCAUCAGGGGUACUACUGGCCUACCAUGCAGGAAGAUGUCAAGAAUAUGGUACGAAACUGUGACAAAUGCCAAAGGUUCGCCAGGGUACCCCACAUACCCUCAGAGAAGCUAACAGUUAUAUCUUCCCCUUGGCCCUUCGCUAUAUGGGGAGUGAACCUCAUUGGCCCAUUACCUACCGGGAAGGGACAAGCAAAACAUACAAUCGUGGCGGUAGAUUAUUUCACAAAGUAGGCGGAAGCAGAGCCACUAACAAGCAUCACAGAAAGGAAAACCACGGAAUUCAUUUGGAAGAACCUCAUUUGCAAAUUUAGGAUCCCCUAUGCAAUUGUUAGUGAUAACGGCAAGCACUUCGAUAAUGAAAAAUUUCGAAGUUUUUGUUCGGAGCUUGGGAUAGCCAACCAAUUUGCUACACCUGCCCAUCCCCAAUCUAUUGGGCAAGUCGAAGCCGUUAACUGUUGUGCAAAUUUUAAUGAACUCGCAAGCGCACGAAUCUAUUGUAGUGUAGAUCAAUGGUGACGAGUGUCGAUCCCACGAGGAGGUGGAUUUUAAUUGUGUAUAGAAUUAAUUUUGCAAAAUGGGUGGUUGGAAUUGUGGUGGAAGUGAUUUAAAAUAUGCUAAAAUUGGAAUUGCAAUGGCGAGAAUAAAUUGUAGAGAAAAUCGAUUAAAUUGACGUACUUGGGUAUCUGGAUCCGUAUCAACAUGCAUCAUGGGCUAAAUAAUCCGUAUUAAUGCCAAUUAAAUCAUGAUGGGGGAAUCCACACAUCAUGAACCACGCUCUAAUCAAUAUGGUGCUAAGGGCUUAUCGUGCCAAAUAAUAAUAACCUUAUACUAGAAAGCCGGUGUAACCAAGGCGGUAUCUAGACAAGAUCAGUAUUAUUUGUCGACGAUAAGUCAAAUCAUCCACAAAAACUAGAGGGGAAAAGAAAAUAAAUUUACCAAAUAAAGCCCAUGACACAUGUUGAGACUUCACCUUCAACCCAAGCUUGAAAAGAAAUUAGCUACUCAUAAUUGAACUAGGGGCAAAAUGGGAAUUUAUUAAAAUACGAAGAAAAUACAAGAUGGAGAGGGAAUUACAGAAAAUGGAUCCCAAAAAUGGAUUCAGAGAUAUCAAAUUAGGGGGGGGAGGCCCCCUUUUUAUAGAUACAUGGAGUAAAUCAUGGCCAUCGGAUUAAAAACAGUUUGGACGCUCAGGAUUGCGCCACGUCAUCAGUCAACAGUCCACGGUUUGACCACGUGGAUGAACAGUAACACGGUUUGACCCGGAUGAACAGUAACGCGGUUUGGUUGAAAAUAAUCCUGUGUGAUGCAUGCACCGUACGCGAGAUUUUUCGUCCACUGAUAUGCUGCCACGUCACCGUCAACAGUACAUAAGAAUUUUAGUCCAACAGGAUCGUGACACCUCAUCAGUCAAUGCCACAUCAUCGGUCAAUGCCACGUCAUCGAUCCGUCUUUGUGAACAGUGUCGUGAACAGUAACGUAGACAGUACCGUAUAUGUGAAUAGUACCGUACAUGUGAAUAGUGCCAUUUUUCCUUUUAUGCUCCUCCUAAGGUUUUCGACCGUCCUGAGUUCAAAAGUGAUGUCCGUUUUGCCGUCUGAUCUCUCCUUUAUUGUGAAAUGACUAUAAUGCCCCUAAAAUACAUAAAAUACUUAAUUAAAAUAACACACACGUAAUUACAUCACAAGAAGGUUAAAUACAUAAAAGUAAGGGUUGUUAGUAAGACUUGAAAUGUAAAAUGACGGUUUUCUCCUUUAUAAAUAUGCAUUUUCUAACACUCAACACACCCCCCAACCAGCUUAUUGCUAGUCCCUAGCAAAUAAAGCGAAAACAAAAUUCAAAUUCAAAAUGAUUUUUUUUUUUUUUUUUUUGAAACACUCGUGUUUAUUCAAUCAGAUUAAUGAUAGCAAUCAAAUAAAAGUAUAAGCAUUAUCUCCAGUCUAAAGCAACAUCACACCCACAUCAACCAUCCACAUGAAUUAGCCCAGUAGACUUUGUUAUAGCUACUUUCAAGAAUGACAUGUCAAACCCCAAAAUCUCACUGGAAGUAGUGACACUCUCACAAAGAAAUUAAAACCCAAUAAACAUAGUCACUCCAAUGAAUGGUAAUUGAGAGAGAAAAUAAUAAAGAAAUGAUAUCACAUGCUCUCACCAAGAUGAAAUAAAUAUGCCCUCAGCUUAGAAAUAAUACGAUCUCAAGUCAAAUAAAAUGUUAGUCAACCCACUUUAUUUAUCUUUUUUUUUUUUUUUUUAUUAUGCAUCACUACAUCUUUUUAGCCCAUAUAACUAGCUUCUACUUCAAACUAUAGUUCCCUAAAAUCAAGAAGGACUUUUAUUAGGACGUAACGUAGGCUAGGGAUAUGGCUAACAAAGAAAGGAAAUAAGGAAAACAAAGUGUAUGUUUGAGAAAAAUGCAGAAUUUUUUUUUUUUUUUUUUUUUUUUUUGGAACUUGCAAGGUGGAUUUCACCUAUUAUUGUUAUUUUUAUUCUUUUGAAACAACAACUUUUGUUUUUGUUUUUUUUUUUUUUUUUUUACUUUUAUUUGGCAUAACUUCACUGAACAACAUAAUUAUUUACAUUUUCUCAAACAUAAAUAGGUGAUGGAACUUAAAAGACAUUGGGUAAUACUCCAAAUCGGAGUGGGUCAAGAUGAUAAGUUGACAAAGAAAAGGUUUUUGUUCUUUUUUUUUUUUUUUUUUUUUUUUUUUUUAAAGGCUCAAAAGGGGUAACUAUGGAUAUUUAAUAAAAGGGAUGGUUAGAAAGGCUCAAACGGAUCAAAGAUGGCCUUUCCAUCGUCUUUUAGGGCUCUAAAUAAUUAUCCAUAUCUACUAGUUAGAUGGGCCUCCCAAUGUAGCAACACACAUUUUUUUUUUUUUUUUUUUUUCAAUUUUACCAUAUAUAUAUAUUUUUUUAAAGGGUUAACUUAAAAGAAAUCUAGAGAUCGUGUAUAAAAUAAUAAACUGCUAAGCUGUAUAGAGAAUGGGCAAAAGGGUUACUCUCCAAGAAAAUGAUAGGCUCAACUACUCACUUGGCACUUAUUUAUGACAUGUUCAUUCCUUCAAGCAACUCAUAUUUGUCUCCGACAUCAACAUGUAAAGUAGCAAACAUAGCGUAACAUCACUUAAGACCAAAGAUAAUACAAAUACUAAAAUUUGAAAUUAAUCAUGUCAUCCAAUGUUAAAACAAAUAACACAAUUUUUUUUUUUUUUUAAACAACAUUCUACCCCCCAACCUAUUCUAAACAUGAAAGGAAAAUAUGCAUGCAGAAAUGUGAAAAUGAUGUAGAAAAAUUAAUUAGAAAAAGAAUUUUUUUUUUUUUAAACUAAGAAGAUGCGUUUCUAGAGGCACUACACUCCAUAUUCAGCCAUCUUCGACUCAAAAAUUUGAAACUACAUAUUUAUAAAGGAGAAAGAGGAAGAAAACAGGUUUUAUUUAUUUUUUUUUAUUUUUUAUUUUUAAAAACGAUGAAGAUGCGUUUCUAGAGUAACUACACUCCAUAUUCAGCCAUCUUCAACAUAAAAUGUUAGCAACAGUUAGUUUCUACAACAAAAAAUCAGUAAAAACUUAACCAAGAUUCCACAAUUGUCGACUAUUCCCUCCCCCCAACCAGAACGAAACAUUGUCCUCAAUGUUUUAAAGGAAAGAAGUAGAGUUUAGAAGACAUCACCUGGGUGGUGCAACACAGAAGAAAAUAUUUACAGGCGGAGAGUUAAAUCUAAUUUGUACUUCUUACUGCGGCUACUGUUACCAUCAUUAUUUGGUCGCUCCAACACAAAGGUCCAGGGGUCUGGCUCCGGUUUAUAAGCUUGUAACAUAUCAAGUAGCUCAUUAGCAGUGUGAGCACAAAUAAAGAGUUUUUUCACAUUAGAAGGAAUGAAAUAGUUUUUUAUUGCAUGGUUAAGAAAUGCGAUAAAGCCAUCAUAAAAGUUAUUGACAUUUAACAAACCGAUGGGUUUCUGGUGGAUGUGCAGAUGGGCCCAAGAUGCUAGUGUCAUAAGUACCUCUAGUGUUGCAAGAUCUCCUGGAAGGAAAAUAAAAGCAUCAGCAUGAUUAAGCAUUUCAGUUAUUCUUUCUUGCAUACUUGAGACGACUAACUCUUCUCCUGUUGAUGAGUCAGACGAACUGCCCAAUGGUUUUAGGACUCUUGGGAUGAUGCCUAACACUUGACUUCCUCUGAUAAAAGCUGCUUCUGAGACCAUUUUUGAUAACCCUCGGUUACCUCCUCCAUACACCAAAUGUAAUUUUCUCGCUGCUAUGCUUCGACCAAGAUCUAUGGCUGCCUCAACGAACUCUUUAUGUUUGCCAUAGGUAAAUCCAGAAAGCACACAAAUGUUCUUGAAUUGUCUAUUGGGAGUAGCUGCCAUUGUGAUACUUCUCAAAAAUAAUUUGUGAGUGCUUGACAAAAGAUAAAUCACGUUUAAGAAUCUUGGUGACAAUGGAUCACAGCUGUGAAUGAGGUAACAUGUCAGUGUCAAAUAACGCGUAAAGCACGUGGCUCGCGAGUCAAAAAGGAAACAGUAAAAAGGAAAAAGCAAACAGUAAUAAAAUUAUUAAAGACAAUAAUGCAAACAAUAAAACAACAGUGAAAUGAAAUAAAAUAACAGUAAAGUAAAAGGAUAUUUACACGUAGUUGCGACUGUGGCUCACAUCUUCCUCUGGUUUUACGUCCAGAAACGGCUUGAACGCCCUCUAUGGGUCGAGGAUCGGCUUCCCAUCCAGUUUUCUUAUAAACUGACAAACAGGGUCGUUUAUAGUCAGAUUCCCGAGACUAUAUCGUGCAUGCUCUUUCUGGAAUAAUGGCCAUAACCGGAGAAUCGCUCCUUGCACAUAUCCACUGGGAUGCGUUUCAAGAGACAGAAGGAUAUCAUCCAAUGACUCCUUAUUCAAGCCAUCCCUAAUGAAUUGAAUCUUAUCUUCCCUGUUAUCAGACACCAUUCCUAAAGAACAUGGGUUUCUAUCGCAACUCAUUCUGGCACACUUGUGACAAGCAACAGAAAUUCUUCGAGCUCGUCGUUUUCUUGCGUAAUUUCCUUUACCACAACCAGGCAUGUAUGCAAUAAAUUUAGGAGGUAACUCACCUGCCAAUCGUACUUUAGCCUCGAUUAACCAACGGAUGUCUGCAGGUAUGUUAUUCCUCAUGAGCAAUCGCAUGCGUUCAGACCGGGAUUUAUAGAUUGUAAGGAGGGCAUUCUGAGGAAGUGAAGGGAAUCGCUUGUGAAGCUUUACUAAAAUCUCGUUUCUAUCCAUACCUUCGCCUCAGAAUAUCAGUUAUUAUGGGAAACUGAAGUUAACCGACUUGAUUGUCACGGAGUACCGUUAUCCGCCACUUCACCGGGGUAACAAACUAAAGCACACAAACAGAAAAAAAAUUAAAACACACAAAGAAAAUUAAAAUCGUCCUCUUAUUGAAUUUACCUCAAGCUCCAACUGGAUGUCGUAAACACUUCUCUCAAUGUCUCUGAGUUGGCGUUCUAAACUCUCAACAUAGGCUACUAACUCUGGUGGUUGUAGAGCCCAAAUGCGUUGUGUUUUACAAAAUUGAAUCUGCUUUUUGAGAUGAGUUUUGACACGUUGAAGUGGUUUAAGAAUGUUCAGGAGGAACGGUCUAAGUAUGGUACUCAUGAUUAACAAUGAUAAGAAAAAACUUAAUUGUUAAACAAACACACUUAUGCAAAAAUAAUUUCAAUUAGCAAAAGAAUAAUAAAAAGAAAGAAAGAAAAAUCAAAUCAACGAAAAGAAAAAAACAAAUCAAUUCAAAUCUGGUGGGUCACUCAAAUUUAUUUCGGUGUCUUCUCCAUGUGGUUGGUAUUCUAGAUAUGGCUUUAAUCUUUGACCAUUAACUUUAAACGCGACACCGUUCUUUGGGUCCUUAAUUUCAAUUGCCCCAUGUGGAAAAACAGUAUGAACAAUAAAGGGACCAGACCAUCGAGAGCGUAACUUACCUGGGAAUAGGUGCAAGCGAGAAUUGAAUAAAAGCACUUUCUGACCUGGAGUGAAUGAUUUUCUCAUAAUUUGCUUGUCGUGAAAGACUUUCAUUCGUUGCUUGUAAAUCUUGGCAUUUUCGUAUGCAUCAUUGCGAAUUUCUUCAAGUUCUGCCAGUUGUAAUCUUCUCUCUGAGCUGGCUUGCUGCAUGUCAAAGUUGAAUUUCUUGAUGGCCCAAUAUGCACGAUGCUCGAGUUCCACAGGUAGGUGGCAAGCUUUUCCAUACACUAGCCUGUAGGGUGACAUCCCAAUCGGGGUCUUGAAAGCCGUUCUAUAUGCCCAUAAUGCAUCAUCAAGUCUUAAUGACCAAUCUUUUCUGUCUGGUCUCACCGUCUUUUCUAAUAUGUGCUUUAUUUCUCGAUUGGAGAUCUCAACUUGGCCACUGGUUUGCGGAUGAUACGGGGUCGCCACUUUGUGUGUGAUUGAAUACUUUGUCAAAAGAGCCUUGAAUGCUUUGUUACAAAAGUGGGCACCACCAUCACUGAUUAUUGCUCGAGGGAAUCCAAAGCGUGAAACAAUGUUGCUUUUCAAAAAUCCUAUCACCACUUUGUGAUCAUUGGUUCUGCAUGGAAUUGCUUCCACCCAUUUCGAUACGUAGUCAACAGCAACCAAUAUAUAUUGAUGGCCAAAAGAAGGGGGAAAGGGUCCCAUGAAGUCGAUACCCCAUACGUCAAAAAUCUCAACCACUAAAAUUGGAUUUAGUGGCAUCAUGUUCCUUCGUGUAAUGCUCCCCAUUCGUUGACACCUAUCACAUGAAGAACAGAAAGUGUAAACGUCUCGAAAUAUAGUUGGCCAAUAGAAACCACAUUGUAAAACUUUUGUAGCUGUUUUCUUAGCACUAAAAUGGCCUCCACACGCUUGUUCAUGGCAGAAUGAAAUGAUAUUUUGAAUUUCACUUUCUGGGACACAUCGCCUAACAAUUUGAUCUGCACAAUACUUGAACAAAUACGGGUCAUCCCAAAAGAAAUUCUUUAUUUCCGCAAAGAAUUUAGCCUUGUCUUGCUUGGUCCAAUGCUCUGGAAGUUUACCUGUAACAAGAUAAUUAACUAUAUCAGCAUACCAAGGUAAUACUUCCACAUUCAUUAAUUGUUCAUCUGGAAAUGACUCAUUCAAUGGUAAUGAUUCUGUAAUUGUGUCAAAAUGGAGACGAGAGAGGUGGUCCGCCACAACAUUCUCUGUGCCUUUCUUAUCCUUGAAUUCCAAGUCGAAUUCCUGCAAAAGUAACACCCAACGAAUUAGUCUAGCUUUUGCAUCUUUCUUUGUGAGAAGAUAUUUAAGAGCAGCAUGAUCUGUGAAUAUAAUUAUUUUACAACCAAUGAGAUAAGAUCGAAAUUUUUCCAAUGCAAACACUACUGCUAGCAUUUCUUUUUCAGUAGUUGAAUAAUUCAACUGUGCAUCAUUCAAUGUCAUACUAGCAUAGUAAAUAACGUGGGGAAUUCGAUCAACUCUUUGUCCUAAUACUGCUCCUACUGCAUAAUCAGAUGCAUCACACAUAAGCUCAAAUGGUAAGCUCCAGUUUGGGGCCUGAAUGAUGGGUGAUGAUGUCAACAACUGCUUUAAUUUUUCAAACGCCAUUAGACAUGAAUCAUUAAAGAUAAAAGAUACAUCCUUAGCAAGUAGAUUGCAUAAGGGUCUAGAAACUUUGCUAAAAUCUUUAAUGAAACGUCUAUAGAAACCAGCAUGCCCAAGGAAAGAUCUUACUUCUCUGACUGUUUUAGGUGGAGGAAGAUUAGAAAUGAGAUCCACCUUGGCUUUGUCAACCUCAAUACCUUUGCUCGAAAUGAUGUGACCGAGAACAAUACCUUGUUUUACCAUAAAAUGGCACUUCUCCCAAUUCAAGACUAAGUUCUUCUCGGUACAUCUCUGCAGAACUAGCGUUAGAUGAUGUAAACAUUGAUCAAACGAGUCACCAAAGACAGAAAAAUCAUCCAUAAAGACUUCAAGGAAUCGUUCAACCAUAUCAGAAAAAAUGCUCAACAUGCAUCGUUGGAAUGUAGCAGGUGCAUUACAUAAUCCAAAUGGCAUUCUCCUAUAAGCAAAAGUGCCAAAAGGGCAAGUGAAAGUAGUUUUCUCCUGAUCUUUUGGUGCUAUGGGAAUCUGAUUAUAUCCUGAAUAACCAUCUAGAAAGCAAUAAAAUUCAUGGCCUGCUAAUCUAUCAAGCAUUUGAUCAAUAAAUGGUAAAGGAAAAUGGUCUUUACGUGUGACAGAAUUCAACUUUCUAUAAUCAAUGCAUACACGCCAUCCUGUAGUUACUCUAGUUGGUAUCAAUUCAUUAUCAGCAUUGGUAACUACUGUGACUCCUGACUUUUUGGGGACGACUUGUACAGGACUGACCCAUGAACUAUCAGAAAUUGGGUAAAUGAUACCUGCAUCUAAUAGCUUAAGGACUUCUGUUCUAACAACUUCUUUCAUAUUAGGAUUUAACCGACGUUGCAUUUCCCUAGUAGAUUUAGCAUUUUCAUCAAGGUGAAUGUAAUGCAUGCAGUCUACUGGAUUUAUACCUUUGAUGUCUGCUAUGGUCCAUCCUAAUGCUCCUUUGUGCUCUUUUAAAACAUCCAACAACUUACCUUUUUGUUCCUCAUUUAGGGAUGAUGAGAUGAUUACCGGCAGAGUACUUUCUUCUCCCAAAAAUGCAUAUUCCAAUGUGUUGGGCAAUGGUUUGAGCUCGAGUUUCGGUGGUGAUUCUGAUGAUGGAAUGAGUUUCUUCUCUGAUGGUGCUAGUUGUUCAACUCUUGACUUCCAUUUAUUAGUGUCCAUGGAUGGUGCUGAGUCAAGUAGGGCGUUGACCUCUUCGACCGAUCUGUCAAUAUCAAAAUCCAAACCAAAGUGAGUUAAACAUGUUUGUAAAGGAUCAUCACUAAGGUUUGAAAGAAAAGUAUUAUCAACUAUUGUUUCUAUUAAAUCCACAUCAACAAUUCCAUCAUCUGCACUGUGAGGUUGUUUGGCAAUGUUGAAGAUGUUUAGCUCCAUAGUCAUGUUGCCGAAGGACAAUUGCAUAUUUCCGGUCCUACAUUGAAUAUGAGCAUCUGCAGUUGCCAAGAAAGGUCGGCCUAGAAUAAUGGGGAUGUGCUUCCUUGAGUCCUGUAUUGGUUGAGUGUCAAUUACAAUGAAAUCAACAGGAAAAUAAAACUUGUCUACCUGGAUAAGCACGUCCUCCACAAUACCACGAGGUAUUUUUGUGGACCGAUCUGCAAGUUGUAACACCACUGGAGUUGGGUGUAAUUCUCCAAGUCCAAGUUUCACGAAAACAGAGUAAGGCAACAAAUUUACACUAGCUCCUAAAUCCAACAAAGCAUUCUCAAUUGUGUGGUUCCCUAUACUACAUGAGAUAGUGGGGGAGCCUGGGUCUUUGCAUUUUAAAGGAAUUUUAUGUUGGAGUAUAGAACUAACGUUUUCUGUUAAAAAUGCCUUCUUUUGAACAUGCAUAUUUCUCUUUUUAGUACAAAGGUCUUUAAGAAACUUGGCAUAAGAUGGAACUUGUUUAAUAGCAUCAAGUAAAGGGAUGUUGACACUUACCUGUUUGAAGAUUUCGAGAAUCUCACCUGUGGAUUUUCCCUUCUUUCCUUUCGCUAACCUCUGAGGAAAUGGAGCUUUGGGAACGUAUUCUCGUGGGUUGGUUUCUUCUUUUUCCUCCGGUGGUGAGUCCUCAGCAUUUACAGGUACAAUUUGAUUUUCUUUUGUCACCGGCAUCUCCACUUUAUUGUCGACUUCCUUUCCUUUUCGCAAGGUCAUGACUGCUUUGACCUCUCCAUGCUGUUGUGGUGAACUGGUACUUGCUUCAUGCACUCCUUUAGGAUUAGGCACUGGUUGACUUGGAAACUUGCCUUUCUCAACAGUCAUUGCCAAGGUCUGAACUGAAGAAGCAAGCUGUCCCACCAUCUUCUCGAGGCUUGAAACUGAUUGGGCUUGUGAAUUGAAGCCCGCUCUCAACUCAUUUCGUAGUCCAUCAAUGGUGCGAUUCUGUUGCUCAAUCGUGGAGUGAGUAACAUUCUUGAAAUUCUGGAAUGCAUCCUCCCAUGGUCUGGGUUGAGAGUAGUUCUGGUUCUGAUUGUAUGGUCUGAAUGGUGGCUGAGAGGCUUGAGGAACUUGAGGAAUUUGUGGAGCUGGAGCUGCUGGUCCAUUCUGUUGGAAUCCUUGAGACCAUGAAAAAUUGGGGUGGUCUCUCCAUCCAGGGUUAUAUGUGUUGGAGUAUGGGUUGUAAUUAGAUGGCUUUCUCAUUACACCUAUGGCAUUGGCUUGAUCGGAGUAUGAGUCAUGGUCAUGUGGUUCUGUUGAUUUAGCAGUCGAUAACGAUGCUAUUUGUCGAGCAAGACCUUCAACCAUCUCCUUGACUUCUUUGAUUCCCGAAGUUGACUCGCCAAUCUGAACCUCAUUUACUCCCUUAAUUCUUCUAGUAUUCCUGAGUGAUCGACUCCGUUGUUGGGAAUUAUCCGCUUGUCGCUGGAAGAAUUCCCAAAUCUCUGUUGCGCUUUUUGACAUUAGCUCUCCUCCACUUGUUGCCAUUAGCCAUUCUUGCACAUUUGGUAGUAAUCCCUCCAAAAAGUAUUGGCAUUGGUGCCAUUUCUCGUAUCCAUGAUGUGGACACUUCAAGAGUAGCCCAUUGAAUCGCUCCCAUGUUUCGAAAAACUGCUCGUCCUCUCUUUGUGUAAACUCUGAAAUUUCCCUGCGAAUAGAAUUGGUUUUAUGCACUGGGAAAUAUUUAUUUAGAAAUUUUGUAACCAUUUGUUCCCAUGAUGCAAUGCUAUUAGCAGGCAAAGUAUUUAACCAUGAACGAGCUCUAUCCUUUAAAGAAAAUGGGAAUAAUCUGAGUUUAACAUCAUCGUCUGAAAAAUUUUCAUAUUUAAAAGUUUGACAAAUGGUAUGAAAAUCAUUCAGAUGAUUAUAUGGGUCCUCAUUUUCUAAGCCAUAGAAUGUGGGGAGACAAUUUAGCACACUAGGUUUUAGUUCAAAGCUCCUAGCAGCUACAUUUGGGUAUCUAAUACAUGAUGUGCUCAAAUUAGCUAAGGGACUAAAAUAGUCCUUAAAUGGCCUCUCCUGUGGUGCUUGUAAAUCCAUUCCAAUUUUAUUUUUAAUGUGUUUUUGUGUGCGAAGUGUUUUUUCUAAUUCAAGGUCUAUAGGUUCAAGAUUAGGUAAUAAUGACCUACGACCAUGCAUGCAAAAUAAAAAUAAAAAUAAAGAUGGGAACAAAACAAAUAAAAAUAAAUAAGAGGGAGAAAUUACGAUACUAACCUUAUUGCGCUAUUACAACCUUACUAUAAAAAUACACAAAAAUAAAUACGUGAAAUAAAUUAACUAAAAAUUAAAUUAAUAAGAUAAACAAAAAUUACAAAGAAAAAAUAAAUUGAAAAUUAAAUUACAGAAUUUUAAAGAAGAGAAAAAGAAAAGAAAUACUAACCUUUCAAUGUAGAUUUACUUUUUUUUUUUUUUAAUAAAAAAAUACAAGAAAACAAUUUAAAAUAAAUUAUUCACAAAAAUUAAUUCUAUGAAUUAAAAUUACUUACCUCCCCGGCAACGGCGCCAAAAACUUGUUGUGCAAAUUUUAAUGAACUCGCAAGCGCACGAAUCUAUUGUAGUGUAGAUCAAUGGUGACGAGUGUCGAUCCCACGAGGAGGUGGAUUUUAAUUGUGUAUAGAAUUAAUUUUGCAAAAUGGGUGGUUGGAAUUGUGGUGGAAGUGAUUUAAAAUAUGCUAAAAUUGGAAUUGCAAUGGCGAGAAUAAAUUGUAGAGAAAAUCGAUUAAAUUGACGUACUUGGGUAUCUGGAUCCGUAUCAACAUGCAUCAUGGGCUAAAUAAUCCGUAUUAAUGCCAAUUAAAUCAUGAUGGGGGAAUCCACACAUCAUGAACCACGCUCUAAUCAAUAUGGUGCUAAGGGCUUAUCGUGCCAAAUAAUAAUAACCUUAUACUAGAAAGCCGGUGUAACCAAGGCGGUAUCUAGACAAGAUCAGUAUUAUUUGUCGACGAUAAGUCAAAUCAUCCACAAAAACUAGAGGGGAAAAGAAAAUAAAUUUACCAAAUAAAGCCCAUGACACAUGUUGAGACUUCACCUUCAACCCAAGCUUGAAAAGAAAUUAGCUACUCAUAAUUGAACUAGGGGCAAAAUGGGAAUUUAUUAAAAUACGAAGAAAAUACAAGAUGGAGAGGGAAUUACAGAAAAUGGAUCCCAAAAAUGGAUUCAGAGAUAUCAAAUUAGGGGGGGGAGGCCCCCUUUUUAUAGAUACAUGGAGUAAAUCAUGGCCAUCGGAUUAAAAACAGUUUGGACGCUCAGGAUUGCGCCACGUCAUCAGUCAACAGUCCACGGUUUGACCACGCGGAUGAACAGUAACACGGUUUGACCCGGAUGAACAGUAACGCGGUUUGGUUGAAAAUAAUCCUGUGUGAUGCAUGCACCGUACGCGAGAUUUUUCGUCCACUGAUAUGCUGCCACGUCACCGUCAACAGUACAUAAGAAUUUUAGUCCAACAGGAUCGUGACACCUCAUCAGUCAAUGCCACAUCAUCGGUCAAUGCCACGUCAUCGAUCCGUCUUUGUGAACAGUGUCGUGAACAGUAACGUAGACAGUACCGUAUAUGUGAAUAGUACCGUACAUGUGAAUAGUGCCAUUUUUCCUUUUAUGCUCCUCCUAAGGUUUUCGACCGUCCUGAGUUCAAAAGUGAUGUCUGUUUUGCCGUCUGAUCUCUCCUUUAUUGUGAAAUGACUAUAAUGCCCCUAAAAUACAUAAAAUACUUAAUUAAAAUAACACACACGUAAUUACAUCACAAGAAGGUUAAAUACAUAAAAGUAAGGGUUGUUAGUAAGACUUGAAAUGUAAAAUGACGGUUUUCUCCUUUAUAAAUAUGCAUUUUCUAACACUCAACAUUAACAAGAUUAUCAAAGGUAUCCUGAAGAAUAAGCUAGAAGAAAGAAAGGGAGCGUGGGUAGACGAGCUACCUGGGGUUCUGUGGGCCUACCGGACUACUCAAAACACUUCCACCUGGGAGACCCUUUUUUCCCUCGCAUUCGGUGUUGACGCAGUGAUUCCAGUAGAAAUUGAGGUACCCUCUCACAGGGUUGAAUACUUUGAUGAGGCCGAGAACACCUCCUUGAUUGCUUCCAACCUUGAUUUGGCGGCCGAAAAAAGGGCUAGAGCAUAAUUGAGGACAGCCAUAUAUCAACAUCGCAUUUUGGGUCUAUAUGAAAAAAGGGUACGCCAUCGAUCCUUCAAGAAAGGAGACUUGGUCUUGAGAAGGGUAACGCAGAACACUAGGGUACCCUGCGAAGGCACUUUUGGGGCAAAUUGGGAAGGACCUUGAAAUAUAAGUGUGCAACCCAAGAGGGGGGGUGAAUUGAAAUUUUAAAAUUUAUCCUAACAAAUCCACACAACAAGCAAUCUAAUGUCUUAAUAAUAAUUGAAAACAAUAAGUUCAAUAAUAGCACAAUAAUUAAAGAGUAAGGGAGAAGAGAAACAAACACAUGAAUUUUUACGUGGUUCGGCAAUCCCCGCCUAUGUCCACGCCUCCAAGCGAUCCAAGCUCGAGGAUUUCACUAUCCAAGCCUUUCCAAGGCUUCAACGAUUACAAUUGACUUCGAGGUGUCAAUAAACCUUUACAACAAAGAGAUUAUCUCCCAAUCUCUUCACUCAAGUGUCUCACACACUCAAACUCUUACAAAUGAAUUGAAGAAAUGAAAGUUACAAUGAAACUCAGUCAAUGAGUAGAUAUUCAAAGAUGAAGAAUAAUGAAUGAAUCAAUAAUUUGUGUUUUGCAAGUUGAAGGCUCAAGAUAUCACGUGUGCUUUUUGUUUUUGCUUGUUGGAGAGCUUCAAAAUGAGUAGGAUUUGAGUUUAUAUAAUUUGAGCUCAAAAACUAGCCGUUAUGCACAUUUUGGUCGUAACCGGAUUACCGGUUAUGGACAUCCGGAAUUCCGCUUAAUGUUACCGUUACAGCCACAAUUUUGAAUUUCUGAACAUCUGGAUUGCCGCUUUGUCACAUCCGGAUUUCCGCUUAUGCUCAGUAGCUUACUGCCCAACAACCGGAUUUCCGUUUGUCAGGAUCCGGAUUUUCGCUUGCUACAGUAACUGCUACAGUGAUUAUUUUCCCAAAUUUAUAGUUUGACCCCAAAACUUUAUAAAACUGUAGCGUGGCCCAAAACGUUAUGAAAGUUUGCAAAAAGGUCCAAUUUCAGAAUUUUAGAAUAAUGCUUUGUCAAUCCCACAACUUUGUGAAAUUAUAGCAUGGCCCAAAAACAUUUAAAUAGUUUCAAAUAGGUCCAAAUCCGAAAUUUAAAAACACUAUCAAAGAUUUUAAAAAUACUUUCAUUUUAGUCCAAAAUACUUUAAUUUCAUAACAUCAUUUUCUUAUUAUAAAAGCACAAUUCAUAAAUCUUUGCUUAAUAAAUACAUGUGGUUUGUUAUCAUCAAAAUCAAUAUUUAUAGCCAUAUAGGCUAACAAUCUCCCCCUUUUUUAUGAUGACAAAACACAUUAAAAACUUUAAUCUUGUUAUGAAAAAGCUCCCCCUUAAUCAAUGCAAGUUAAAAAAAAUGAUUUGAAAAUUGUUUAACAAAAACUCCCCCUGCAUACAUGCUCCCCUUAGAUACAUGCAUAUUUUCAUAACACAUAUUAAAUCAUUCUCCCCCUUCAUCAUCAAAAAGAAUAAAAGCUCCCUCUAUCAAUUAUCAAAAUCGCAACAUAAGCACAUUAGUAAAAAAAAUAUCCAUAAGCAUAAGAAAAUCCAUAUAAUCCAUAAUGAUCAAUCAAAACAAAUCCAUAACAUCCAACAUAAAUAGUCACAACAAAUCCAUAUCAUCCAACAACAAAACCAUAAACCGAAAAUCAUAAUAACCAUCCAUAGAGUCGAAAAUAAAAGAACACACAAUGCAGUAAAUGAAAUGUAGGUGUGUCCAAAUACAAGCAUAAGAUACUACUCAGGUGGUGAGGAUGGAGGUGAAGGAGGUGGAUACGGAUAUGGAAUGCCGAAGUGCUCGAAGAGAAGGCGCUGUCCAUGAAUGAGCUGCUGCUGCUCCUGCUGAAACUCAGUCUGCCGCAAUGAAAGUGUCCGCACCUCAUCCAUAAGCUGCUGAAGAGUAACAUCUCCAGAGGUAGGAUGACGUGGAGGUGAUGAAACGGAUGCAGAGACAUCAGGAGCUGAAGCUAUCACGGGAGGAUCUCGGCGUCUACGCUGCCCCCGAAAUGAGAGUGAGAAAAUGGGUAGCUGAUCAGCUGGAACCACAGCAUUAAGUGGCCGAUCAUCACUUGGAGCAAUGAAGGUAAACUUGUUUUCACUGUAUUUGACCCAAGUGCCAUCCUUCCACUCAAAGCCUAACCCAAUAAUAACAUCUUCCCCGAUACCCUUAGACGGUCUACAUGAUGGUUCUUUAAUAGGUACAUCAAAAAAUUUCAGGAUUCGGGUAAUGAAAUGACCAUAUGGAAGGGAGCGGGUAAUCAACUUAGGUAUACUGAGCAUGUUUCGGACAAUGGUAUAUCCUAAGUCAACUGGACGAUGUCUAAGAAUACAAUCAAUCAAGGCGACAUCCAUAUGAGAGACCUCAUCCAAAUGGCCUGAUCUAGGAAGGACAAUACUCUGAAUAAAACGAAGUAAUAUCCGAGACUGAAGACAAAGACAUAGGUUGCGAAAAUGGAUAGUACAAUCUUCAUCGGAAAGGUCGACACGGCGACAUAUAUUCUUAACAGCAUCAAUAUAAACAUAGUCAUCAAUGUCAGGAGGUUUCCUAGGUGAAAAAACUUCUAGGCCAUCAUCGGAAGAUCCUAGGAUGGUGUUCAAGUCCGAAUCAUCAAACUCAAUCAAAACUCCUCCAACUGUGGUGAUUACUCGAUUCUCUUUCUCCGCGGAACAAUCCAUAUUCGAGUAAAAUACUUUCACCAAGUCAGGAUAUACAUUUUCCUCAACAACAAGUGCAUUAAGCCAACCAACAUCUUUCAACAAUUGCAAUAAAGUUAUAUUGCUAAUACUAAGAUGAUUCAAACAAUCCAGUAAAACAAAAAAAAGGUUUGGAGUACCUCUCGAGUCAUGAACUGUUGAUGAAAACGUUUGGCUAGAUGUUUCUUGUUCUGAAAAUGUGUGGACUCGAAAUUAGAUUGAUUGGUGAUGCCCCUUGCUUUCCGUGGCCGGUCGGUUUGUUGAACCGGUUCUUUGCCUUUUCUUCGAACCGGCCGUGAACUAGACAAUUGGAUUUGAUUGAUUUGAGGUUAAAAAGGAUAAAGAGAAUGAAGAUGAUGAAGAUUGAAAGUGAUUUUGAGAAACAAUUUGAAUCAAAAACGGCUUAAGAGUGAGAAAUCUAGAGAGAGAAAAAUUCGGAUAAACCCUAGGUUGAAUUUGAGAUCUAGAGUUUUGGAUGUUGAAAAUGAAGUUUAAAGAUGCUUUAGAGUGAAUGAAGUGAUGGGAAAUGAUUUUCUUGAUUCAAUUUGAUGUGAAACAGAUAGAAAAUAAAGGAUUUUCGAGUGAAAAAGAUAGAGAAGCAAACGGUUUUUAGAGAGAGUGAGAGAACCAGAUUUCCGUUUGAAGAGGGAAGAAGAACAGUUGAAAUAGCUUCCGCAACCGGAUUUCCGGUUUUCACUAACCGGAUAGCCGGUUGGGACCAGAAGCUUGAAACCCGAAACCGGCUUGCCGGUUUGACUUGAACCGGAAUUCCGGUUGUGACCAGCAAGGUUCCACGCGAAAAUCGAUUUUCCGGAUAACACGAACCGGCUUGCCGGUUGGAUCCAGAAGAUAGCAAUGCCGGUUUGCCAAAGUCUCGAAUUCGGAUUUCCAGAUUGACAUAACCGGAAAUCCGGUUUUGGUCCAGCAAACCUUCCUUGCGAAUCCGGCUUUCCGGUUUUGCUAAUCGGCAGUCCGGUUUGAGGCAGAAAUGAAGCUUAGGAAAUCCGGUUAUCCGGAAUUUGUCUCGAGAGAAAUCAAUAAGGAAAAAAAAAGUUUUUCCGGAUGAAUAGAAAGGGAAUAUUUGCUAGCUCUUAUACUUGUAUUACACACACCAUUUUAUUUCCGGCCUUAAAAAAAAUUGAUUAAUUUUAAAUCAUUUUGAGAUUUAAAACCUUUCAAUAAGCCAUUUAAUGCAUGCAACAUAAAAUCAUAAAAUCAUAAAAUUACAAGCAUAUCAAGCCAUCUAAUUCAUGAACCAUAAAUCCAUAUAAUAACAAACAUAUCAAGCUAUAUAGUAAAACAUGAAUUAUCAACAUUCAUCAUUCCAAGCUCAUGUCUUAUCUUUAUAAAAUGCUCUUCGCUAAGAGGUUUUGUAAAGAUAUCCGCAAGUUGAUUUUCAGUGGAAACAAAUUUAAUCACAACAUCUCCUUUUUGAACAUGAUCUCUAAGGAAAUGAUGUCUAAUUUCUAUAUGUUUAGUCCUCGAAUGUUGAAUGGGAUUCUUGGAAAGAUUAAUAGCACUAGUAUUGUCACAUAAAAUAGGUAUUUGAUCAAGCUUAAUACCAUAGUCUCUAAGGGUUUGUUUCAUCCAAAGAAUUUGUGCACAACAACUACCUGCGGCAAUAUAUUCUGCCUCGGUGGUUGAAAGCGCAACCGAGUUUUGUUUCUUACUAAACCAAGAGACAAGAGAAUGACCUAGGAAGUGACAUGUUCCACUAGUACUUUUUCUAUCAACCUUAUACCCAGCAAAAUCGGCAUCCGAAUAACAAGUUAAAUCAAUAUGAGUUCCUCUAGGAUACCAAAGGCCAAGAUUAAUAGUGCCAAUUAGAUAUCGAAAAAUGCGUUUGACAGCAAGCAUGUGAGACUCUUUAGGACAAGAUUGAAAUCUAGCACACAAGCAUACACUAAACAUAAUAUCAGGCCUACUAGCAGUCAAAUAGAGUAAGGAUCCGAUCAUACCUCGAUAAGUCUUGAUAUCAACUUCCUUACCUUUCUCAUCUUUGUCCAGUUUGAUGGUAGUACUCAUAGGAGUGCUUUUUGCCGUUCCAUUAUCAUAGCCAAAUCUUUUGAGUAGAUCUUUCACGUACUUGGCUUGGUUUAUGAAAAUUCCUUCCUCGUUUUGUUUGAUUUGAAGUCCAAGGAAGUACUUCAACUCUCCCAUCAUACUCAUCUCAAACCCUUUACUCAUACAUGAUGAAAAAUCUUUACACAACAACUCAUUAGUAGAACCAAAAAUAAUAUCAUCAACAUAAAUUUGAACAAUAAGUAUGUCUUGAUUCUUAUGCUUAACAAAAAGAGUUGUGUCCGCUUUUCCCAUCGAAAAAUCGUUAUCCAACAAGAAGUUUUUAAGCCUAUCAUACCAAGCUCUAGGUGCUUGUUUUAAACCAUACAAAGCCUUGGAUAACUUAUACACAUGAUCUGGAAAUUUUUCAUUUUUACAACCAGGAGGUUGUUUCACAUAAACUUCCUCCAUAAUAUAUCCAUUUAAGAAAGCACUCUUGACAUCCAUUUGAUAUAAAAUAAAAUCCUUGUGACAUGCAUAUGCUAACAACAUCCUAAUGGAUUCUAAUCUUGCUACAGGUGCAAAAGUUUCAUCAAAAUCAAUUCCUUCUUCUUGGUUGUAACCUUGAGCCACUAGUCUAGCUUUAUUUCUUACAACCACACCGGAUUCAUCCAUUUUGUUUCUAAAUACCCAUUUAGUGCCUAUAAUGGAUUGAUGUUCUGGAUUAGGAACUAACUCCCACACAUUGUUUCUCUUAAAUUGAUUCAACUCCUCUUGCAUUGCCAUAAUCCAAGAUUCAUCAUUUUCCGCAUCCGCAAAGGAUUUUGGUUCAAUUUGAGAAAUAAAUGCAGCAUGUUCACAUGUGUUCCUAAGAGAUUAUCUAGUUGUAACACCUCGUGAGGGAUCUCCUAAAAUUACAUCCUUAGGGUGAGAAGAUACAUACCUCCACUCCUUGGGGAGUGUUUGAGAAGUACCUUCAUUUUGCUCUACAUUCAUUUCUUCAUGAUGUUCCUCUUGAAUUCCAUGUGGCGCGUCUUCUUGGUUGUCAUUCGAUGCUUCUUCUUGUUGUUCUUCUUCUGCAUUAUCAUCAACAACAGCUUUCUCCGUAGAGGGGUUAGACUCAUCAAAUGUAACAUGCAUAGAUUCUUCCACAACUAAAGUUCUUUUAUUAUAAACUCUAUAAGCUUUGCUUGAAUUUGAAUAACCAAGAAAUAUACCAACAUCAGAUUUUGGAUCAAAUUUACCAAGAUUAUCUUUUGUAUUCAAAACAAAACAUUUGCAUCCAAAAACUUUAAAAUAACCAAUGUUGGGUUUUCUAUCUUUCCAAAGCUCAUAUGGAGUUUUAUCAAGAUUAGGUCUAAUCAACAUCCGAUUUAAAACAUAACAAGUAGUGUUGACGGCUUCGGCCCAAAAAUACUUAGGCAAAGAAUUUUCAUUCAACAUGGUCCUAGCCAUUUCUUGAAUAGACUUAUUCUUUCUCUCUACUACUCCAUUUUGUUGUGGAGUCCUAGGUGAUGAAAAUUGAUGUUCAAUGCCAAAGUCAUUACAAAAAUUUUCAAAUGCAUGAUUUUCAAAUUCUCCACCAUGAUCACUUCUAAUACAAGUAAUAGAAUAACCUUUUUCAUUUUGAACCUUUUUAUAAAAAAUUCGAAAUGCAUCAAUGGCAUCAUCCUUAUUAGCUAAGAACAAUACCCAUGUGUAUCUAGAAUAAUCAUCCACAAUUACAAAUGCAUAAAAUUUGCCACUUAAACUAGCAUAUUUAGAAGGUCCAAAUAAAUCUAUAUGAAGCAAUUGAAGUGGUUUUGAAGUGGAGACAUGAUUCUUGCUUUUGAAGGAAGUUUUGAUUUGUUUUCCAAAUUGGCAUGCUUCACAAGUUCUAUCUUUUUGAAAAUUGAUUUUUGGAAGACCUUUUACUAAAUCAUUUUUCAUAAUUUUUGAAAUCAAAUCCAUGCUUGCAUGACCUAAUCUUCUAUGCCAUAACCAACCAUCAUCAUACAAUGCGGAGAGACAUUUCUCAUUUGUUGAUGCACAAUCUAUAUUAAUGGUAUAGACAUUAACACAUCUAUUUCCUACAAACAAGACUUUCCCAUCACAUGCAUUCUCAAUAACACAUUUUGAUUCAUCAAAGAUAACUCUAUAUCCUUUAUCACAUAAUUGACUAAUACUAAGCAAAUUGUAUUUCAAGUUUUCAACCAAACACACAUUCUCAAUGAGGGUAGAUGAUACAUUACCGACAUUUCCAAUUCCAAUGAUUUUUCCUUUUGAAUUAUCCCCAAACGAAACAUCUCCACUAUUUUCGAUCUUGGUAAAGCUUGAAAACCAAGAAUAAUUCCCUGUCAUGUGUCUUGAACAACCGCUGUCCAAGUACUACUUAUUCUUCUUCUUCUUUGAGCCCUGUAGAAAAAAUCUCAAGUUUUAGGUACCCAAACCCUUUUGGGUCCUUGAGAGUUAGCAAUGGUUCCUUUCGGAACCCAAACACAUUUCAUACCAUAAUAUGCAUUUCUCUUCACUGCACAUCUAUUUUUCAUAUGGCCAUCUUGAUUGCAAUAAUGACAUACAAUUUUAUUGUUAAUAGAUGUAUUCUUCACAAAAUAACUCUUGUAAAAUUUUUGUUUCAAAUUCGGUUUAUAACCUAUGCCACUUUUGUCAAAUACACAUUUUUGUGAGUUUAGCAAAUUGUCCAACAUCUUUUGCCCAUUUGUGAAUUUUAGCACAAUUUCAUUUAGUUCAUUGCUCUUCUUUCUAAGCAUUUCAUUCUCAUUUUUCAAGUCAUUCAUGUGUGACUCUAAGUGCUCAUGUGAGGUGCUAGAAUUCUCAAAUAAUGCAAUACUAUCAUGCAAUGUUUUAUUUUCUAAUUCUAGGCAUGUAAUCUUUGCACUAAAUGAAUCAUUUUCAUUCUUAAGCUCUAUCAUCUUCCUUUAAGACAUAUAUUCUUUUUACCAAUCUUCAUUAGCUCAUCAUAAAAAUCCUUAAAAGCAUCAUGCAAUUCAUCAUAAGUGGGAAGAACACUUACCUCAUCAAGUUCAUCACAUGAUUCUUCCCCAACAGCCAUGAGAGCUAAGUUUGUCAUUUCUUGUUGCUCAUCAUCGUCACUUGUUUCGUCAUCGCUAUCAUCCCAUGUGGCCACCAUAGCUUUCUUCUUGAGUUUGUUGAGAAGAGGACAUUCCGGUCGUAUGUGUCUGGGCUUCUUGCAUUCAUAACAAAUGAUUGGCUCCUUCUUCUCUUUCUUAUUCUUGUAGCUUCUGAACUUCCUCUGCUCAUUAUUCUUUUUGUAAAAUUUUUUGAAUCUUCUAGCCAACAUGGCCAGCUCCUCAUCAUCCAUUUUGCUUUCCUCAUCACUCUCACGUUUUGAAGCCUUGAGAGCAAUGUUCUUCUUCUUUUCCUCAUGCCCUUUUUUGGCUGCCAAAUCUUCUUCAUAUGAAAUGAGAGAGCCAAUUAAAUCAUCAAUAGGUAAUACAUUUAAAUCCUUGGCUUCCUCAAUGGCAGUCUUUUUUUGUCUCCAUUCCUUAGGUAGAGACCUAAUGAUUUUCUUGACUUUUUCGCUAUUUGAAAAAGUCUUUCCUAGGGCUCCUAGAGUGUUCACUAUGUCCGUGAAUCUAGUAUACAUAGAGUACACAUUUUCAUUUUGUUCCAUUUAGAACAAUUCAUAUUGUCGAGUGUACCUACUUAUUUUAGAUUCUUUCACUUGGUUCGUGCCUUCAUAGACAACCUCAAGUUUGUGCCAAAUUUCAUUAGCACUUUCGCAACUAGACACUCUAUGAAACUCUUUCUUAUCUAGUGCACAAAACAAGACAUUCAUGGCCUUGGAAUUUAGAGAAGCUUUUCUCUUUUCAAAUUCAUUCCAAUCCCGUGAAGGUUUUGGAAUAUCUUCUCCUACUUCAUUUUUAGUCAAAGGCAUGAAAGGACCAUCAUUAACGAUUUCCCAAAUCUCAUAAUCUAAGGCUUCCAAGUAAAUUUUCAUCCUAAUUUUCCAAUAUGGGUAAUCGUUUCCAUCAAAGUAAGGUGGUCUAGUGGUGGACUGCCCUUCCCUAAAUGUGGAAUCAUUUUGAGUUGCCAUUGAUCUUUAACUCUAGAUGGUUAAAUCUAAAUAAGAGCACCAAGCUCUGAUACCAAAUGAAAUAUAAGUGUGCAACCCAAGAGGGGGGGUGAAUUGAAAUUUUAAAAUUUAUCCUAACAAAUCCACACAACAAGCAAUCUAAUGUCUUAACAAUAAUUGAAAACAAUAAGUUCAAUAAUAGCACAAUAAUUAAAGAGUAAGGGAGAAGAGAAACAAACACACGAAUUUUUACGUGGUUCGGCAAUCCCCGCCUACGUCCACGCCUCCAAGCGAUCCAAGCUCGAGGAUUUCACUAUCCAAGCCUUUCCAAGGCUUCAACGAUUACAAUUGACUUCGAGGUGUCAAUAAACGUUUACAACAAAGAGAUUAUCUCCCAAUCUCUUCACUCAAGUGUCUCGCACACUCAAACUCUUACAAAUAAAUUGAAGAAAUGAAAGUUACAAUGAAACUCACUCAAUGAGUAGAUAUUCAAAGAUGAAGAACAAUAAAUGAUUCAAUAAUUUGUGUUUUGCAAGUUGAAGGCUCAAGAUAUCACGUGUGCUUUUUGUUUUUGCUUGUUGGAGAGCUUCAAAAUGAGUAGGAUUUGAGUUUAUAUAAUUUGAGCUAAAAAAUUAUCCGUUAUGCACAUUUUGGUCGUAACCGGAUUACCGGUUAUGGACAUCCGGAAUUCCACUUAAUGUUACCGUUACAGCCACAAUUUUGAAUUUCUGAACAUCUGGAUUGCCGCUUUGUCACAUCCGGAUUUCCGCUUAUGCUCAGUAGCUUACUGCCCAACAACCGAAUUUCCGUUUGUCAGGAUCCGGAUUUCCGCUUGCUACAGUAACUGCUACAGUGAUUAUUUCCCAAAUUUAUAGUUUGACCCCAAAACUUUAUAAAACUGUAGCGUGGCCCAAAACGUUAUGAAAGUUUGCAAAAAGGUCCUAUUUCAGAAUUUUAGAAUAAUGCUUUGUCAAUCCCACAACUUUCUGAAAUUAUGACUUCGCCCAAACUUUGUGAAAUUAUAAUAUGGCCCAAAAAUAUUUAAAUAGUUUCAAAUAGGUCCAAAUCCGAAAUUUAAAAACACUAUCAAAGAUUUUAAAAAUACUUUCAUUUUAGUCCAAAAUACUUUAAUUUCAUAACAUCAUUUUCUUAUUAUAAAAGCACAAUUCAUAAAUCUUUGCUUAAUAAAUACAUGUGGUUUGUUAUCAUCAAAAUCAAUAUUUAUAGCCAUAUAGGCUAACAGACCUUACCUCAUCGACAAACCCGUUGGGUCAGGUGCAUACAGGCUACUCCACAUGGAUGAGACAAUCGUGAGGCACCCCUGGAAUAUUGCAAUGCUACGGAAAUAUUACUAAAGGACAGUGUCUUAACCUUUAGUCUUUUGCUACUAUUUACUUUCUUUAAUAUUUUUGUGUGGUAGGCCAAAUGGGGUACCCCAAACGCCCUAUGUUGGUCAGUUGCAACUUUAGAGUUUAUUUAAUUUUCAAAUGAAAAGGAUAGGAGGUCUUGCGGUCUCCUGUUCUCCUCAGGGUAACAAAGUUAAGUCAUGUAUUGAUCAAUGCUUUCGUUAUCUAUAAAUGCAUUUUCUUUCUCAACAAAUAUGAUGUGGGUUCUUUCUUUAUUUUUCGCCACUUCGAUCUUAGAAUGCGGAUUAUAUUCAUUUAUCGCCAUUAAUAUACCAUCGCAUCUGGUUAUAUGCAAUUCUCGUCAUACGCUUGUCAAUUAUGACUAACCUAUCAUAGGACCAACCAGGGUACCUGAUAUGCCUAGAUCGUGAUGAUCUAUGCAAAGCCAAGAUGGGCAACGGAGUGAACAGCCCAGGGGUAGCCUUUCUGCGGAAGCAUGACAAAACUACAUAAACAAAUAGAGGGAGGGUCAAAGAGGACCCGAGGGUGGAGUAAAACCGGCAUACCAUAGCGCCACGAGGUUCAGCUUAGGUAUGAGUACACCCACACCUCUAUCCUCUUACUUGAGCAAAGUAUGGGUAAGCUAUUCCAAAAAUUCGGAGGGAACUUCGAAAGAAUAAGAAAUUGAUUGGUUGGACCAAUUGCGCACUAUCAAUUUUUGAUCGAGAUGUCGCAAGGAUGUUUUGAUUACCUAUUUGUAGGAAAUUCGCCAUAGUUACCGAGAAGGGCAUGCACCAAAUUUGACGAUCUAUAUAAACCAGCAGGCGCCUGAUGUCGAAUAUUUGUUAAGGUACCGGGGGUACCCCAUUUUAAAAAAGAAAAAUGAGAGGUACCCUAAAAAUUUGCAAGAUAACAGUUUAGCCAAGCAUUCAUUUGCAGAAUAAUAAGAAUGCAAAGUACGAAAGGGCUCGGUGGCAUGGUAUCAUAACAAAAGAGAAGUCCCAAUAAUACAAAAUAUCCAAGAAACCAAAAAGAAAGAAACAAGUUCCAAAUAGCAAAAUGUGGAUAGAUCCAAAAAACAAGAGUACAGUGAAAAGGCUACACCAAGGGUAGAACGCCAUCCCCACCAUCCGUCUCCAGAAGGCGAUCAGCAGAGGACUCUAAGGUACCCAGAAUAUGAGCAGCCGAAGUAGGGGCAUCUGAGGCGGGCAACAACUGAAGCGCGCGGGGUACCCUAGGCGACUCGGAAGGGGUACCCGACCGUGCAUGGGAAUACUUCUUCCUCUCCGCAAUCGUCUUCAGAAUCGUGGCCUUACUGACGAAUUUCUGCACACGGGGUACCUCCAAUUCCGGAUCCACGCUCCACACCUCUGUCAUGAUAAGUGAGAACGCAUCCUCCGCCAUCGUCUUUUGUCGGAAUAACAAAUCCUCGUUUGUGGCCUUCAACUCAUCGCAGUCCUUCUCCACUCGAGUUUUCUCUCCCGAUAGGCCAGUAAUGCGUUCUUGCAAAGUUUUGACUUCUCGAGCAAGCUGAUCCUCGCGAGACUGACGACUUUGGAGCUCACCCCUUAACUUUUCGACUUCUGAUUGGGCAGCAACAAGGGAGUCGAGGUCUGGAAGGCAAUAGCUGAGGAGAAAAGAUGCCUGCAGGUCAUAGAAGACAUGUUAAAUAUAUGUGUAUGGCAAUAAGAUUAAAUAAGUAAAAAAUGAAGGGUACACCCGGGGUACCCCGGGAAAGCCUACCUCUUGGGUAGCCCUAAGUGCUUGACCAUAGCGCUGGCUCAAACUCAUCCUGUCUGUCUCUUCAGCGACCUCGGAGGUAACAUUUUCGGCAGAAUAGUAGAAACAGCGAGCCAAGUGCGAAACCUCCUUGUUGGAAGCCGGGUCUAGGUCACCUUCACGCAACUCAUCGGGGAAUGUAGAAACCAGCCCGAAUUUUCUCUUCUUUGAACGAAAGGUACCCUUUGACGCACUGUGGGAGGUACCCUGAGAUUUUCCCUUUAGUCUGGGAGCUCGAGGUGGCCGGAAACUUUUCUGAGGUACCGCCGAAUCCUGAGAUCCAGAAGCACCACCCACUACUACUUGGAAAAAGGCAUCAAAAGCGUCACCCGCUGACUCCAUAACUGCACCCAAUGCAUAAACGUUAUGUUAGCUGGACGAGUACUAAGUAUUACAAAAGCAAAAAUGGGAAAUGAAAAGCAGGGAAGCAAAAUAAAGAAUGCGGUGAUAACGGGGUACCCCAGUCCCGUAGAUAAUAAUAGGGUACCCCCCGACCCCCAAAUCAUACAUGAGCCACCCCCGAGAGCAGGUGGAAGACUUUAGUCAAUCAGCCCCGCUCUCCAUAAUCCGCUCUCCUCUAACACAUCACUGCUCCUCUGUGCACCUCGAAGCCUCUCCACAAACUUCUUCACCUCUCUCCCCACCUCCUGAACUGGGCAUGAUCCUUUAGCCCACGUCACACCUACAAAAGCAUGGAGAACCCAAGGUUAGCGAGACAUACAUGCGAAAGAUUAAGAUAAAGAACCGUAAAUAAGGGAGAUACUUACAGUCUACAUUGAAGGAAUUGAGAACCUCCACGAGAUUACCCUUUUCAUCCAGAGUCUCUAUCCCCCACCUACCCUCAGCCACAAACCAUCCAUUUCUGUAACCCUUCUUCAAGGCGGGGUCCCCCUCAACAAUAUGACCAUGAUCACCCAAAGCGGAGAAGUAAGCAAUGGCGAGAUCCUUAGGCUUUUUGAAUUGGUAAAGGCCCCUCAAUUCCCGCAUAGAAAUGUCGCGCCUCAAUACUUCCAACCAUAACACAUGUAAGCCCGUAAGUGUCCUCCACCCGGGAAGGGACAGCUGCCCAAGAGCUACCCCCAAAUAACUAAACAAUCUCAUAUAAAAAGGUUGGAGGGGCAGGCAGAGUUCUAGAUCAAAGAGGUCAAUGUGGAGAGCAAUCCCGUCAGGCUUCAGACACUCAGGUCGUUCAUCCACAUGGGGUACCCUAAGCUGGACAGAGGGAGAAAUAUUGUAUUUGGCUCUAAUUUGUUCUAAGUCCCCCAAAGUAGCUCUCUUAGUGCCUAAGGAAUAAAGGUUGCCAGAUUUUAAAGGUGUGGCAGAGGGAGACUUGGGAGGCCGGCCUGAGGAACGAGCUGGAACCUUGGGCUUGGAUGACCUACCCUUUUUUUUAGGAUGAGGGGUUGGCCGUUUACUGGGAAAGCAUGGGCUGACACGAGGAGUACUCCUAGGGGAGGGAGCUUAGAGUGAGAGUUACAACUCCCAGAGGUACUAGGGGGAGAUCUAUCCCCCUCGCUAAUGGAGAUGUAGGAAGGAGAACCCGCAGGAGGGCUGUCAACCCUACUAGCCCCAACUGCACGAUGCUUCCUCACUGGCCCCGUAUGUUUCUUGCCUAUUUACUUUCCCCCAACAAUAUAACCAUGAAGCCACAAUUCCCCCAACAACAUAACCACCAAGCCACAAUUCCCCCAACAACAUUUUCAUACCAUACACCACCCACCACACAUCAACCAUUAAAUGCAAACACCAACAAAAAAAAAAACAAACAAACAAACAAAUUUUUCUCAGAGUAUGCAAAAUAGUGCCAUUGUAAAUGCGCCAAAGGAGGAGAAAGGGGGAAGGAUACUUGUGAUUUACCAACUUGAUGGAUCGGGAUUGGUAAUCGUGGGGAGAUAAAGCUGCAGGCAACCAAAAACAGUAAGUAAGAAUAUGCAAAUAUAAAAACUAAUGGUGUGAAGAACGAAGAAGCUGCAAAUUUAUUUUAUUUAUUCAAGCACAAAUGAAAUUAGCCAAUUUAUUUUAUUUAUAAAUAUAAAUAUAUACCGCGACCAAAUGCUUAUCAAGGGUGUAGAUGAGAGCGCCAUGUGUAGGAUGUUUACACACACACUCACGGGCCCCGCGAAGUCAUGGUUUCGCUCUUUGAAAGUAGGUAGCAUAUCUUCCCUACACCAAUUGUUAUCCAAAUUUACUAAAGAGUUUUCCUACGCUUCCACUCAAGAUAGAGUAGCCUCCAAACUUGCCUUUAUCAAGUAAGGGGAAGCCAAGCCCUUGGCAGAGUAAGUGAGUCGUUCCCACCAAGAGGUGUUGCGAACCGGAGCAUUUGGAAACUAAUACACAUUGACCCAUUUUGAAAAAAAUUUACGGUUGGACAAGUUAUGGCGUUCUUUUCAAAAGAAGCGCUCACUUUCAUAUGGGGAAGCUCGUUCCCAGGCGUUGCAGCAGGUGGAGAUGAACGAGAAAUGUCAAUUGAAGCGCCAAGAAGAUAAAACCGAUGUUACAAAGAACAAGGAGAAGCCCAAGAGGAUAGAGGCCCUAAUACCGCAGGUACCCCGAGCACGGAGCCCUCCACGGGCUGCCCCGCGGGGACGAGGGUAUAACGCUCAGGACCUCCAAGAUCGCCACCACCGGAUCAGCGAGAGCCAUCACCGAGGCCUCAGUACAAAUCUUACCAUCCACUGAAUCGAUCCCCAAAGCAUAUCUUCUACCAUAUUCGGGAUAGUGGCCUCCUUCAUCCUCCUAAGCCAAUGAAGAAGUACCCCAACAUGAAGCAUAGCCUUAAGUAUUGUGAGUUCCAUGAGGACUUCGGUCACAGCACAACCGAGUGUUUUACCUUGCGAGAGGAAAUUGAAGAUUUGAUUCUUAGCGGGUACCUCAAAGAAUUUGUUGCUGGCAUGAGAGAAGCUCGGAAAUCCGCGGAGCAAGAUAAGGGCAAGCAUGUAGCUGAUGGUAGUCCUGAACGAGAGGUACCCCCGGGACAUAACAAAUGCGUGUAUGUCUAGAUGAUCAUGGGUAGACCGACUUUAGCGAGCCAAUCUAGGAGGGCUAUCAAAGGCUAUGGUAGAUCGUUGUCGAUAACCACCAAUAUUGGCAGAGAAGUCAACCUUAAUGAAUAGGGUACACCGAAGGUACCCCACCAUCCCCCGCCUAUCCUUUUUACAGAAAAAGAAGCGGGGAGUAUCUCGUACUCCCAUGACGAUGCCUUAGUAAUUACGUUGAAGGUUGCCACCGGUAAGGUAGCAAGAACUCUUGUAGAUACCAGCAGCUCCAUUGACAUCAUUUUCAAAAGCGUCUUGGAUCAACUAUUGAUUGAGUCGCCAAAGAUCACCCCCUAUGCUACGCCUCUUAUUGGGUUCGCCGAAGAUAUGAUUAUACCAAAGGGCAUCAUUACGCUGCCCGUUACACUUGGUAAGGUACCUCACCGCGUUGUUCAUAUGAUUGAUUUUCUUAUUGUAGAUCACCCAUGUGUCUACAAUAUUAUAUUGGGUAGGCCGUUCUUAGUAGCAACUAAAGCGGUGGUAUCCAUGCACUACCUCGCCAUGAAAGUCCCGGCCGCCCAAGAAGUUAUCACCAUUAAAAGGGACCAACAAUCUGACUAUACUAUGCUUGACUUUCGGAGUAUGUAAAAUUGAUGGGGUUUUGUUUAUUUAGCUUGCUGAGUGGUUUAUCUUGUUUGGGGAUAACUUGUUUAGCAUGUAUGGUGAAAUGAAAGUAUACGCAACUAAAUUGCUCUAGUCGGCAAUAACCUUCUAAUAUUGAGUGAGAUCACCAUGUGACAAUGCUUUAAUUGCAUGGCAUCUAAGAUGCGAUUUUGCUAGAUUGUUUUUAUGUAGGCAAUACAUUCUAGUGUUGGACAACACCCUUCUAGUCUUCGAGCGACUUCACCAAGUGACAAUGCUUUAUUGGCAGGGCAUCUAAAAUGCAAUUAUGCUAGGUUGUUUUUAUAUUUGUUUCAGCACUGUAUGCACCGUGUGUCUUUGUAUGUAUGGGCUUUCUUAAAUAUGAGAUUGUUUCUUUCUAACCUCUCUCAUGCUACAGAAGGGGGUUUGUAUUUUGUUAUUAUCGGCUGAUUAAAUGUCCAUUCUUAAUUGUUUAUUUGGGCAGAUAUACUCCUAGCACUUCUACAGUCACAUAUAAUUUGAAAUCCAAACCGCAACAAAAUCUAAAAUGGCGGAGAGUAGUGUUCAAAAUUAGUGGUUCUGCGCUAGUUGGGAACUGCCAUAAUAUCGACCCCAAGGUGCAAUUCUUUUGCCCUCUUUUAAGUAUAAGUUGAUGUGGUUUAAAUUUUGCGAAUAAGGAAGUAUUUAGAUGUACAAUUUGUUUGCAGUGUGUUAUGGUUGGUUUUACAUGGGGAAACCGUUUUACAUAUGGUUUGUGUUAUUAGGUGGUGAUGUAGAUUGCCAGGGAAGUAGCAUCAGCCUGUCGUCUUGGGAUGGAGGUAUUGCCCAAACUCUCUUUUACAUGUUUUAAUUGUUCAAAAUGUUCCUUUAUUUGUGUUUUUCUAAGUUUAGGUUGUAGAUGCUCAUUAUUAAGUGACCUUUAGGUGGCAAUUGUUCUUGGAGGUCGAAACUUCUUUUGCGGGGAUUCAUGGCUUUCUGAUACUGGCUUCGAUAGACCCACAACUUAUCAAAUUGGGUAAUUUCUAUGUUAUUUAUCUUGCAUUUAAACUUCCAUCUAUAUCUUUCAAUUAUAGUUGGAGUCUAUCUUGUUGACUUUAUAGUCUGUGAAGAAUUAGGAUGUUUUGUUUAUUCUGUUAACAGACCAUGCUUAUAUGGUCAGUAUAGAUUAGGAAGUUUUGUUUAUUAUGUUACAAAGUUCGCAGUUCUAUCCUCAUUUUCUCUCCCAUUUUAUGCUUAUAUUUCAUUGAUGCAGCGUUGAAAUUGAAUUGCUAUUAUAUUGGAUACUGAAUUUAUCAUCUGGGUCAGGCCUUGGACACCUUUAGUGCUGCUCUAAGUGAUCCAUACAGUUGUAGGUUGCUUAUAUCUCUUCCCAACCUUAUAAUACCUUUUGCAAUGUGACCGUGAUUUCAUUUCAGAAUGAUGGCAACGGUUAUGAAUUCUAUAUUGCUCCAAUCAGCCUUGGAGAAGCUGGAAAUUAAGACGCGUGUUCAAAGUGCAUUUGCUUUGCCAGAGGUUGAUGAACCUUAUAGCAGGCAAAGAGCCAUCCGAUAUCUUGAAAAAGGGAGAGUUGUGAUAUUUGGUGGCAUUGGUGCUGGCACCGGAAAUCCGCUUUUUACCACUGAUGCUGCUGCUGCUAUUAGAGCUUCUGAACGUAAGCUUGUACUACUUAACAGCUCUAUUUCAUUCUCUUGUUUCUGUAUAUAAUAUCACUCGCUGUAAUCAUGGUUUACUGCCAGUACUGGUGUUCUUUCUCCUUUUACCUGUUUGUGUGGAGUUUUACUUGGAAAAUAAUAAUGACAUGCUUUGCAUAUUUUUCAUGUCAGUUAAUGCGGAUGCAAUGGUUAAAGGUGUAAGUGUCAAUGGUAUAUAUGAUUCCCACUCUGGUAAUGGCCAUGUAGUACCGGAACACAUAUCUUACAGGGAGGCAGUCUCUGGCAACUUUACGUCCAUGGACACAAUGGCCAUUACAUAUUGUGAAGAGAAUGGGAUUUCUGGUUGGUAUUUUCUUUUGCCGUAAUUCUAGCAGUUGCAAAUCAGAUCCCUUUGGCUUUUCCUGAUACAUAUGUAUACAAUCUCUGUAGUUGUAGUGUUUAAUCUGCUUGAGCCUGGGAAUAUUUCAAGUGCAUUAUGCGGAGGCCAAGUGGGCACGUUGAUUGACCAAUCAGGAGGAAUUAGUUGAUGCAAAAGAAAUGUCUGCUGGAUGUGCUUUGAGGCAUGAUGUCAACUUCAUGGAAGUACAGCAGGUCCAGUGUCAAAAACAUGUAUAUAUUGGAAAUUUGAAAUGCAGCAAUCGCAAUCGAAUGCAUCACUUUGAACUCGCUACUGUAACAUAAAUGACUGAGUUUGGAGCAUAUCCCUGUGUCACAUGUAAAUCCUGUAGUAGAAUUAGAACCUACCCAAUAAAUGAUGAAGAAAAAUGCUGGUUUCAGUGGGAAAGUUAUUGCUUCAACGACCCUCCCAGACGUUUCUUUCUUUGUUAAUGUGCAAAGUCAUCUGCUUUUUUAGGAUUUUUAAUGUGAUUAUUUAGUUGUCACAAACAAUUUACUCUUCUUUGAGUGACUCCAAAUCAUGGGUGUCAUAUUGCUUUCAACCUUUCAGUUUUUCGAGAGGAUGCGAUAAGCUAAUUUUCAUGUUGAAUUGUAACCAAAUAUCUUUUUUUUAGGCUACCGUUUAACAAAACAAAAUUGGUAAAUAGACAAACCCCCCAACCUGCUCUUUU
rnacentral:lncRNA from 1 species